UGGAAACAUCAUCUGCAAACUCAAACUCCAAUAUGAUACUGUUGUUCCAUGGUUUUUCGUGUUAUAACACCGUUAAAAGUUAUGUCUCAAGAUAUUGGUCGUUUUCCCCACAAUCCCAGACUUCAGAUUGGGACCUGAAGAACCAGAAAUCUGGGUUUCCAAGCAAGGAAGUUUUAUCUGGUGGUGAGAGGUUAUGCAGAAAAGAAGUGGAGAUUUUGAUGGGGAACCUGGGGAUUUUUUGCAGCCAAGAAAGUGAAGAACAGUUGAAUGAAUCAUACGGUUGUGAGGAGAUUUCAAGGUUGUUUGAACAAGAGCCAAGCUUGGAAGAAGUGAAGCAAGCUUUUGAUGUUUUUGAUGUGAAUAAAGAUGGGUUUAUUGAUGCAGAGGAAUUGCAGAGAGUUCUAUGUGUUUUGGGGUUGAAACAAGGUUUAAAGCUGGAAAACUGCAACAACAUGAUCAAAACCUUUGAUGAAGAUGGUGAUGGCAGAAUAGAUUUUCAGGAAUUUGUAAAAUUCAUGGAGAACAGCUUUUGCUGAAUCAGUUUCUUUGUUCUUUUUUUUUUAAUCAUUAAAUAUUACAUAUUAUUUUAUAUAUAUAGUUGAUUUUGCUUUCCUUUUUUGGGUGUAAAUGUGAUUAGAAACUGAGAAACUAAUAAACCUGAAAACUGGGAAGAAGUUUAGCUGAUACUUUCUAAUAAAAAAAAUAGCUUGCAGUUACAGACAUCAACAAUUUUUCAAUCAAAUCAAUGGAAAUUAUUUAUUCAAUUAAUGCUUCUAGAAUCCUAACUUGUGAAAAGUAUGAUGAAACGAUAUAUGAACAUUAGAGGAAGCUGUAGACAAGCUAAAAAUCUCUUCUUGAACCAAACCAACUGUUUAGGAGGGCAAUAGUAUAUCUACGACCAAAGGAUUCAGGGUUGAGUUCAAGCCUGUGGUAGGUUAAUGAUAAAGUCUCAAGAACAUCUGCCUUCUGCAACAGAUGCUUGUUAAAUUCAGUCUCAAUUUUAUAGCCAAAGAAGUGAUGUACCAUAAUUUUCUUCACAUUAUCCAGAAUUCCAACUGUUGGUUGCCCAUCUCCAUUGUUUUCAACAAAGAGAUGCUCCAAAGCAAAAGGUGGCCUAUGCUCACCAGUUUCUCCCCGGAAGGAAGAUUUGAACUGCAAAUCCAUCAACAUGUAUGAGAAUUAGUGUUGUAGAUCAGGGAUUUCAAUUGUGAUGUAUGAGAUUUACUGAGGUGAUGGAGACAGGUGAAAACUGUAAAAUAACAUUUGUAAUGAUCGGGUUGUAGGACAUCUCCCCCAUGUCAUCCUAUACCUGACUUACACUUGCAUCAACAAUAUUCUCUUUUAAUACCGUUUAAAUUUGGGAAACACAGAACUCACGUCUAUUUCAAUGCUUCACACUUCAAUCAAAUUAAGACAUAAAUAGAGAGCAACAUUGUUACGAGGAGUCAUGUGACAUCACGACCAUGCGACCAAUCAAGAAGUCAGUAACUGCAAUGAGAUUACACUAUUUUUGCCAACGGACCAAACCAAGCAAAUACCUUCAAAUUUCACCCAUUAUUGUUCACCUCGUGUUCUCUAGCAAGAAACUUUCACAUACCAAGAACAAAAGAAGGGCAUGAGACUUCAAUUAAACAAUCAAAAUUAAUUUAAAACGAAGUAACAAUUAUUUAGUGAGAAAUAAAAACAUUUCAGAAAAUCAAGAAUUCACACCAAGUUUGUUUACAUGGGCAAAAUUUCUUAACCAUGUUCUAAUGACAAAGUCUUGCACACUGUGGCUUCAGCAAUGUUAAACAAUGAAAAGACAGAGAUGUUCAUUAAAUCUCCAUCGACUUUAAAACUGGAGGCAUCAAUUUCUAGAUUGAAACCAUGGUUAUUCAUGCAUCUAACUACAAGGUUAAUACUCAUAUGCUUGAAUAUACAAGUAGGAUCUAUGAAUGUUGGUGACCAAUAGAUUUGAAACCUUAAAUAACAGCUAAAAUUAUAAGUCCAAACUUCUAUAUAGAGCACGAAGAGAGUAAUUAGAAACUUGUGUAUAAUCUACUGCUACCAUUUCUUUCUGCUGCGUAAGACUUCCUCCUCAACCACCACCAAACAAGGUCAUUAUGUUUCUUUUAAUUAGUAAUAUUGUUCUCCUUGUUUUGGUCUUGUUAGCAUGAGUUUUUUCUUCAAUUUUUCUUUUAUUUUAAAAUAAUCUCUCAGUUUUGUAUAUGUUUCUUCUUCUUGUUUGACUUCAUUAAUUAAUUUGGUUUGCCUUUCAAUAUUCUGUUGUGUAGCACUUAUUUCUAUUUUGACAUAUGAUACUCUUAAUUUGAAGCACUUAUUUUUAAUAUGGGUAAAUUACUAUUUUUACUCCUUACUUUUCAAUUUUUUAAGUUAUUUCAUGCAUUUUGUUUAAAUUUAUUUUCUUUUUAUAAUUUUUUAUAUGUUAAAUUUAAAGUUGAUUUCAAAUAAAUUAUCCUUCUAUUUCAAAAUUUUACUUCAUGAAAUUAACUUUUUAUGUUAUAAUAUUAAAAUUACUAAAUAUUAAGUUAUUAAGCUUAAAAUAUAGUUCUAAAAAAUUACACAUAUUAAUAACAUUUAUCAAAUUAAAUUUAUAUUUUUCAAAAAUAAUAAGAAUUAAUUACAUUUAUUGAAUAAAGUAAAGCAAAGAUAAAUAUAAAAUUAUAAAUAAAAUCAAAUAUUAAUAAUUUUAACUGUUGAGUAUGCUUCAUAUUUCAAUCAAAUUUGAGAGAUAAUCUUCCAGUUAAACUCUGUUUAUUUGUUUCAGUCGAACUCUGAUUAAUUUAUAUUAUUUUAUUAUUAUUUGGCCUAUAAAUAGGCUCCUUUAUAACCUUAAGAAAUACAUCCAUUAAAGAUUAGAACUCAUAACCCAUUUUUGGAGAAUUUUGUGUUUACGUGGGUUCUUUAUUUUUGGGUUUCGGGGUUUAGUUUUUAUCUUCAUUUUUAUACUCUUUGUUAUUUUGCCAUUAUAGUAAAAUUUUCUUUGCCCGUAGUUUUUUAUCCUCUUUGGAGGAUUUUUUCAUGUUAAAUUUGUGUGUUCAAUUUCUCAAGUUCUUCCACUAUUUUUUACUUGUUCAUUCCUUAAUCGGGUCGAUCCCCAACAAGUAGUAUCAAGAGCUAGUUCAAUUUUCAUAGAUCAACCAGUUUAGAUAGGGCAGUAACAAGGUUUGACAUUGAGAAGUUCGAUAGUGUCACAAAUUUCAAUCUGUGACAAGUUCGGGUGAUGGCAAUUCUAGCUUAGACCAGCCUGAAAAAGGUCGUUAUCGAGAAAAAGCCUGAGAAUUUAAAUCAGAAAAAAAUAAGAAGAGCUUGAUAAAAAGGUCCUAUCUGCAAUCCAGUUAUGCCUCGCGAAUUGGGUAUUGCAAAAGGUAUUAAUGGAAAAAACCUCAUCCGCCUUAUGGAAAAGGUUAGAAACUCUUUAUGCCACUAAGUCUCUAACUAACCAUUUAGUAUUAAAGCAACAUUUAUUUACGCUUUGCAUGAACGAAUGUGAGCUUCUUAGAUAUCACAUUAGUCAAUUUAUUACUCUCUUGAUUGAUUUAAAAAAUGUUGAGGUUAAGAUUGACGAUAAAGAUCAGGCUAUACUAUUAUUGUGCGUUUUACCCUCUUCGUACAAGUUUUUCAGGGAGACCCUGAUUUAUGGAAAAGACAAACUCUCGUUCAAGGAUGUGAAGGAUCAUUUGUUGAUUAAGACAAACUAAACAAUGAGUUUGGUUCGGAUAGUAAGGCAGAUAGGCAAGCUUCCAUUUUGAUAGUAUCAAAGAAGCGAGACAAAAGGUGCUGCUAUUGUAAGAAGUUAGGUCACAUCAAAGCAGAUUUGUUAUAAACUGCAAAAUAAAAGGCUUGUUGAAAGUAAUGAGGAAGAUAUAGCUGAUACCAAUUUGGCCGAUGAAAGUGGUGAUGAUUUCUUGUUAGUGUCAACAAGUGAUAGCUUCGAGCUUACGUCUGAGUGGAUCCUAGAUUCGGGAUAUUCUUUCCACAUGUGUUCCAACAAAGAAUGGUUCUCCAUAUACAGUUUAGUUGAAGGUCGAGUUGUGCGCAUGGAAAACGAUUCAUCCAGUAAGGUAAUCGGUAUUGGUACUGUUAAAAUUAGGAUGUAUGAUGGGACAAUUAGGACACUCUCAGAUGUCAGUAUGUACCUGAUUUAUGAAAGAAUCUCAUCUCCUUGAGUAUUUUAAACUCGAAAGGUUGCAGAAUCAACAUCGAGUCAAGCGACAUUAAGGUGUCUCGUAGGGCUCUCAUUUUGUUAAAAGGUAAAAGGACCAGCAGUUUUUAUAUUCUGGAAGGUUUUAUAGUGACCGAUGAAACUAGACGUCCCUCAUUUGUUAUGGAGUCGAAGUCAACUCAUUUGAAGCAAAAACAACUUGGUCAUAAGAGGUAAAAAUGUAUGAAUGUAUGACCAUUUCGUUGAAAAGAGGUUCUCUUUUGGAUGUAGGUUUUGAAGUUUAGGGCAGUGCUUUCAUGAAAAUCAGACCCGAGUUAGUUUUGAUUUAGCAAUGUACAAGUUGAAGGCUAGAAGUGUUCCAACUUCUAAGCACAGAUUCAGCGAAGUUAAUUCCCUACAUAUUCAAGAUAGGCCCAUGGCGAGCUUUAGCAAAGAUGGCGUUAUAGAAAUACAAGUCAAGGUGGAGAUUUAUUAAGUAUGCCUCAUAUUUCAGUCAAAUUUAAAAGAUAAUCCUUAUUUGUUUCAGUCAAACUCGAAUUAGUCUAGAUUAUUUUAUUAUUAUUUGACCUACGAAUUUAGCCUAUAAAUAGUCUUUUUUACAACCUUAUAAAAUACACCCAUUAAAGAUUAGAACUCAUAACACUUUUGGAGAAUUUUGUGUUUACGUUUUGAGGGUUUUUUGUUUUCGAGUUUCAGGGUUCAGUUUUAUAUUCAUUUUGUACUUUUCAUUCUUUUGCCAUUAUAAUAAAAUUAUCUUCACCCGUGAUUUUUUUAUCCUCUUUAGAGGGGUUUUCUCACGUUAAAUUUGUUUGUUCAAUUUCUCAAUUUCUUCCUCUAUUUUUUACUUGUCCAUUGCUUAAUCGGAUUGAUCCCAACAUUAAUAUUAAAACAAAUUAAUUUAAGAAUAUAUAUAAAAUAAAUAACCUACAAAAUUUAUUAAUAUUAUUAUUUAAAUUAUAAUAAAUUCAUAUUAAAAUUCAAACCAUCAUGAAUUUUUAUAUUGUUUUAAGAUUAAAGAAAAUUAGUUGAAUUUUUUUAAAAAAAAUUGUGAUUACAUUACUUUUUCAAUUUACUAAUGGUUUUUUAGGAAAUUCAUUAAUAAUUUUAAACAAAAUUUAAUGUUAUAAAAAUAUUUUAAAGUUGAUAUAUUCAAAAUCGAAUAUGAAUACAAACUAAUAAUAGUAUUAUAUAAGGUAAAUUACAUGGAUAGUAUUAUAAAAAAUUCGCCAAAAUAAAAAGUUUACAAUUUAAGCAUUCACGUUAUAUAGUUCGUUCAUCUUAGUCACUCCCUUUAAAAACUCUAACAAAAAUCUGAUGGCAUUUUUUUUACACGUGGACCAAUCAUUAGAAAUCACAUGGCACAACGUGUUGCAUACCACUUUAAAGGACUAAAAUAUAAUUUGCCCAAUACUAAUUAUUAACCAAAAUAAAAGAAAAAACAAUAAUUAAAUAAUUCAAAAAACCCAAAAGUCAUCUUCAUCUUUGAUUUUUAUUCAAACCAAUAAGGCCCCCCUUAUUAUAUAGUCCCAUUUCCUGUUUGACCCGGCUCAGCUCAUGAGUACCUCUACUUAGAUCAAGAUAUUUUUUUAACCUUAGAAAUCAGAGUUUUAGUGGAAUUGAAAGGACAAGAUGUGGAAAUAGGAUGUCGAGCUCUUUUAGUUAUAAAAAUAAACUCAACUGAGCUAAUUCUUCCUUAAAAGUCUAAUCUUCUUUUGUACCUAUAGACCAACCAAGAACCCUAGAUCUGUACAAUGAAUCAAACCCACCCUAACAUCAACUUAGACAAUCCCAGAAAUGAUCUAGACCAUGACCUAGAUCCAAUUUUAACUCUGAUUCCAACAAUUGUUGGUCUAACAUCAACGACUAUAAACUCAACUCCUUUUAUCAGAUAUAGAGAAUGUUUGAAGAACCACACUACUAGCAUGGGCAACCAUGUCGUCGAUGGUUGUGGAGAAUUCAUGCUAAGCGACGAAGACGACACCCAAGAAGCCUUUUGAUUCUGCUUCUAGUCCUUGUACUUCUUUAGACUUUUGAAUUUCAAUUAUAUAAAAAAAAUCAUAAAGUGAAAAGAAUAGAUUUGGCAUUAAUAACUUAAAUUUAAUUUAAGUUAAUCAUGAGUUAUUUAUAGUUAGGUCCCUAAAUUAUUACUGAUUUAAUCCUUGAAUUCGAGUUUUGGUAUAUUUGAUUUACUCUAUCAUGAUUGAAUUUAAUUAAUUUUGUUGCUCUUAUAUGUUGAGUUUAGACUUAAUUUAUUUUUAGACAUAUGAUAUUCAAUGUGUUGUAUAAUUUAACCUUUAGUUAAUGAAAAUUAUUAUUAUUCCUCGGAAAUGGAUUGCUGUUAAAAACAUCAUAAAUGACAGACCUGGACAAGUAUUUCACUCAAAUGAUUGAGGAUGUCCAUUGUUUCUAUAAUACUUUCUCCUCAACUGGAUGAGGAUCUUCUAUUUGGAUGAUUCUUUUGUUAUGCAUGGUGGUUCCAUGUUUAUGUAUAUAUUUUCAAUAAUUUUAUAUUCUCAUUAUCAAACCAUCUAAACAAAUGUUUAGGGUUAGUGGGAGAUGUUGAUUUAACUAAAAUUUUCAAAAAUUUUAAUUAUUAAUUUCAGGAUCAAAACAUCCACAAACCAAUGAUAUUAGCACCCCUCAAACAUUGAAAAAAAGGAAAUCAACCCCACACAGUCAUCCGAAAAUGUAGGCACUCUGUUUAUAACCCUCCCCCCACAAGCUAACAUAUGAAUUUAUCUAAUUCAUAGACUUGUAGUAAAGCAUGUAUCCAUCUUCUUUUCCCCUACAUAGGGAGCUUCUACCUAUAGCAAAACUCCUCUUUCCCAAUCAAACUGCAAAAUACGAGCAACAAGAUAACAGCCCUGCCAAACCCUUUGACAUGCAACCUUCAACUGCACAUGGAGACUUGGAAGAACCCACCGGACUACUUUGUUUAACAAUUUCCAUGCUCUCAUCGCAUGAAUUCUGGGGAAGAUUAUCUUCCCUCUCACCAGAUCUGCACAAAAUAAACCUUCUCUUGGAAUUUGAUGUGCAAUUCGGGUUCGGAGAGCUCGAGAAUAAUGGUUCCAAGGACUCCAUUUUAUCAUUGUUACAUUCACGCAACUUCCUCUUCAACCCCGGAACUAGUUUUAGUCCUGCCAUUUGAUAUUGUUAUCAUAACAUUAAUUGUCUAUUCUAGUCCAUAAAACUAGCAACUUAUCUAAAGCCAGAGAUAAUAUUUUGACGUACCGGGCAAAGAGUCAUCGUAUGCACACAACUGGGACCCUGAAUCACCAUAGCUACAGAAACCAUUUGUAUCUUUAUUCGACCCUGAAAUUCUGCAAUUGGAAGAGGGAAGUCUUAAGACAUCUAGACAUUGUGUGCAUAAAAAGUAACACUAUUUAACUUGAAGCAUUCAGAAAACACGGGAUCAUGCUUGAACCAACAAAUAACACAAAGGUAUGAUUACAAGUCAAUACAAAAACAAAUAUGAUCAAGUGAUCAUACUGCUCUUAUUCAGUAAUAUACAAACUGAAAACAAAAUAAGUAGAACAUUGAAUGGCAAUAGAUGAAAAAGAUUACAAUAAGAAUCUUAAAUUGUAACCUAAAAUAGACCGAGUGAUAAUGAAACAGCUAUUAGAACUUUUAUGAUCAUAUAAAGUGCUGAGGAUAUAAAAGCAAACCUGUACAUAUGCUCAACAAAGUCAUCAAUUAAAACGGGCCAAGCACCUGCAAAAUAACCAAACAAGUAAGAUCUACGAGGCAUAAAUACCUGAGAGGGAGCCCAUAAGACAUAUUUCGAGAAAAUUUAUACCUUCAGGAUCAUACCCUUCUAGGGUUUCAUGCACACACCGACUAAAAGCUAAAACUUGCUGCCAUGUAUCCUCAGAAAUAUUGUGCCGCUGAUUUUUCUGAAGUGAAAUGAAAAACAGUACUUUACCUUAAUCGAAAGCUUACAGUAAUUCAUUAGCACAAAUACUUUCAACUUGAACUAAUAGUGCAGUAACAGAACACAUGUCCGACCCAAAGGAUGACUACCAUCCAUAUUGCCAUACAUAACAUGCAAAAGGUUGAAACCAUGUACAAGGAUUUUCAAAGGCUUGAUUAAGUGAAAGUCAAAUUUUAAGAACGCUUCUUAAAUAAUAACAAUUGAAACUAAAGCAGCAGAGAAGUUACUCCCUAUACAAUACAAUGAAGUCUACGAAAAAAUUACAUGGUUUAUUUCAUUUAAUUUGAGUGCACAAUAACAACCAAUAUGACAAUUUUAAUGAAAUUUACUGCAAAAGGUAAACUCAACUCAGACAUCGAAACAAUAACCAAUAGUUUCACAAGAUGCUUCCAAGACAAACAAAAAGGGUUAGCAGCUUAGUAUCAGCCAUACUCAUACCUCAACAAAGUCACACCAUUGGUUAAGCAAACGGAACCUGCCUGCUAAGACUAAUCUCCAAGCAGCAACUGCCCUGCUUACAGCUAUCAAUCAUGCAAAAAAAAAUAUAGUCAAAUCCAAGACCAAAGAAAUUCAUUGUAAUUUAGCUUAUAUAUCCUCACUAUUUACUCCAAAGAUAAAUCAAUAAAAUUAUUUGCAUUUAACUAAGUAGUACACAGUAACUUACUAAUAUUCUUUUGACCAUUUUCUCGGCAUACGAAGAAAACAAAAUCAUAGAAGCACGAGAAUACAGAAAAGUCUACCUACAAGAAACAUCAGAAAGCCAAAUUUCAGUAUGGAUAACACUUGAAAUUAGAGCAUAUAGUCAAUGUAACAACUGAAUACUACAAAUAUACAUCAUAAUAGAGGCUUAAAGUAUACUUAAAUAAGUCCUCUAAAGAACUUCAAGGAAUAGGAAUAUCACCAUCAAGUCGAGCUGUAACAUGAGUUUGAGAAGUUCAUCAAAGAUUGCAUUCCUGUCAAAGGAAACAUAAUAAAAUGUUGAAAAAAAUAACCAAUAACCAAGACUGGAUAUUGAAAAUACACUUAUGCCUUGCGCUAUAAAAUCUUUUUCACUAAAAGAUUAGAUUAAAGUUUUCACUAGUUUAGGCAUUAACAUGAAUGUAUAGGAGGCUGACUGCAACCCAAGAUCAAGUUGCAGUCUUCAAAAUUCAACCUUAAGUCAAGAUGGGAUUGAAAGAUUCCAAUGCUUGAAGCUAAAUUAAAUACAUCUUCAACAAGAACUGCCAAGAACAACACUAAGUUCACAUGAAAUCCCUAAAAUAUCAAAUCAAUUCUUUCAUGCCAAAUGUCUCAAGACUCAUCAACGGAUUCUCGGGUCAUCCUAAUGGCAAGCCAAACUCAGUAAACUUCUAAAUACAGAUUAUAUAUAUAUAUAUAAACAUAUAUACAUACACACAUACAAUCAUGCAUAGAUACAUACAUAUGCCUCUCGCGCAUCCUUGACUCCACCAUCUUUAAGAGUUGGUUCAAUGCGUCCCUAGUGAACUUAGCUCUUUGUGAUUCCUCGCCUUGUCGGUAGCCUUCUCCAUCACAAACAUGCUCAUAUCCUGUUCUAAGUUCUGCAAGACAGUUCAAAAGUUAAAAAUUACUGCAUCAGCCCUUUCGAACAGAGCAACAUUCCAAUCUCAGCACAAUUUUCUGAACAGUUGAAAAUUCUGAAAAUGAAUACAAAUCAUAAAAGAAAAUAUCAAAACUUUAAACAUUUUAACCAAUUCUUUAAACAAACCAAAUUGCAUUAUAUAUAUAUAUAAACAUGCAUUAUAUUGAUGAAAAUUUUGCAUUACUUAUAUUUUGGCCUACUUUUCUAUUGACCUUUUUAGGGUACCAAAUUACACAAUUUUUUUCCAUAAUUAAAUCAAAAUUUGAAUUUUUCUAUUAAAAAGAAAAAGCAUUUUUAACUCUCUUCCCGCACAAUUAUUACCCAACAACACUAAACUGAAACCCCCCUGAUCUAAUUUCCAAUCUUUUUACCCGAAAGUUCACCACUUUUCUUUUGUACACCAACCCAAAAUAUUUCAAAUUUAUAAUUAAAGAACAGCAAAGAAUAAAGAAGUAAAAUCUCAAGAACAAAAAAGAAAAGUGAAAAAUAAAAAAAAAAUACCACAGAAUCGCCGAUAAAUCUCGAAGAUAUCAAACCGAUUCGGACCCAAGGAGUCCAUCGGAUUCUUAACUGUAUCCAGAGCUCCGGCAAGUUAGGUUUCCUUUAAUAUAUUUUGGUUGAGCUUGAAAGAAAUGAAAAAAAAAAAUCGGAACUUUCUCUUUACCGGUAUGGUUUUAAAGAUAAAGUACUCUCUCUUCUAUGCGUUUUACAGAAAUCAAAAUAUUGUCAAGCCUUUCUUUUCCAUUUGGAUUUUGAUUUUAGAGAAAGAAUACUAAGGAAAACAAAAGUUUUGGUUUUACUAUGAGAUUGAACCGGAUCUUACUUCCGGUUCAGGUAAACCAGGGUAUUGGAGUACUAUGUGACGCAGCGAAUAUGCUGUAUCUUACUCUCUUUGAUUUCAUCCGUUUAGAUUUCUUUCAUCAUAUGUAAUGUCAAAAAAAAAAAAAAGAGAAAAAAGAAAAACAAUUCUUUUUUUAAAUAAAAUAAAUAACUAAUAACCUUAUUUAUUCGGUAGCAACUAUAAUAAUAACUUUUAUAACGAAAUAAUGAUAAUUUUUUUGGACUUGAAAUAAUGAUAAUUAAAAUAUUAUUUGCUCUUGGGUUAAAAUGAUAGGUAAAUUAGCAAUGUAUGUCGAUUUUAGAAGAUAAUGAGAGAAAUAGGUCGAUUUUUUUCGAUAUUUAAGAAAACAAGCUGAUUUUGAAGGUUGGCGUGUCUGAAAACAUAUUUUGCAAAAUGUGUUUUCUUUAAUAACUUAAAAUAUCAUCUCUUUUAAACCCCGUGUGUUGACUUGAUGGUCAAGGUGUUCACCGCCCCAUGUGUGGCUUGGGUUUGAGUGACACUAGUCAUGUUGUUAUUAGGGUUUUGCUCUUCUCUUGUAAUUCACCAAAAAAACAAUAUUAGCUCCUUUAGUUAGGUGGUUAAAUAUUAGUUGUUUUGUCCUUGAUUUUCGCGGUUCAAUUCCUCUCUUACUCACAUUUGUAUUUUUUAUUUCAUGUUGUUUUAAUAUUUUGUUUAAUUUUAAUUAAUAAAUAUACUAUUUUCAAGUUUUUUAAUUCAUAUUUUUAAUUAAUAACUCUUUUAUUUAUAUAAAUAAAUUACUAAAUAUGUAAUUAUAUAAAUUAUAUAUUUUUUGUUAUAAAAUAAAAGACAGAGAAUAAAUAACAAAUAGAAUAGGAGAGCAAAGAGAGAAUGUAUUUUAUUGAUCAAUCGAAAUAUUUACAAUGCUUCCCCAAAGUCUCUAUUUAUAGGUAUAAUAAAUAUAAAUAAAGUAGAUAUCUACUUCUAAUCACCAUUAGAGUUUAAUGUACAUCAAAACCUAUCUUGAUCUUGAUGUACAUCCACUUAAGAUAUUUAUAACACUCCCCUUGGAUGUCCAUUGGUAGAUAAUGUGUCUCGUUAAAACCUAAGAUAAAAAUACCGUGUGGAAAAAAAUUCCUGAUGAAAGGAAAAGAGUAUGCAUAUCUAUAAUACACAUAAUAUGUUGCCUCGUUAAAAAUCUUACCAGGAAAGCCUAAUGGAUCAAAACCUCACUUAAGGGAAAAAGAGUACAGCGUGUAUUUACUCCCCUCAUUAAAACAUCACAUAUUUACUUAUAUUCUACGUAUUCAAUCUUGAAUACUAGUUUUUCAAAUGACUAUUUGAAUGUAUUUGCUAAGCAUUUAUAUCACCAUUCUUUUGAAAGUCAUGAGUGAGUGAAAAUUUGGGAGAAAUAUAUUUUAAUCUCUUAAGGAGUUUCACCAAUAAUCAUAGCAAACGUUAAUCAUGAUUCUUCUAUAAAAACACAAAUAAGUAUUUUGGAUCAUUUUAUAAUCCUCCUUCAACUUUUAUUCACUAUGUCAAAUCACCACAUAUAUUCUAAUUAUUUCAAUUAAUAUAAAUGAAUAAUUUCUCGAUAAUUUCAAUAUGCUUCUAGCAUUCUAAAUCCUUUAAGGAUUUUAAUAUUAUAACAGCCCGUUUUUAGUCAAAUCAGAACAGUAGUUUCGGGACCACAAUUCCAAUGUCAAAAUAAUUAUUUUAUUAUUAUUUUAAUGUCUACAGCAUGAUAGUAUGAUUGUGUGAAAUUUUCGUUAAGAAAUUUUAUCGUUUGAGUGCUUAAUUUGAUAAAAAGGACUAAAUCGCGUAAAGUGUAAAACAUGAGUUCUAAUAGCUAAAGGUGUCUAAUAGUUAUAGAACCUUAAAUUGAAGGUCCUUAUGUGAUAAUUAGACCAUUAGUAUGUUAGUGGACAUUUAUCAGAAUGUUAUUGUUGAAAAACAAUGUGUUGGAUUAAUUGAUCAAUUUCGUCGUUUUUUCAUCCGAGGUAAGUUCGUAUGUAAUAAGCAUUAUUAUAUUUGUGUUUUAAAUGCUUUGAUAUUGUACAAAUUGUGAAUACAACCUUGCAGACAUACUCAAUGAUGAUUCGGCAAAUAUGAAAUCCCAGUUGAACCUUAGGAAUAGAUUAGGAUACAAAUGACAUGUCAUUAGGGAUUAUGUGAUUUGGGUGCUGGUCCGUACGUCCUACCGGUGGUUGUGUUAUCCAACAUGUGUUGCGAAUACUCAUCAACUUGUGUGAGCAGCACCAUGUAGCUUUGUCAUGACCGUCAGCUUGUGUAAGCAGACCCGUUGAUAGCUCGAGAGUAAGCAUUAUAUGUGAUACAAGAUUGAGAAGCUUCGACUAUGUAUGUGGCACUUAGGGUGCGAGUUUCCCAUGUAUCUGAUAGUAUUCUAGAUGGUUCAACAGGUAUAUCAAAGAUACAGAUGAGUAUGAGGUCGAUACGAGCUUGUAUAGGUUUGUACAUGAACUAUAUGAUCACCUAAUCAAAGAAGUUGAUGGAAAUUGUGCUUAAUCUUUGGAUUGAAUACAUAUGUUAAGUUAUGCUUUCAACUUGAAUUACAUUAUAUGAUGUUUAUGUUAUUGUAUUGUUGGUUGGUAAGUUUUAUUUAUUUUGCAUACGAGCUUACUAAGCUAUAUAGCUUACACUGUUUACUUUUCCGUGUUUUAUAGUGAUAACAAAGCUAGCUCGGAUUCAAAAAUCAUCAGAGACUUCAUUACACUAUCCAACUAUCACUUUGGUACUUUGGAAUUUAUGUUUUUGGAUAUAUGGCAUGUAUAGGAUUAUGGUCAUUUUGAUAUAUAGUUUGGUAAUGAAUUUGGUCAUUUGAAAUAGCUUGUAAAUGUUAAGUAUUUGGUUUUGUGCAUAGCCAUGUGAGUUGGCUUAUUUUGGUUGAUUUAGUUGUGUGUGUGUGUAUAUAUAUAUGUAAAUGGAAUUUGUCUUGUGUUGAUAAUUGCUAUGCUAAUGCUUGUGGUGGAUGGUUGAUUUUUGAGAAGUUAUAUGUUUGUGAGUUAGGCAUAAUGAUGCAUGUUUGAAAGUGUCCAUUUAGUUGAAAUCUGAAUGUGAAUUUGGUAUAAAUGGAAUGGUCUAUUUUUGUUAUUUAUGUGUAUUGUGGAUGAUGGUAUAGAACUAGUAUGAAUUAGGCUUGAUUUAGUUGGUUUGAUUGCCUAUUUAUGCCAUGUUUUGGUGUCAUUUGGUUUGGUGUAGGUGUAUACAAAUUUGGGUGGUAAGAUGGCUUGGUAAAGAGCCUAUUUUUGUCCACACAGGCAGAGACACGAGCGUGUGUCUCAGCCGUGUGUGACACAUGGUCAAGUUACACGGCUGUAUGUCCCCUAGUGUUGAAUUAAAAAUCAAGCUAGUAUGUUCUACACGGUCUAGCACACGAGCGUGUGACUUGGCCGUGUGGCAUAAGUCAGGGUUUGGCACUUCUUAGCACACGACCUGGCACACGGGCAUGUGUGGCCAUUUUGAAGGGCACACGGGCCGAUCACACUGGCAUGUGGUUGGCCGUGUGACCCAAGUCAAAGAGUUGCAUGGGGUCGAACACGGGCUGGGACACGGCCAUGUAAUCCCAUUUCAAAUGUCUACACGUCUUGUGACACGGACGUGUCUUUGGCCGUGUGAGACACACGGCUGGGCCACACAGGCGUGUAUUCCCUGUAGUUUGGAAAAAUUUUCUAGGUUUUGUAAAAAUUUCCUCAGUUAUCGGUUUAAGUCCUGAACCACCCCGAAUGCAUGUUUUAAGCCCUGUAGGCUCAUAUUAGGGACAAUGUGAAUAAUGAUUGAAUGAUGAUUGUUUGAAAUUAGAAAAUAUAUGUGAAAUGUAUGUUAUUUGCGUUAUAAGUCCGGUAAUGCUCCGUAACCCUAUUCCGGCGUUGAAUACGGGCGAUGGGUGUUACAAAUAUAAAUUUUACUAUAUAGUGAUUAUUGAAAAGGUUGCAACAACAACCAUUAGAUGUAAGUUAAAUCUUUUAUGAACUGCCAGUUUAAUAAUAUAUCUAUAUGUUAUUACAUCUACCACAAAAGAAUAUUAUAUCUUUUCAUAACCAAUGUCAGGGCUUAGUGGAAAACUUUAUAUUUUUAUUGCUUUUGCAAAACUACUUUAUUUGUACCCUCAUUGGCUUUAUACUUUUAGGUAUUUGGACUACUGGUCCAAAAACUUCACGAAUUUAACUGUACUUGAGUUGCAUUUUUCUAUUUUGAACAAUCUAUUCAAUAUCUAUAUUUCUAAAUAGACUUAUUCAAGAUUCUUCUUUCAUUUCAUUAUUUCAACAAUAAUAUUGCAUGCAAAACCACUGUUGAUCAAUUUUAUUAUCGGUUCGACAUUUUCUUGAAUUUACAUAACUUAUUGAGAUAUCUUAUUUUAUUUAUUUUAAUCUUUAAUUUUAGGUACCUGAAUCUCUUCUGGAGUUUUACUUAUUACUUCUGUCUUGUGUCUCUUCCGGAGUACUCGCCUCCACUAUAUAACUAUUUAGAAGAAUUUUCAUCUUUGGAACCAAUCGAUUUACCAUUUAUUAAAACUGAUUGUCCUACUGAGACUUUGAUUCAAAAUAUUAGAUGGUACAUAACACUUGGUUAUUCUCAUUAAGUUUGUGAAUAUAUUUGAAAGUUAACUUGUAAUGAAGUGAGUUAUCCUUUUUAAACUUCUAGUUUAAAUUACUCUCUAUAAGGAUCCAAAUAAUGAUAACUCAUUACAAGCAAUGAUUUCAUUCAGCUAUUAUUUCUCUCCCCCUAAUAUCGGGAAAACUAUCAAAUCAAAAUAGUAAUAAAAAAUCAUGUCAUAAUUGAAUCUUCAAUAUAUUCAAAACAUCUAAUAAUAUAAGAAGAGUUGUAAUUAAUAUAUAUUCUCAACUUUCUUUGAGGAUUCACUCAUCUUUGUGCAUUGUGGUGGAGCAAUUGGAAUAUAUAUGCACAUACAAAAAUUCAAAUAUGAGAAAUAUUUAGCUCUUGACUAAAAGUCAAUUGUAAUGGAAAGUAUUGAUAACUUAUUGGCUUGAUGCGUAUAACACGUAAAUCAACGGAAUCUCAUGUUGAAAUAGGAAGUUUAGUUCUCAUAAGUAAUGGUUUAAAUAUUAAUCAGAGGCGUUCAAUCAAUAAUUUCUCUAAAUCAUUAUGCGCAUAAAUAUAAACUUAUACAAAAGAUUUUCAAACUCAAUCAGUAAAAGACUGAGAUAUAAACUCAUCAAUAUUAGCAAGAUGAAUUGUCUUAAUUGCAUGAUCUAAAAUUAAUUAUUUAAACAAACAAUCUUGCAAACGACAAGUUGCAAGUUGAUAACACAUACGUGAUUAUUUUGUAGAUGCCUCUACCAAAAUCAUAUAAUAACAAAAUCAUCCACGUGGUGAAUGAAUGAGCUUUAGCUAGUAAAUUUCUAAUAAGCAAUUUUCAUUGAGAACAAGAAAUAAAAGAGAAUUGUUUAAAUUAAAGAAUCUUCUGUUUUUCUAAUGAAUAUUCAUAUGAAUUCUCAAUUAAUUUUCACAUCAUAUAUGAUCCAGUAUGGUUUAACUGGUCAUAUCAAGCAGUAAAUGCAUUUGCAUCCUUAAACUUCUGGUUUACUUUAACAUGUAUUUCAAUUGUACUAAUAAUGUCAAUAUAAAUUGUGGCAAAUUAAUGAUUUUAUUGUCAUUCCUUUUACUUUGUAUUUACAUAUAAGUACUAUUGUGACAUUUACUAUUAGAAAUGUCUAAAUCAAUGUGAAGUCUAUAAUGUCACCAAGUCAACAAAUAAAUAUAAUUUCCAAACAAUUAUAUGCAAUAUUCGAUUCAACGAAUAUGCCAAAAUCUUUAAAUCAAAUCAAUAACUUAAUCCUCUCCUUUUUUUUCAUCUUUUUAAAAUAGAUAUUUAUAGCAAUAGUGAUUCAUAUGAAAUAUAAUAUUUUCCUCAUUUAUAAUCUCAAUAUGAUAUCCAUUAUAAUGAAUAUCUUUUAAAACUUAUGCAUUAACCAUCACAAAUUUUGUGCUUUUUUAGAUAUUGAUAUAUUAGCUCUUUUGAAGCUUUUAACUAAUUUUAUAUUACCAAAUAUUGGAAUAAUAUUAGUUUUUAUUUUAUUUUAUGUUUGCGUUCAUUUUGGGAAAUGCAAUAGAUUUACCAUGAUAAAUUUAUAAUCAUCCCAAUAGGUUCUUUAUUUUAUAAUUACCAUCGCAAACAUGCGUGAAUUUCAAAUCAAAAUCUAUCUAUUCAUAUUGUCAUGAUUAGUUUCCAAUUAUAAUAAACAUGGUAUAAUAAAUAAAUCAUAGUAAAAUAUACCUGAAGAUCUGAGUGAUUAAAAGCUCUAAUGAUUAUAGUGCACAAGCCUCAUUUGAAGACUGAAAUUGCAAUAGCUCUAGAAGGCAAUCGACAACAACUUGAGUAGCAAAUUUGGAGUGACCGUAUUAUAAAAUAAAAGAGAAUUGCGUUCAUAAUGUGUUAUAAAAUAAAAGACAAAGAAUAAAGAAAAAGAAAAUGGGAGAGCAAAUAGAGCAUAUUUUAUUUAUCAAUCAAAAUAUUUACAAUACUUUUCAAAAGUCUCUAUUUAUAGGUAUAAGAAGUAUAAAUGAAGUAGAGAUCUACUUCUAAUCACUAUUAGAAUUUAAAGUACAUCAAAAAUUAUCUUGAUUUUGAUGGACAUCUAUUUAAUAAGAUAUUCAUAAUAUUUUUUUAUAUUUAUCAUUGUGUUAGAUUUAUUUUAUUUUUAACAAAUUUUUUUAAUAUAUUUUUUCUUUAUAUAUAAUUUUUUAUAUAUUAAAUAUUUAUUUUCUCCACUUAUAUUGUGGAUACGGUAGUUUACAAUAUUAUAAAAUCAAAUAAUUAUUUCAAGUAUCAUUAUUAUUUUUAUAUGUAAAAUAUUUCAAAUAUCAUUGUUUGUUAUCUAUAUUAAUUAAAAAUUAGAAAAAAAGUUUAAAACAACAUAAAAUAAAAAUUAUAAAUGUAUUUAAGAGAUGAAUCAAACCCAAGAUUUAAGGAUAAAACCUCUAACACUUGAUCAUCUAAUCGAAGGAAAUAAUGUGUAAAGCUAUUAAAGAAAAAAUAUUUUGUAUAACGCAUUUUUAGACACAUCAAAAGAAAACGCUUCUUAAAGGACGUGUUUUCUGUUUCUCUCUCCAAAAUCGACCUAUUCCUUGAUAUAUCGAAAAAAUAAAUCUAAAUCCUUAAUUAUUUUUUAAAAACAACAUUUUCUUCAAAUUUACCCUUAAAAUGAUUGUUUCUAAAUUCUUAGAUUUAUUAUUUAUUCUAAUUCACCUAACACCUUUUUUUUUCAAUUUUACCCUUUAAAUAAAAAUAUAAAAAAGAAUUAUACAACUCUAUUUUCCUAUUUAAUUUCCUGUAAAAAAAAUGUUUGGAUGUUGUGUUUAGUGUGUAUAAAAAUCUUUGAAUGUUCAUCUACUUUCAUUUCAUAUAUUGAAUAUGUCGAUUAUUUGAAAAUUUGUCGAAUUUUGUGAAUAAUGAAAUUAUCAAAACGUUUGGCAUUCGUAAAAACUUAUCUAUGAAGUUAAAAUUAUGCUAUUAUUUUUUAUGUUUAAAAUGAAAAUUUAAUCUUUAUAUUUAAUUUGGAUAUUUUUAAUCUUGUAAUUUAUAAAUUUUAAAAUUUUAAUCUUGAACAAAUAAUAGUCGUAAAAUUCAUUUAGUUAAAGUUUUUUUUUAAAUCUGUUGUGAUAAAUAUAUUACCAUAUAUAUAUAAUGUCAUGACAAUUUAUUGUUUUCAUAUAUUACUCAUAAAAAAAUUAAUUAUGAAUUUAAAGUGCAUUAAGAGUAAAAUUUCAAAUUUUGAAAAAUAUAAAGGCUAACAAAUUAUCUAAUUGGAAAAUAUGGAUUAAAUCUACAACUUUAAAUAUAGUACAAGAUUAAUAGCAAAAUUCAACAAAUUUAACUGCUACCAUUUGGUUAAGAUUAAAAUUUCAAAAUAUGAAAAGUACAAAAACUAAAAUUCACCAUUUCAAAAAAUAUUUAAUCAAAUUAAAGUAUAGGGACUAUCCACAAACUUAUGCAAAGUACAAGGGCACAUAAAAAAAUUAAACCAUUAAUCUAACAUAUAUUGAAUAUGUAUAUUGAACCUUGAAGAAAGGGAAAAAAUAGAGAUUCAUGGUAUGGAAAAAUGGCUCUUGUUUGAUUGUAUGCUUGCUCUUUUAUCACUGUUUGCCUUCUAAUAUUUAUCUUACGGUAAAGUCAGAAAAUAUUUUUAGGGUUGAAAUUAAAUUAUAUCUUUUUAAAAUAGUAAAAAUAUAAUUUUAUUAUUUUAAUUUUUAUAUUUUAUAAUUUUUAAAUAAUUAAAUUAAAUUUUUAUUAUUUUUAAAACAAUUAAAAUAUAAUUUUAUAUUUACAAAUUUAAAUUUUUAUAAAUUUUAAAAUUUUUGAAUAAAAAAAUUUUCAAUUUAAGGAGAUGGAACUGCCAACCGCUUAAUUAUGCGGCUAAUCUACCAUGUACGGUACAAGAAAAAUGGCCUCCUAGAAUCUGAUAAGCAUCAUAAAUUUAUUAAAAAAAUAAAUUUACAAUACAAAAACUGAAUGGACUUUGAAUAUCAGAAAAUAGAGUAAAUAUGAUAGUAGAGUUUUGUAAUUUCGUUUUAAAUAUGCUAGAAGUUUUUGUAAUUGUGUGAAAUUUUAAAUUUAGUUAUAUAUUUUAAUUUUGAGACAUUUAAUUUUUAUAUUUUUUUAUUUAAAAAUUUUGAUUCCUCCAUCAAUUUUAUUUUUAGAAUUGUUGAUGUGAUUGUUAUAAAAAAGAUAAAAAUAACUUUUUUAACUCUUAGUAUUUAUAAUUUUUUGUCAAUUGAAUCCUUAUUUUUUAAAAGUACAUAAACAAUUAUAAAAAAUAUUUUAAAUUAAUUUUUUUGUAUUUUCAAUAAAAAUAUAAAAAUUUUGAAAAAUAAAAAAUCUUAAAAAUUUAAAAUAAAAUUAAUUAAAUAGUCCAUUUUAAAUAAUUUACAAAUGGAAAAUAUAAAAAUUUCCAAAUUUUUUUUUAAAAAAAGUCUUAUUUACUCCAAGUAUGGUAAUAAACUUUUUUUUUAAAUUUUAAAGAAUAAUAUGACAAAAUUAAUGCUUAGAAAUAUUCAUUUGGGUCCAAUGUUGAGAAUAAUAUAGUUUUCAUUAUUCUCAUUAUAAAUUUUUUUAUUAUAGUUGAUAUUGAAUAGUUUUAUAUAAAUUUUAAGAACUAAGAUGUGCUCCAACAAAAUUGAUUUUUUUAAAAUAAAAGAAAUAAUAUUGGGUUUUUAAUAAUAUAAAAUAAUUGAUUAUGAACUAAUAAUUAUUCUGAAUUAUAUUAAUUUCUUAUUUAUUUUAUAUAAUCUAACUCACCUAAAAUUUGAAAGCAACAAGGGGUCAUCUCUUUAAAACUUGUGAUAAUUGUAAACCUACCACAACUACUUUACAUUCAUAAAAUGUAAAUAUAAUUGUUUUCUAUAUUUUUUUAUCUUAAAUCUAUAUUUGUUUUACAUUGUUUAAGAGUCCAGUUAUUAAUGCAUAUCUAAAACUUCAUUUAUAUUGGAGAGGUUUGAACAAAUAUGUAAUGUUCGAAAAUAUGUUUGAAAAAAAAAUAAGUCUAUUUAAAAUAUAAGUUGAAUUUGGACUCUAACAUUUACGACCUCAAUUCAGUCCAAUCUGUUUUCAAAUUUUGUGAUAUUUUAUUUUACAUUAUGUGAUUUAUAUCUAUUAAAAAGUAAAUAUGUAAUAAUAUUUAAUAUUAUAACAUAAGCAAAUUCAUUUUCUUCUAGAAGAAGAUGAUUGGUGAGGGGAUCAAUAGGGCGACCAAGAAGGUGUGGCGAAAAAGGGAUGAUACGGUUGACACAAGUGAUUCGAUGAGUGCAUCUGAUGGGGGUCAUGAGUCUCGUUUAAGGAUGUGCCCUUAGAAGAAGAUAAUAUUAGGAAAAAGGUGCAUGAAGAUGAUGAUAUAGAGCUACAUGAUAGCGAUGUAAUAAUGACAAUUAAUAAUGGUAUCCUGUUUAUUUGCUUAUUAAAAAGAGUGCUUUCCUUGAUUGAGAAAACUAUGAGCUUUACGGUGAUUAUCAAACUGAUGAGAAGGAGGGUAGGGCUUAAUUCUCUAUUGAGUAAGGUAUACGCACUCUGAAAAUAAAAAUCAACAAUUCAACUUAUGGACUUGGAAAAUGACUAUUAUUAAGUUGGAAGAUGAAUAAAGUUCGUGCUAAACAAAAUGGAUGGGAUGCUAGGAGGCUCUCUAUGGUGAGAAGAAUCACUCUUGCUAAAUCGGUUCUUUUAGCUAUUCCCAAUUACUUCAUGAACUCAGUGUUGAUUCCCUUAUUUGUUUGCAGUGAAAUUGAGAAGUUGACUCAGGCAUUCAUUUGAAGCUCAACUAUUGACUCUCAUAAACUGACCCUUGUUAGUUGAGAUCAUUGUUGUAGACCACUUGCUAAUGAUGGUUUGGGUCUUCACAAUUUGAGUAAACUUAAAUUUUUUUUUGUUCAAACUCUGUUUUAAACUUUUAUAUGAUGUUGGAGUAUUUUGGGUUUAAGUUAUGAGAAGUAAAUACAAUGUUGUUCAUAUGUUUGGUGUUUUCUGUCGAGAGUUUGGAAUGAGGUGAUUCAAAAAGUUCAUUAGUUGGUUAGUAAUGGUCAAUUAUUUUACAACGAAAUUAUUUUAAACUAAUGGAAAGAUUAUUUUAAGGGUUCCAUUUUCAACAAUCACCCAAUCUUACCAACUACAAUAAAGAAAAUUCAUGUCUGCAAUCAAUUUUGAAGGAUUUGACAUGAUUAAUAAUUUUUUUUCUUUCUUUUGGGUACAAUGAAUCAAUUCAUACGACCAUUAUACACUUAAUUAAGCAAUUCAUACGACCAUUAUACACUUACCACGAUACUCAGUCAUGCAAUUAACAUGAAUAUGGAAACAAAUAUUUUGAUCUCGAAUCAUAAAAGUAUAAACCGAAUCUUCACGUAACUCGUUGACGAUUCUCGUUUUUUUUUUCUCUCUUGAAGGCUCAGCAUCAUCUUUAGUUACGAACAAUAGUUGAAUAAAUAAACAAUAUCAAAUUUCAUCCAGUUCACAUUCAAAUACAAAGCCAACCAUAUUUUGCAUGCUAUUCAAUUUAGUCCCUAUACUCGAGAUAAACAUAUUUUUCGAUAUAUAGAUUCAGAUUAAAAUUUAAUUUCACAUUCUUUCAUUAGGGACUCUGUACUUCCUAUUCAUGGAAUAAUAUCAUGAAAGGUUUUCAAUUUAUUCAAUUUGGUCCCUAAUGUAACAAAGUUAAUUAACAAGAUUAAUUGGUUUUACAAUUUAGUCUUUAUCAUGAUCUAAUGUUAAUAUCUAUUAAAUUUAAGCCUAAUUCGUCAAAUUCUCAACAAUGAUGACUUAUUAAAAAUUCAUCAAUUGAACAAUUUGAUAUAUGGGCUAGUUAAAUCAAGUUCCCAUGAUUAUAAAUCUAUAAAAAUUAUAAGAAAAAUAGAUUACUUAUGGAUUUUGAUGGUCGAAUGUUGAAACAAAUGGAGGAUUUUUCUUUUUUUCUUUCUAGGGUGGAAUGGCUAAGCUAAAUGAAGAAGAUGUUUCAUCUCCACUAACUUUAAUAUAUAUGCUAAUUAAUCUUAAUUAAUCAUAAUCAAUUUUUUAAUUAAAUUGUUUCUAAGUGCAAAUCAUCAUCACACUACUCGUCUAUUUAUAAUCAGUUUAUUAAUCAUUUUAGUCCUUUGAAUAAUUGUUACUUAAGUCUUCAAGUCUUUUCUUAAUUAAAACUCAAUAGUGAUUGGACUUUUAAAAUUUAGUCCUUAAGUUUUAAUUAAUCAUUUUCUCGAUUAAAUUACUUAACGAAACUUCAAUAUAAUUUUAUGUUAACUCCGUAUAUAUUCUUAUUCUAUAUUUACGAACUCGAUUUAAAAAAAUAAAAUUCCAAAACCAUAUUUUUCCACACCAAUAAAAACUAAUUCAUUACAAAUUUAGUCAACCCAAAAACUCCUCGUAAUAUUAGUUUAUGCUACUAUUGUACUUAAAACUUACCAAGUCAGCCAUUGGAUCAUCAAACUCUUGUAGGUCAAAUCUGGUCUUCAUGUCUUCCUUGUAAGUACCCCAUUCCAACUUAUUAGACCCUCAUUCAUAUUGAGUGUGAUAUAGGUGCCAUUGUAAAGCUUUUCCCUCUAGACCUUCUGUUCAUCUACCACCGAUGCUACGACGAAUUAUUGUUCUAACAUCAUGAGCCAUCCUUUAAAGUCGCCACUGUUAAACUUUGGGCAUUCCCAUUUAAAGGUUCGUUGAAGCCCUAACUCAAUAUAUUGUGGUUGCCUGAAAAUUGGUUGCUAAGCCACCGUGGCUCAUUUCCUUUUGCAGAGCUAGCAGAACCAAAUAACACUGCAGAUUUGUCUGGGGUAUCUUUCUCUGUUAUAAACUCGAAAAAAGAAUUAAGAUCUAACCAGAGUUCAUUGAACCGCUCAUCCCUCUUCUUAUCUAAUGCUUGAAGUUUUGCUUAAGUUUUCAACAGAUCUUGAUGCUGUUGGGAAACUUGAUUCUGUCUGGUGGUAAUGUUGUCUGUCAGCAUGAUGCCAGAGUUAAGGCUUUGAUACCACUGAUGAGGGGUGAAGUUUCAUUAAGAAAAAAAAAUAAUAGAGAAGAAAGAUUCUAUAGACAAGGAAUACAAAAUUUAAGAGAACAUUGAGAAGAGAAAAAUAGGGAAAACUGCCUACUCAAAAGCAUGACUAAUAUAAUUGUUAGAAUUAAGUGACCCGAAUCCUUAUUUAAAUAAAAUACAGUGGUAAAAUAAAAUAAAAGAAGAAUCCAUAUAGAAUUACACUUCUUUUAUUUUAUUUUAGAAUAAGGUUUUUUAAACCUUAUUAAAUUCCAUCUAUUUGAUAUUGAUUAGAAUAAGGUGUUCAGUCUUACUAGAAUAUGGCUUUACAGGCCUAUAAAUAGACAUAGUCUAUUCCUCUUGUAAUGAUUCGAAUUCGACUUAGUAAAUUUUCUUCUCAUCUGCUAGUGGUUUUUUCCCGAAAGAGUUUUCACAUAAAAUUUUUCUAUUCUUUAUUUUAUUUUAUUUUCAAAAAUUGGUAUCCGAGCUUCCGGGUUGUUCAUCUUGAUCAUGGUAAUGACGUCUUUAAAGUAUGAAAUUCCGUUGUUGAAUCGCAACACCAGAUUUGCGUUGUGGCAGAUUAAGAUGUAAACAGUUCUUGCGCAGAUGGAUUUGGAGGAUGCCGUGCUAGGGAUAGAUAAGAUGCCUUCGACAUUAACAGAUGAAGUGAAGAAGCGUAAGGAUCGAAAGGCGUUAACAGAAUCACAGCUGCAUUUGUCCAACAAAAUUUUGUAAAUGUGAUGAAAGAAAAGACCGCCGCUGCAUUAUGGAAGAGGCUAGAACAAAUAUGUAUGUCGAAAACUCUAACAAGCAAGUUGCAUAUGAAGCAACGUCUUUAUGCUCAUCGUUUGGAGGAAGGUGCAUCUGUACACGAACACUGAACAAUGUUUAAAGAAAUUCUCUCAAACUUGGAGGCCAUGGAGGUUCAGUAUGAUAAGUGAGAUUUAGGGUUGAUUCUACUUUGUUCGUUGCCCCCGUCUUACUCAACCUUUAGAGACACGAUUUUAUAUAGCCGCGAGUCUCUCAUAGUUGAUGAAGUUUAUGAUUCUUUGACCUCGUAUGAUAAGAUUAAGCAUCUUGUGGUUAAACCCGACUCUCAGAGAGAGGGUCUCAUUAUUCGUGAGAGACAAGAUCGGAAUGCUGAUGAUAAUCGUGGAAGGACACAGGAACGAAAUCCUCACUGUAAAUCUAAGGAUAGAUCAAAGUCUUCAAACAGAGGUAAAACUUGCAACUUCUACAAGAAGAAAGGGCACAUUAAAUCUGAGUGCUAUAAGCUACAGAAUAAGAUUAAAAGAGAGGCUGCGAAUCAAAAGGAAAAACAACCAGAAAAUUUUGAUGAAGCUGAUGUUGUAGAAGACUACAGCGAUGGUAAACUUCUAGUCGCUUCUAUCAAUGAUUCUAAAGUAAGCGAUGAGUAGAUACUUGAUUCAGGCUGCACCUUCCACAUGAGUCCCAAUCGGGAUUGGUUUACAACUUAAAAAAUAGUGUCUGAAGGUGUUAUUUUGAUGAGAAAUAAUGCUUCGUGUAAAAUCGCAGGUGUUGGAACACUUAAAGUUAAGAUGUUUGAUGGAGUUGUCAGAACACUUAGUGACGUAUGACAUGUUCCAGAAUUGAAAAUAAAUUUAAUUUCGUUGAGUACUAUUCAUUCAAAAGGGUAUAGAUACACAGCUGAAAAUGAGGUUUUAAAGAUUUCCAAAGGUUCCCUUGUUGUGAUGAAAGGGCAGAGAAAUAUUGCCAAGUUAUAUGUUUUGCAGGGUUCUACUGUUACUGGUGAUACAGCUGUCGCUUCCUCUUCAUUGUCAGAUAAUGAUAUUGCGAAACUUUGGCAUAUACGCCUAGGGCAUAUGAGUGAGAAUGGCAUGGCAGAAUUGAGUAAAAGAGGACUUCUUGAUGGGCAAGGAAUUUGCAAACUGAAUUUUUGUGAGCACUGUGUUUUUGGGAAACAAAAGAGAGUUCGACUCACCAGAGGAAUCCAUAACAUGAAGGGAACGUUGGAGUAUAUUCAUUCUGAUCUGUGGGGGCCAUCUAGAGUGCCUUUGAGAGGUGGAGCUAAUUAUAUGCUAACCUUUAUUGAUGAUUUUUCUAAAAAAGUUUGGGCGUUCUUCCUGAGACAGAAAAGCGAUGUGUUUUUCGCAUUUAAGUCUUGGAAAAUUAUGAUUGAAAAAUAAAUGGGAAAACAAAUAAAAUACCUCCGCACAGAUAAUGGCUUAGAGUUCUGUUCUGAUGAGUUUAAUAGAUUGUGCAAAUCAGAAGGGAUCGUGAGACACUUGACAAUUCGCUAUACUCCACGGCAAAAUGGAGUUGCAGAACGAAUGAACAGAAUAAUCAUGGAGAAGGUUCGAUGUAUGUUGUCAAAUGCCAACUUACCGAAGUCGUUUUGGGCAGAAGCAGCCUCUACUACAUGUUUUUUGAUCAACCGAUCUUCAUCCAUUGCCAUUGAGAAAAAGACUCCACAAGAGGUAUGGUCUGGUAAUCCUGCUAAUUAUUCUGAUUUAAAGAUCUCUGGGUGUCCUGCGUAUGCUCAUGUUGAUAAUGGAAAAUUGGAACCGAGAUCCAUUAAAUAUGUUUUUCUUGAUUAUAAAGUUGGUGUAAAAGGGUAUAAGUUAUGUUGUCCUGAAAAUAGAAAAGUUGUGAUUAGCAGAGAUGUUUUUGAUGAAACUGCUAUGCUACCUAACUUAUCUCUUAAAGACUCUUCCAAUAAAGAAAAUCAAAAGUAGGUGGAGCAUCAAAUUAAUACAGAGUCGACUCCUCAAGCCAGUACAAAAAUUGAGAAUAAAAUUACUUCUUUACCAUAAUACUCUAUCGCCAAAAACAAAACUAGAAGAGAAAUUAAACCUCCAAAGAAGUAUGCUGAGGCUGAUCUAGUUGCUUAUGCUUUAAAUGUGGCUGAAGAUAUAGAUGCGAAUCAAGAGUAUCUAAUUAUUCUGAGGUGGUUAGUUGUGAAGACUCAGAAAAAUGGAUGUUUGCUAUGUAAGAGGAGAUUGAAUCACUCCACAAAAACAAAACAUGGGAUCUUGUGAAACUUCUUAAAGGUAAGAAGACUGUUCGUUGUAAAUGGAUGUUUAAAAAGAAAGAAGGGACUCUAGGAGUUGAAGAACCCAGAUAUAAGGCAAGGCUUGUUGCAAAGGGUUACAGUCAAAUUCCAAGAGUGGACUUUACAGAUGUGUUCUCCCUAGUUGUUAAGCAUAGUUCGAUUCGAGCUUUGCUUGGUAUUGCGGCUAUGCAUGAUUUAGAGCUUGAACAGUUAGAUGUAAAAAUUGUAUUUUUGCAUGAAGAACUUGAGAAGGAUAUUUACAUGCAACAACCAAGGGGUUUUGCAGUCUCAGAAAAAGAGGACUAUGUUUGCUUGCUAAAAAAGCCCCUUUAUGGUUUGAAAUAGUCACCAAGAUAGUGGUACAAGAGGUUUGAUUCCUUUAUGACUUCUCAUGAUUUCAAAAGAAUUAGUUUUGACAGUUGUGUUUACUUUAAGAAAAACAGUUAUGGUUCUUUUGUAUAUCUAUUUCUUUAUGUUGAUGACAUGUUGAUAGCAGCAAAAGAUAAAUGAAAGAUAAGAAAGGUCAAAGCCCAACUAAGUGAAGAAUUUAAGAUGAAAGAUUUAGGACCAGCAAAGAAGAUACUUGGUAUGGAGAUUUUCAGAGAUAGAAAAACAAGUAAAUUGUACCUAAGUCAAAAGGAGUACAUUGAGAAAGUUCUUUGCAGGUUCAAUAUGCAGAGUGCUAAGCCUGUUAGUACUCCUUUAGCAGCCCAUUUCAAACUUUCAUCGGUUUUGUCUCCACAAUCAGAUGAUGAGAUUGAGUACAUGCCACAUGUUCCAUACUCUAGUGUAGUGGGAUCUCUCAUGUAUGCUAUGGUUUGUUCACGUCCAGAUUUAUCAUAUGCAGUCAGUGCAGUUAGCAGAUAUAUGGCGAAUCCCGAUAAAGAACACUAGAAAGCAGUUCAGUGGAUUUUAAGAUACUUACGAGGUACUACUGAUGUUUGCUUACAAUUUGGAAUAACUGAAAAUAGAGUCAUUGGGUAUGUUGAUGCUAAUUUUGCUGGAGACCUUGAUAGAAGAAGAUCUCUCACAGGUUAUGUUUUUACAAUCGAAGGUUGUGCAAUCAGUUGGAAAGCUACUUUACAAACUACAGUCGCUUUGUCUACCACUGAAGCUGAGUACAUAGCGAUUACUGAAGCUUGUAAAGAAGCUAUUUGGUUGAAGGGACUCUUUAGUGAACUCAAUGAAGACCUUGAAAUCAGCACAGUAUUUUGUGACAGUCAGAGUGCCCUAUUACUUACAAAAUAUCAAAUGUUUCAUGAGAGAACAAACACAUUGAUGUUCGGUAUCAUUUUGUUCGUGAUAUUAUUACUCGUGGUGAUAUUGUUGUGAGCAAAAUUAGUACUCAUAAAAAUCCUGCAGAUAUGAUGACUAAGUCACUUCCUAUAACCAAGUUUGAGCAUUACUAAAACUUGGUUGGUAUUCAUUGUUGAAGUUAAACCCUUAAGGGGUUUAAUGGAAAAGGUGGAGAACUUGUUUGUUGAGAGUUCGCGAUGAAGAACUUGUUCAUUGAGAAUUCGUGUCAAGGUGGAGAUUGUUAGAAUUAAGUGACCCGAAUCCUUAUUUAAAUAAAAUACAGUGGUAAAAUAAAAUAAAAGAAGAAUCCAUAUAGUAUUACACUUCUUUUAUUUUAUUUUAGAAUAAGGUUUUUUAAACCUUAUUAAACUCCAUCUAUUUGAUAUUGAUUAGAAUAAAGUGUUUUAGUCUUACUAGAAUAUGGCUUUACAAGCCUAUAAAUAGACAUAGUCUAUUCCUUUUGUAAUGAUUCGAAUUCGACAUAGUGAAUUUUCUUUUCCUCUGCCCGUGGUUUUUUCCCGAAAGGGUUUUCCACGUAAAAUUUGUGUGUUCUUUAUUUUAUUUUAUUUUCACAAUAAUAUAUAUCCAGCUAAUUACAUCAAUCAAAAGAACAAACAAAAUAACAGAAGUAAUACAAUAUUCUAAUAGAAUAACAAUGGCGGCUAUAACCGACCAAAUAACAGCAGAAAGAAAAGAUAAAUUCUCAGAACAAUCUCAUUAUAGAUUCGAAUCAUAUUUAAUUUUUUUGACACAAAACUUAAAAUUACACAUAGCUUCUCCCCAACUUAUAAAUAGUAAAAUAAUGAACUUCAAUGCCUCGAACUCACAUGUCAAUCAAGUUAAGGCUUAGUAAAAUAUUAGAAUUAAAGAUUUGUAAUUAAUAAAAAUAUGACAUGUAAAAAUAAAAAAAAAUAAAAUCCAUUUAAUUAAAAUUAAGCACUUUAAAAUUUUUAAAAAAAGUAAUUAAGUGCUUUAAUGGCAAAAUUAUAAAUUAGAAGUUUAUUUGAAUACAAAGAAGCAAAAGGGCUUGUUUGAACAUAAUGUAAUAGUUUGAGGACUUCCGAAUAGUAGCCUAAAUCUUAAUAACAUAACUCUAGCCCUAAACUGCUUCAACUUUGGGGGAACGCCUCCACCGUAUCCUAUAUAUAAUCCUUGGUUUUUUUUUUUUUUUGGUUAUUCAUAAUUAAAAAUUUCUUCUUUCUGUAAUAUUGUUUUCUUUAAUCUUUGAAUUUGAAUUUGUUUAUUUAAUAAACCGGGGCGGGCGUGUCCUCGCUUUGAAGGCUGCCAUGGAAGCAAUUGCGAGGAAAAAAGUGGAAGAAGGGUACGAUUGUUCGAUUUGUUUGGAAAAGUUUAAAGAGGAAGAAGAAGGAAGUGAGAUGCCAUGCAAGCAUGUGUUUCAUUCCGAUUGUGUUGAAAAGUGGCUGCGCAUCAAUCGGUCCUGCCCGGUUUGUCGGUUUGUGAUGCCGGGUGAGGAGGGUGAAAGCAGCGGCGGCGGUGAGGGCAGUAGUAAUUUGGGAAUAUUGGGAUCGGGAAAUCAGGAGAUUGUACAGUCGGUUGUAAGAGUAUCUAGCUUGGCUAAUUUGAUAGCAUUAGCAAUGACGGCUUCAGGUCUGAGGUCGGAACAAUGAUGAUGGUGAGGAGUGUUUAGCUGAAGCAAUACUUUCAGAGAUUUUGUGAACCCAAACUAAUCAAAAUUCUUGCCUUUUUUAUUUAGGAGACUUAAGUGUACAGAGUAGAGUAGAUAAUUAUUAUGAUGAUGCUGAAGCAUACCCUUCUACAGGACUAGUAUUGAGUACCACAAUGAUCUUCCAUACUGGUAGUAGUCAAUAUUGAUUUCAGAUUUUAGGGGUGUUUUGAUUUAUUGAAUAUAAGAUUAUUUUUUUUUUAGGUUGAAAAAUAAAUUUAAAAUUUUGAUAGUUUUUAUUAUUGUUUUAUAAAGUAUUUUUGAAAAUUUUAAUGAAAUUAUUAUUGUUGUUAAAAAAAUGUUUUUGAAAAAAUUAAACAUCAAUUCUAGAUAUAUGUUUUAAAGUAGAAAAUAUAAUAAAAAUACCUUUGCUAAAAAUCAAAAGUUCAAAUUAUUUACUUAGAUUAGAAUUUAAGUUUAAAAUCAAGGUUUUGAACACAAAGUAUUAAUAGGGUUUAUAAGGAUGUAAAAUUAUUUAGCAUGGUAAAUGGUAACUAUAUAGUUUGAUUGGAAGUUAUGAUUUUAGUGUAAUUUUAAAACAAAUUUAUAUACAAUGAUUAUAAUAGUUCAUAUCGCCAAUCAUAAUUUAUAAUUUAUAUUUAUUAUAUCUACUCUUUAAUGUUUAAGAUUUGUUAAUCACCCCAUUGAUUUAGUGGUAAACUUAUGUGAAUUUCAAGCUCAUUAGCAUGAGGUCCAAUUUUUUAUUCUAAUAUUUGUAAAAUCUUUUUUUAUUGUAAAGUAAUUAUUCACUUGUAUAAAAAAUGUUUAAAUUUUUUUAAUUAGAUUUCAAUUUUAUUUAAGAAAAAAGAUAAAAUUUGAUUAAAAAUAAUAAAAAAACAGAGUAAAUUUAUCCAAAAAUUCAAAUUUUGCUCAAAAUAUUAAAUUACUUAAAAAAUUAGUAAUAUUAGGAAGCGUAUAAAGAAGACAUUGGUCUUUACAAGCUACUCAAGCAAGUAAUUGUCGAGCAAGUAAUUGUCGAACCAAGCUUGAGAUAUUGAUCGAGCUAAAUCCAAUAUCUUGACUCAAACGACUUGCAAUUCUAUUGAGCUUUUCAUAAUAAUGGUGUUAAUAUAAAAUUUUAUGCAUAGAUAUUGUCUAUAUUAAUAUAUAUAUUUAUUUAACGGUUGAUCAUUAUUUACAUAAAACAAAUAGUUAGAAAUUUUUAUUUUAUGUCAAAAUUAAUAUGCAUAAUUCACAUGAAUAAAGCAUAAAAUAUGACACUUAGAUUGCUAAAAUAUUAAUUGUAUAAGACUAUACAAAAAAGUUUAAAAUUAUUUUUAUAUUAUUAAAUUACAUUAUAGUCCUUGAUAUAUAUUAUUAACCCUAAACUUAAUUAUUGAGUCAAACUAAAGCUCGAGUUUGAACUUGGCUAUAAAAAUUGAUAAACGAACUUAUUCGAGCUCAAACUCAAGUGGUGAAAUCUCAUGGAUAAUGACAUAUAAUUAAGGUUUACAAUCUUUUUAUCUAAAGAAGAAUCCUGUGAUUUGUAUAUAUCAACAAUAAUGGCCGAUUCAUGCAAGUAGUAGUGCUUAUCCCUUCCCAACCACAUCUUCAAAAAUAUGCUCUAUCCUUUCUUUCUUUUACACUGGUAUGUUCAAAUCAUCUUUAAAGAUUGUAAUGUAAAUCAUAUCCCCAUGCCGUGUCCCUACAUAAAUGUUUUAUGAAAGAUAUAAGAGUUGGAGCAACAUAACAUAGACGCAAUGCAUGAUUAUCUAAUGCCUAUUCAAAUUUCAAGAAUAUUUGUCCGCAAUAGCAUUAGAUAACAUAGACGCAUAGCAUUAGAUAAUAUUUGUCCGCAAUAGCAUCCGUUAUGUCCGCAACCGCGAUAAACGCAAUGCGACCGAAAACGCGACCGCGACCGCAAUUUAAAUCCCUGGGUUGAACCAAUGUUAAACCGACAUGCAAAGCAAAAUCGGUUUAUCCUUUACUGCUAACAGCUUAAAAUCAUAAGAAGGGAAGGAACUAAAUUACCUUUGCGAUAUAUCUGCAUGCUGUUCAUCUAGCCUUUUCUUCCUUUAACGGAAUAUGCUUGAACCAAGGGAAAAUGCACUUUUAGUGCAAACUGGUAAUGCUUCAGCGACAGAAAACAUAAGCAAAUAUAACAAUCGGCUUUGUUAAUAUCGAAUAUGAUAAGAUAUACUACUAUCAAAUGUACACAACAAUAGAAUGUAGGAGAUUCAGCAGAGAAUACUUGCAAGACAUAUAACCUUGUCGAAGUCAUCUGGUUCAGGAACUGUAUGAGCAAUAAUUCUCACUACCCCAAGUUGAUGUAAUCAGCAGUACACUACUAUGAAGCUGAAAAUGUAGGAAAUAUUACUUGUAAAACAGACCAAAGAUUCAAAAGACCUUGUAGCUAAGCCCUAAAGUAUGCCCGAGUGAGAGAGCUAAUCCCGGACCUUGCUCUUGUUCCACAAACCUUUGUGAGAUGACCCAUGGAUCAAACUCAGAGUAAGGACUUAGAUAAUGCUCAUUGCCUGCCCAAGGGUUAAAACAUCAAAUCAGAGUAAGAGGUGGGAGUAACACCUAUAUGGCUUGCAGGAGCAGAAGUCCCCAUCCAUCGAGGAUAAGAUCUGAGGAAGCUUAGAACUCCUUAUCGGACUCCUUGUACGAGCCGCAACACGAUCAAAUAGUUCUCGUAACACAACAAGAAUCAAACAGCUCAACAAAAGCAUGAUUAUCUAAUGCCUAUUCAAAUUUCAAUGAUUUAUAGCUACACAAAAAUAAAUUGCAAAGCUAAGAACACAAACAUAUAAGCUUUAAAACAUAAAUUUCCCUAAAAUAGCUAUAAAAUAAAGGGUUUUCAUUUUCUCCACUAAUAACCCGACUGCAUAUAAUCCUUACAACUUAUUGCUAUGAGAAGCUUAUUUAAAGACAACAUAACUUGCGAAGGCCCUCAAACUCCUCUCAGCAUUAUGAGAUAGUUUCUGUAUUUGAUUUAAAAUUCAUCUAUCUAAUCGUAUCCUUAAACCCUAUUUCUUGAUCUUUCUUUGCUUCUUCAGUCCCGGAACCUCCAAUCUGCCAAUGGAACAUCCACAUUUAGCUCGAAACACAAGCACUGCUCUUCCAUUAACCGGUGCCAGCUUCUUUAACUCGGCUUCCAAUUCCUUAUGACGAUUGUGCAGCAAUUGGAGAAGUUCUUUGGAAACACCAUCUUUAACUGUAGGGCUCAAGUUCUUAACACACUCCUCGGUUUCCAACUGAAUAUCGAAUUCGGUGGCCUUAUUGAGCCCUUUACAGUGAGGGUUCCCACAUUUUCUAGUUGUACAAAGAAGCAAAAUCCAAGCAGCUAUUGCAGAACAAGAAAAACCAAGUCCUAUGGAACCAUAUAUCAUUGGAGAUAUCAUCAUUUCAUCUCUAACCAAAUCAUAUGCAGCUUCAAUGAAUUCAAUCACUUUCAAAGAUACGCAUUUUAUAGUUGGAAACAACAAGAUUCCAAAAGCAGCAAUCACAGCAAUUAAGAUUACAACAUCAACGGCAGCAGAUCUUGAUCUUUCACAAGAGGGGAUUUUUAAACAACUUGGUGGAUUGAAUACCUUUUGUUUCUUACAAAAAUUGCCCUUUGAUGACGGUGAUUUGGGGUUCAUCAUGAGAUCACUUGAAUUCCCAGAAUUUGCCAUUGGAGAAAUCAGGUCAACCGAAUUGCAGACGGAGAUUGAUCUAUGGAAAUAUACCAUUUCAAAUCAAACCCUGAAAUUUAACUCCAAAGAGAACCCAAUAAAUCAAUUUUUCCUUCAACCCUAAACUCCAAAUCCAGACCAAACCCACCUCAUAAAAGCUCAAAAAACAAAGGGAAAUAACUUUAUUAUUUCCACCUCAACAAGAUCAGGUGCUUCAAUUAGCAUCCAAAUGAUUAUAUCCCUUUAAAAGAAAAAAAACACCAAAAAGUUGGGAAAUUUUCAAUCCUAUAUUUAGAUUUGAGAUUGAAUUAUUGAAGAGCAAAAGAAGAAGUGGAACUGAAUUAGAUUAAGACAGGCCGGCUACGGGAAGAGAGAGAAAGGGAACGAAGGAAGUCUCUCUUUAUCAUAAAAAUUUCUUCAGCUAAUAUACAAAAACUAUAGUUGUUUUACACGUUUAAAGAAAAAAAUUAAAAAUGGAAACUUUUUUUUUGGGCUUUUGAUUAUUAGAAUGGGCUUCAACUUUGCUUCUUUCUUCUUCUUUUUCUUUUUUCUUUUUAAUUUUAAAAAGUUAUGUUUUCAACAAUGUCUUCAUGAUUUUUGUGGGUCAUUCUUUAAGCUUUCUUCCAUCUCUUUUUCCUUUAUUUUUUAUUUUAUUUUUUAAUAUUUUAUUUUAUAAAACAUUUCUCACCAAUGGAAUCUAGCUAAAAUACAAAAAGAGCCUAUUUUUUUAAAAAUUACAGGAUUAAGUUGGUUUUUUUUAAAUUUAUGAAAUUAGGCCACAAAAUGGAAAAAUAAAUUAAGGUUAUUUUAUUAUUUUAGGGUUAGAAUUUAGAUUUUUGUUAAGGGUUUAAGAUUAUGGUUUUAUAAGAUUAAGGGUUUUAGGGUUUAUAAAAUAAUGGAUUUAACUUUUUAAAUUUUUUAUAUAUUCUUUAGAAACUUUUUAUAACUUAUUGAGUUAUGAAAUUAAUAUUAUUUUCGAAAAUUUGAAAUUAUUUAGAGCCCAAUUUGGUAUAAUUUUCAUAAAUGACAAGUAGCAAAAGGGUAUUUACAAUAAUCGUAUUUACACCAAUCAUAUAUUUGAAUUAUUCGAAUUGUAAAAUUUAAUUUGAUUUGAAAUCAAAACUCAAAUUACAUUAACUCUUUGUUUGUAUUUUUUUUCUAAAUGGAACUAAGUUUUGAUCACCGUAGUUUACGACAAGUUGAGGUCGAUCAAAAUUUUUCAAAAAAUAUUAUCUCGAGAAUCUCGAAAUAUCUAAUGGGUGAGUGGGAAGUUUGUAGGAGUUGAAUUUGAUAGUGGAAAAACACUCAACAUAAGGUGAGUUUUCAGUGCAAUGUCAGAAAAGUGAAAGUGCGUCCAACUAGAUGCAUUUUUGUGCCAUGCCAGCUAAAAAUGCGUUUAUCUGGUUGCGAUUUCAAUGCAUUUUUCUGACAUUGUAUUGAAAAUGCAUCUAGUUGGGCGCGUUUUCAGUGACAUUUUUUUACAUGUCACUAAAAAUGCACCCUACAUGGAGCAUUUUUCCUCUACCAAAUUUAACAUGUGCAAACUUCCUACUCACCUGUGAAAUAUCUUGGGAAUAUUUUUUAAAUCAAUUGUCACUCACCCCCUACUCUAUAAAAGGAUGACUUUCAGCAUUGGGUGUUAUAAGACAAUUUCGAGCAAACUAAAUCGCACGAAGAAUCGAAAGAAUAGGAAGUUCAUAAGGCGUUUCAUAAGACAGAAUUUGGAGCAAACACCUAAUUGCAUCAACAAAGGUUUGAUUUUUAUUGUUCAUAUAUAAUUACAAUUUUAUUUUUCUGCAUAAUGUUUUUGUUUCCAACAUGUGAAAGAGGUUAUUUCGUUGAAAUGAGCGGACAAAUUAAUGUUGUUGUUUAUUACGAUAGUGAAGUCUAUGACACCGACAAUGGAAUCAUUUUCACAUCAGAGAACACAACACGAUUGGCUUUUAACCCGAACAUACAAUUGCUAAAGUUGCACACAAGAAUUAAGCAAAAAAUUGUUGGAUCCACCCAAUAAGAGUAUCGCCAUUGAAAUAUCGAUUUUGUGUUUCGGUCAACCCCGUCAAAUAUUAUGCAUUCGAUAUCAGAGACGCAAAGGGGAUGAGGCAAUAGUGCGUACACAUAUUACUAGUGGAUCACCAAUACUCAAGUUACAUGCGGAGUUUGCAAACACAGAUAAAGGUGGCCGGAGGUCGACAUAUGUUCCAAUUCAAGAGGCUGGAAUGGAAGAGUAAGUUGAGAGUCUAACGUCACAAUUGUGCAGUGGGUUCAUUGAUUUGUUAGAAAGUUCCCAUUAUGAUAUCCCAGAAUCAUCAAUGGAAAUACACUCAUCGAUUUUAGCCUUAGAUUUCAACCAUGAUAGGUAGAAUAUCCAGCAGUAGGGUUUUGGUGGUAACCCAAAAUACUAGACCCCAACAGGACAACCAAGUAGUAGUUUUGAUUUGAACUUCGGUUAGGCGAUGUUCAACACUAGGAACACUUAUAGGGGAAUGGAAUCAAGUUCCAGUAGUAGGCACUCAGUAGGUGAUUUUGUUUGUUUCAACAACUAUACAAGAAGGGAUGAUGUACUCCCUUCGAACUACAUUAACAAGGGGAUAUCCAACUAUGGACAUGUUGAUAAGUUUGAGAAUAAAGAGGGCACUAAAUUAAAUGUCGAUACAAUCUAUGAUUCAGGGUCAAAUGGUUCAGAAUUGUAUUAUUUUCUAAACUAGAGUCAAUUUUAACUAAACCAGAAUAUAGAAGUUUAAACGGUGAAGGUCCGGGUGAAAAUGUUGAAGAAGAUCCAUGGUUCAAGGCAGAUUCACUUCCGUCCCAUAUGUAUAAUGUGGACCUCUCGGCAGAAGUUGGGUAGGAGUUUGUAGAACUCCCACAUAGAUGAUCAGGCCAUGCGAGUUCUAUGUUGGAUUCGGGUGAUUUAGAAGUGGGAAAAGAGUUUUCCUCUAAAUAUGGUUUUAUCAUAGUGGUAAAGCGAUACAACAUAAAGAAAUAAGUAAACUUCCAUGUUGUUAAAUUACAAUUGGAAAAUUUUGAGGUGAAAUGUGUAAUGCUCGUUUUGCAUGCGUGUGUUGUUGCGGGUACUACGUCAAGACUGUAUUAUAUUUAAGGUAUUGAAUUCCUAAUUUUAAUGUACACGUGUUGUAGGUAUUUCACAAGAUCAUUCGAAAUUGGAUUCGGAAAUAAUCGCGAACAUAAUACUACCUUUGGUGAAAGCGAGUCCUAGGGUUGUUGUGUCGAUUUUAAUUGUAAAUAUUCGUAGCUAGUAUGAUUAAAAGUCGUCAUACUCCAAGGCAUGGGUCGUAAAGAAGAAGGCAUUAAAGAAGAUGCAUAGUGGAUGGAAUGUAUCGUACAAUGAUUUGUGGCAGUGGUGUUAGGUACUAGAGCAAUACAUUUCGAAUUGCGUAACUAAUCUAGAAACAAUGUCUACGUAUUACAACGACCAAUUGGUCCAUGGAUGCGGAGUGUUUCAUCUUUUCUGUUGGACUUUCAAGAAAUGUAGACAAACAUUCCGGUACUAUAAGCCAUUAGUAUAAAUUGACAACACUUUUAUGUAUGAGAGAUAUACGCAUUGAUGUUGUUGGCCGUAGAACUGGUGGUAAUAAAAAAAUCCUACCAAUUGCAAAAACGCCGACGAAAAAUGCUGACGAUUAGGAUUUCUUCCUGUCUAGGUUGAUGAGGUAUGUUGUCCCCUAACACGAUAUAUGCAUCAUCUCUGACAAGGGGCCUAAAAUACUGGCCGCAAUUAAACAAUAAGGAAGCUUUUAAGACUGCACACACCAUAGGUAUUGUUUAAGACAUGUUGUAGCGAACUACUAGAGACAUCAUGAGUCUGAAGCUUAACACUCACAAGUAAUUAACAUAUAUAUAUAUAUAUAUAUAUAUGUAUUUGCCAUUAUUUCAAUUGUCUGAUAUUUAACCGGUCAACAGAUGUUAGGAUGAAUGGAUAAACUAUUCACUUUUCUCGACAGGGUACGAGCUCGUCAAAAACUGUUUCCAUGAAAUGUUGGAAAACUUACAGGCCAUUAACAGUGUCUAUACAAGCUACGUCUCUAGCAUACCCUUCGAUCAAUAGACACAAUCAUAUGAAGGGGGUCUAGAUAUGUGCACAUAAUGACAAACCUGGCAGAAUGCAUCAAUUCCUUAUUGAAGGGAACGCGUCAUAUGCCGAUAACUUUGGUUGUGAAUGAAACAUAUUUCUGUUUGGCAGAAAUAUUUCCAAAGAAAUUAGGGAGGUUAUAACAUUAGCGAACUGUGUGCAUUCAAUGUGUCACUCGUACGAAGACCUAUCGUUUCGAGUUAUGAAGUUCGACAGACCUGAUCAAGGUACUGUCGGGAGAGCGUAUCGUGUACACUUGAGACCACGGACCUGCGACUAUGGGAGAUUUGACCGAAAUGUGCUUGCCAUCUAAACGAAUUAGGGAUUUUUUCAUUACUAAUUUCAAUAAACACAAAAUAAAUUGUAAUACAAAAUUAAUUUAAAAAAACUUUAAUACAAAUUUAAUAAAAAGAGAGAAUUGCAAGGGGAAUAAAAAUUGGUGUGAGAAUUAGGAGGAAAUAGAGAGAAAUCUAAAAGAGAUUUGAAAGAAUAUUGAUAAUGUGAGGGAGAGUUGAAUUGAAAAAUAAUGAAAUUAGGGGUUUAAAUAGGAAAAUAAAAAAGAGACAUUGGGGUGGAGGAGUAGUCAUUAUGAAAACAUUUCCAACUAGAAGUCUUUUCCUUCUAAUUCACUAAAAUACAUCCAACUGGAUGUGCUUUGUUUUUGCCUAAUUUGGUAAAUUUAAAAAAAAAAACAACCAAUCCAAUAAUUUUUCAAAAAAAUCGACAUUUUUCUAUAUUUUACUUAUAGACAAUAUGCUAAAUAUUCUUCAUUAAUUCCUUUCGUUUAGAUCGGGUUUUGAACUUAUACUAGCAUUAAUCCCCCAACUUUGUUAGGGUUUUUAUUUAUAAUUUAUAUAUUUUUCAUUAAUUAAAUAAUAAAUUAUAUAAAUUAUAUUAUACUAAAAAAAUAAAAAAAUAAAUGAUUACUUUUAUUUUUUGCAUUAAGAAUCUAUAUUAUUUAUAUGAAUAUUUAAAAUAUACUUAAAUCUUAUUAUUUAAAAUAAAUAAAAAUAUUUCUCACCUAAGUAGCAGCAUUCGUUUUUCAUUUUAGCUUUUUUCUGAUAUGAUUGGACAUGGAUUAUGAGUAAAUUUAUGAUUUAAUAUGUAUACUAAACCUUAAAUAUAAUAUUUUGAAAAUAAAAUAAAAUAGUCAAAUUUUUAAUAUUUUCUUCAAGCAACGAUGGUAGGAUACUAAACUAUAUAUCCAAUAGUCAGAUACAUAAUUUAAGAAUAAUAAUAAUUCUACAGGUUUUCAUACACAUUGAGUACGAAUCUUAAACUAAUAUACAAGUCACUAUGUGGACUCAACUUCACUCGAUUCUGAUUCUUAAACCUGUAGGGUAAUAAUGUAUGCUAUAUGGUUUUUGUGGGCAUCAAGGAAUAGAUUGAUCCAUGAUAGAGACGCACAAACGCCAUAGGAGAUAAUUGCUAAAGUAGGAGCUUACAUUGGUGAACUCAGUGCUCUAAGGGCCAGGUCGUCUGCAAAUAUAAUUGAAUCAGAGGUCAGAUGGAGUCCUCCGGGCGGCGAUUUCAUUAAGAUUAAUUAUGAUGCAGCAUUUCAAAAGCACUCUCUGAGAUCAUGCACAAGGAUUAUUAUUAGAAAUCAAGUAGGAGAUACUUUGGUAUCCUCAAUAGUACGGAACAAAUACAUACCUACUGAGUUUGCUGUGGAGGCUCUAGCAUGCCUUCAAGCAGUUCGGUUGGGGCUAGAUCUGGAUAGGGUGAAGCUAGAACAAAUUUUUAGGAGCGGAUAAAAUUUUAAUUUUUUAUAGUUUAUAUCUUUAUAAUUUGUAAAAAAUUAAAUUGAUUUUUUAUAAUUUUAGGGUCAAAAUAUAAUUUUACCUUUACUAAUUUAAAAUUUUUAAAAAAUUUUAAGGGCCUAAAUAAUAAUUUUAUAUUUUAGGGGGAGCCGGGUCUCUACCAACCCCUAGCUUUGCCUCUGAAUCUAGAGCUCCAAGAGGUUAUUAUCCAACGAGAUGCUCUUACGAUGGUUAAAAGACUUCUGGAUAAAAAUAAAGAUGGAUCAAUUAUUAGUACAUACAUUGAAAAGUCAAAAUUUCAAGAAAUGCAUGUUUAAGCAUACUUCAAGAAAGGGGAAUGAAACAGCACAUUGCUUGGCGACAGAAUGUUUUAAAAGGGGAGGGACUCUUAUCUUGUUGGAGGAGUGUCGGAUUUUGCAAAACCACAAGUGAAUAAUUUUAGAUUUUGUAUAAAUUUAAAAUUUAAAAUUUAAAAAUUUUAAUAAAAUUUAUUUUAAAAAGUUGUCUACGGUAUUCAACUUUCACUCCGUUUAUAAAAAUUAUUUUAUGAACUCUUUCUACCAUAUUAUUUAUAGUCCCGUCUAAUUAAAAAAGAGUAUAUCAUUUUUUUUUCAUAUCAUAUAUUCAUUAGGAGUAAAUUUCCAAAUAAAAAAUGACUGUCUUUUUUAAUUGAACGGAAUUAUAAAUAAUAUUAAUAGAAAGAGUCUAUAAAAUAAUUUCUUCUAGGAUUCAUUACAAUACAAGGCUUGAACUAAGAAUAAACCCGUGGCUUUUUUUUCUUCUCAUGGCGAAGGAAUAUGAAAACUUAGCUAUUGUAUCCAAUGACCCGUCAUUAGCUAAUAACUCAAAUGUCAAUCAGCUUAAGCUUAUAUGAAUGCCUUCGCAUAAACAAAACCAUGAAAUCUUUUGUAUGCUUUUUUUCUCCUGUUAUAUUUGUAUAACAUCUUUAGGGUUUUUCUUUUAUGUUUUCCUCUCAUUUUUAAUUAAGGGUGGAUAUUAAAUUGAAUUAAAUUGAAUGAACAAAUUUUGAAUUAAUUGAGUUGAUGAUUCUUAUUUUAUCAUUUUAAUUCGAUUCGAUUUUUUUUUAAAUUGAGUCGAGUGAAAUGAAAUUCAAGUUGAGCCGAAUCAAAUGAAAUUGUUCGAGUUAAAUUAAAAAAUUAAAUAUGUCAAAUUAAAAUCUUGCUAUAGUAUAACUAAUUUUACGUUAGAGCAAAUAAAUUUGAAACCAUAUAUAUUUGAAAAAAAUUCAAAGCAAAAUAAGAAAAAAAAAACUAAGAUACUUUAGUAUGAUAAACUUUAAUCAUUAAUUAAUUUAUUUAGGUUCUCAAAAUUAUUAUUUUAGUAGGUUUUUAAAAUUUUAACUUUCUUUAUAUAUUCUUUAGAAUUCUUUAAAAAAUUAUAUAUUUUUUAAAAAUUUAAUUUUAAAAAUUAUUUUGAAUUAUUUUGUAAUUUUUUUAGAGAUCAAAUUGUUCGUUUUCAAAAUUGAUAGGGACCAAAUAGGUAUUUAUACCAAUCCCUAUGCCUAUCCUCCCCCGUAUUGGUCUAGGCAUAAGGAUUGCAAGAAAGAAGAGUUUGAAGCAAGUAUGCUAUGCCAAACACAGACCUCUCCUCUUGGGUCAUUCAAAUAGGCACUGCCUUUUAGCUUUAAACCCUUAAUUCAAGAGACAUAUACUAUCCUCAGCAAUAUUGCUAUCACUGAUCAGAAUUUCAAUAUUUCUGUUGUGCAGGCUCCACUAUAUGGCAAGCACAGAGCAUACUUUAUUGUAAUUCAUUGUUAACUCAUCUAAAGUUUUCUGAGAAGAAGAAGACUUAGAGAAACAGAGAAAUUUAGAAAGCCAUGGAUACUAAAAACACACUGAUAUUUUAUUGAUAGGAAACUCGAUGCCCCUUACAAACUGAUAUCAUCUCCUUUUAUAGCUGAAGGAGAGAUAAUAAAACAAAAUAGUAAACAGUUCUAAAGCACACAGUACUAUAGACAUUAUUACAUAAAGCAAACAGUACUAUAAAGUAGCUGAUCAUGAGUGACUUCUUUUAGCUGUUAGCAUUUGAUUGGGGAUAUUGAGCACUGUCCAUGAAAUCUUCACUAUUUGCUGGCAUAUCCAAAUCUUCAUCCAUAUCCUUAUUAUCGUCUUGUUCUUGGUGCAUCUUUAAGAGACUGAUUUGACUACAAUACCACGGGUAUUCUUGAGACCACUCUGAAGAAUUUGGGAUGCUCUCAUAAUAAUCCUAAAUGGCUUUUAUCCUUUGUGAUAAGGUUUGGAUCUUAUUGGCCAUGUGUCUCAAGGAGCAUCAAUGUCUAGAGGAGGCCAUAUCUCAAAUGGGAUAACCCUAUUGAGCUGGCAAAGGAACUUCUGUAUGAUCCUGUAGUGUAGGUCAGAUUUUCUAAUAUCUUCAUCAAGAACUUUGUGAAUCCAUGCAGUAGGAAAAGAUCCUAACUGAGUUGAUUUUCCCUGUUGAACCAGAGAUUAUGGUUUGUGGAAGAUAAUGAUCAUAUAAUUCCCCUUAUUUUCUUGAUAAUACUGAACAAUCAUGUUUAUCAACUGUGUUAGAGGAUGAAACCAACAUAAAAAAGUAAAAAAAGUUUUUAUGUUGUGGUUCAAUAUUUCCUCUAAUAACUUUCAUCAAAAAAUAACAGAGAUCAGGGAUGAGGAAUUGAAUGGCUAUAUGAUGGAGAUAAGUGAGGUACCACAAGAACCAUUUUACUUCAUUAGGUUGUUCCACAAAUUCAAAUUUGAUAGGAUGAAUGAAGGGAUAAUCAGGAUGCACACCCCAUGGUCUUAGGAUAAGUCCGCUAAAAUUUUUAAAGACUUGAAUUUGAUAUUCAAACAUCAUGUCUUUGGUUUUGGGAUGAAAGUUUCCUUGUUCAAUCAAAGUCAUGACUUCAGGUGGAAAUUUUGGAUUAAGGUUUGGGGCAAUAGGGUAAGAAGUAAGAAAUGGAGAAGAUGAAGAGGAUGGUCUAUACAUCAUGAUGGGUCUGGGCUAGAAAAUUCUUCUGUAGGCGAGGACUUUUGGUUUGGGCCUAGAAAGAAAAUUAGUAAGGACACUUUACUUUCCUUUUAUAUGUCUGGUAUUAAACUUAAAUUGGGAAAACCAUUCAACCCAUCGGAGAAGUUGAGGGUGUGGGACUAUUUUCUGCUUGAACUUGAGCAUUUGUGGAAAAGAUGACAUUUCCAUUUCAAUAAGAAAAUGAUAUCCCGCAAGAUGAAAUUUAAAUUUUUCAAUACCUUUUUUGACUGCAAUGAUUUCUUUGAAAGUGGAAUGGUAAUAGCUUUCUGCAUUUGAAAAUCUUCCACUUUUGUAUCCAUAAAGAUGUCUUUUACCAUUUCUUUCUUCAAGUAGGAUUUCUCCCUAAUAUUUGUUACUGGCAUCUGUUUACAAAAUCCUUUUUCCAUCAGAAGGAAUUUAGAGUGGAGGAAAAUUCUGGUCAACUCUUUCAGUCUUUGAACUGCUCUUGUUUGAGAGGAAGACCAUAAGGGAGAUUCUUUCUUGAGCAUUUUUGUUAGGGGGUUAAUAUAUUUAGAAACUUUAGGAAUAAAAUCUCUAAGAUAAUUAACAAUUCCUAAAAAUUGUUGUACCUGUUUAAAGGACAAGUUUUUAAAUGAAAACUUGAGAAGUUCUUGAGCAAUAUGAGAACCUGGAGAAAAUCUUCCAUCUUUUAGUUCUAUUCCCAGAAAUUCAAUUUCUGGUUUGUUUAUCUGCAUCUUCUUUUUCUGAAAGCAUUAUCCCAUAUUUGAAAAUAAGGGAUUUGAAAUCUUCAAGAAGCUGAGCAUGCAAUUCUUCAUCUUGACUAUAAAGCAAGAUAUCAUCAAUAUAGAUCAAACCAUUUUCCAUCAAAAGAUGAAAAAUCUUUAUCAUUGCUUUCUGAAAAAGUGAAGGAGUUGUUUUUAAUCCAAACGGUAUUACUUUCCACUGGAAAUGUCUGUUAGGAAUACAGAAUCCUAUUUUUUAUCUGUCAUCAGGAUGUAUUCCCAAUUGCCAAAAUCCCUCUUUGAGAUUAAACUUGGAGAAAACUCUUUCUUUAACCAAACUUGAAAAAAAUGAGUUCUUGUUUGGCAGAGGAAACUUGUCAUCUUGGAGGAAAUGAUUAAGAGGUUGAUAAUUUAUUACUAAUCUUAACUUUCUUCUUAUUUGCUCAGAUAUUUUAUUGACAUAAAAAGCUUCACAUGCCCAUUGGGAAUCUGAUGGUUCAAUUAGAUCUUGUUGUUGUAAUUCUUUGCAUUCUUGUUCUGCCAGCAAUAAGUGAUCUGGAUUCAUUCCCUGAUGAUUGGCCUUUGUUGGAUUAAUAUCUUCAUUUUUCUAGAAGGGAAGGUGAAUGAAGAAUUUUGGGGUUUUCCAUAAAGGAUUUGGGCUUUUUUAGGAAUUUUGAAUGAGAAUCUGCACAUGAUUGAGUUUUUAAUUCUUGAAUAAUCUGAAGGAUUUUUUCUGAUUGAAUAGAAAAGAGUUUUGGUGUUUUCACAAAAGGUUGGAAAAGAUUUUUGAAUCUUACUCCAUCUGGGAGUAUUCUUAAAUGUUGGGAUUUUAUGUAGAGGACAAAACCUACUACAAUAUCUUUUCCUGGAAGUUUUGAACUAAGUACUGUAGUUUUAACACAACAACCUAGGAAGAACUGAAUAGUAAUAGGCUUACUAAUGAGAUGGGUAGCAAAUGGAUGAUCAGCAGUAGAAUUAAAGUACCUUACAUGAGGUUUCCACCAUUCUGAAGGUAAAACAUCUAGAUUCAUGAUGGUUUCAGCUGCUCCAGUAUCUAUAAAGGCAAUUAUAGUAAUGGGUUUAUUAUAUUUGUCCAAAUAGAUCUUGACAGGUACUUGAAGAACUGAAUUAUACCAACAGAUAUGUUCUAGACUUUUGCUUGUAUCAUCUGUAUAUCUGAAUAAUCUGACUCUGGCUCUGAAGAUUCACUAAGACAAGCAAGAAUAGCACAAAUUGUCUUAUCUGAUAGUUCAUCUUCAAUGGAGCAAACAGAUUCUAUGUCAUCUUCUUCUCGUAAUUUAAUUCUUGAUUGUCUAACUGUCUGUACGAGGCCUGUUUGGUUUUUGUACAAUUUUUUGAGAAAUGCCCUUUUUGAUUACGAUGAAACAACGAUCAGAUUUUGUUGUUAUUCUUUUCUUCUUGAGAUAUCUCUAUUGAGGUUUCUUUCUUCUUCUCCAUCUUGAAGUAUUUUUUGAAAAUGAAUAUUUUUUGAAAUGUUUCUUUUUCUUUGUGCGACAGUCACAUAGCUGAUCUUUUGCACAUUUAUAUUUCAGAUGAGAAUCAUCACAAGCUUUAUCAAUCUUUUUGUCACCAUGGAGAUAAUCCUUGAAUAUCCUUCUUCUGUUGCAGAUAUCUUCUUAGGCAAUAAAGACCUUUUGUUGAAGUUCUCCAACAGUUAUCUGGAGAAUGUCUUUAUUUUGUCUUUGAAGACCUUGGUUGACUGCAACUUGAAGUGGAUCUGGGAGGGAUGAAAGGAUGACUGGCUUAAGAUUUGGAUUUAAGCCUAAAGCACAAAAUAAUUCAGUUCUUAUUUUAAAGUGCUUUGCUAAAUCCCUUUUGCUGUAUGAACAACAUUUUCUUUUGUAGAAUUCCCUUCUCUUCAAUGUUAACUAAUAUUCAAGGUUUCCUACAAAAUGGUGGUGUAUAAUCUUGAUUGGUUAGGCCAGAUAUUGGAGAACUAGAAACUGCAUUUGAUCAUGUUAAGUAAUAGCAUUCCACCAAUCUCUUAACAUCCCAGUAAAUCUGGAAACAAAUUCCAUGAGGAUGUUGUAAUUGUUAUCUUCAGUUAAUUUGCGAGUUUCUAACCAGGAAUGGAACUCCUGGAUUCUUUCAGGCCAUUUUUCUGCUGUUAAAUCAUCAAGUGUGAAAGUGGUUCUUCCAAUGAAAGUUUUUGGCGUUUGUCUCUAUGGUGCAGAAGAUGAUUCUGGCAUUUCUUGCAUUUCUUCAUCACUUGGCUCUUCCACUUUAGUUGUUUGGAAGGCUUUCAGAAGAUUUUCAUCCUUUGUUUCUGUUUGUUCUUCUGAUGAAUAUUUACAUUCUUCUGGCGUACUUAAAUUUUCCCAUGAAUCAGUUUCAUUAUCUGAUUUUUGUGAUUGAUUGUAGAUUCUAUGUAAUCUUUUAAAAAAGUUGUUAAAGGAUUUUGGUGUUCUUCUUGAAUCAUUAGAGACUUUGAAACUUGUUUUGGAGGCGGUGAUUUUGGUAGAGAUUCUUCUAAAAUUGGCCUCUUUCCAAGCUUAUUUUAUGUCUGAUAAGCUUCACUUUCACUGGGUAUUUUAGCCUUUUUAGUGACUUUUUUCUUUUUCUUUUCAGUUUCUUGCUUUUUAAUUUCCAGAAAAAUUUCAUAUGUACUUAGCAUAAUACGUUUUGGAAAUUCUGGGAAGGUAAUUUUCACUCAUUCUGUUGGAAGAGAACUUUUCUGUCUGAUAGAAGGAAACAGCUCAAUUGUUUCUGCUCUUUAAGUUGGCUCAAGAAUCUUUCUUGUUUCUUGAAGAGUUUCAAUUUGAUCUUUUAAUUUUUGAAUUUCACUUUCUCUCUGUGCAAGAUGAGAGAAGAAAUCUUGUCCUGGUGUUGCUGGUUCUCUUACUACUGCAUCUAGCCUUUUUUACAAAAGAUUAAUAAGAUCUCUGAUCAUUUUGGUAUUGUCAUCUACCUUUGCUUCAAUAGCUGAAAUCUUUGUAUCAAUUCUUUUUAAGGCAUGAUUCUAGGCAAUAGCAUUUUCUGUUUACCAAUUGAGGGUGGCUUCUGCAGCACUAAUCAUGAGUGUAAUUUUUCUCUGAAUACUCUUCAAGAGGGGGAAAUUCUUUAUCAUAUGACAAAGUGCGCUGCAUCAUGCAUGCAACAGAAACUAGUUCUUGAGAAGCAAGAAAGUCUGGGUUUUUCUUAACCCAUUUGUUUAUUUUCUUGUAACAGGAUUGGGGAAAAGGUUUUUGUUUUGAAGGUUUUGGAUUUUGUGGAGGAGGUGAAAGAGAUGGUUUUGAAAGAGGUGAAGAAGGUUUAUAAGGUCUUGGAAGAACCUGUUUAUCUGGUAAAGAUCUAUGAGAUGAAUAAUCAACAAGGUAAACAAAUUUACCAUUAUCCUCUCCAAGCGAACCAAUGUCUGGAUCUCCUUUCAUCCAUCUUCUAUAAAGCUCAGAUUGAGUGGAUUUUUUGUUUUUCUUUUUCUUUCCUAGCUUGGAUGCAGUAUUAUCCAAGUGAUCAAUCCAAGCACUCAUUCUAUCAUCAGCAUAGAAAUCACUUGAACAAUGAAGAUCCCAAGGGCAAUGUCCUGUUUUUUCAUCUUUGAACAUGUACAAAGGUCUUCCUUCAGUAGAAAAGCUUUGUAUCAUACUUCUUUCUGGACCUGGUUCACAUAGUUUUAAAAGAAUCUCUACCAAAAUCACCGCCACCAAAACAAGUUUCAAAGUCUCUGAUGAUUCAAGAAGAACACCAAAAUCCUUUAACAACUUUUUUAAAGGAUUACAGAGAAUCUACAAUCCUAAGAAUUUCAGCAUUGCAGAAUCAAUCACAAAAAUCAGAUACUGAAACUGAUUCAUGGGAAAAUUCAAGUACGCCAGAAGAAUCUGAAUCUUCAUUAGAAGAACAAAUAAAAACAAAGGAUGAAAAUCUUCUGAAAGCCUUCCAAACAGCUAAAGUAGAAUAGCCAAGUGAUGAAGAAAUGCAAGAAAUGCCAGAAUCAUCUUCUGCACCACAGAGACAGACGCCAAAAACUUCUAUUAGAAGAACCACAUUCACUCUUGAUGAUUUACCAGCAGAAAAAUGGCCAGAAAGAAUCCAGAAGUUCCAUUCCUAGUUAGAAACUCGCAAAUUAACGGAAGAUAGCAAUUACAACAUCCUCAUGGAAUUUGUUUCCAGAUUUACUGGGAUGUUAAGAGUUGGUGGAAAGCUAUUACUCAAAAUGAUCAGAUGUAGUUUCUAGUUCUCCAAGAUCUGUCCCAACCAAUCAAGAUUAUACACCACCAUUUUGUAGAAAACCCUGAAGAUUUGUUAACAUUGAAGAGAAGGGAAUUCUACAAAAGAAAAUGUUGUUCAUACAGCAAAAAGGAUUUAGCAAAGUACUUUAAAAUAAUGACUAAAUUAUUUUGUGCUUUAGGCUUAAAUCUAAAUCUUAAGCCAGCCAUCCUUUCAUCCCUCCCAGAUCGACUCCAAGUUGCAGUCAACCAAGGUCUUCAAAGACGAAAUAAAGACAUUCUUCAGACAACAGUUGGAGAACUUCAACAAGAGGUCUUUAUUACCUUAGAAGAUAUCUGCAACAAAAGAAGGAUACUCAAGGAUUAUCUCCAUGGUGACAAAAAGAUUGAUAAAGCUUGUGAUGAUUCUCAUCUGAAAUAUAAAUGUGCAAAAGAUCAGCUAUGUGACUGUCGCACUAAGAAAAAGAAACAUUUCAAAAAACAUUCUUUUUCAAAAAAUACUUCAAGAUGGAGAAGAAGAAAGAAGCCUCAAUGGAGAUAUCUCAAGAAGAAAAGAAGAACAAAAAAAUCUGAUAGUUGUUACAUCUGUAAUAAAAAAUGACAUUUCUCAAAAAAUUGUCCAAAAAACAAACAGGCCUCGCACAGACAGUUAGACAAUCAGAAAUUAAAUUAUGAGAAGAAGAUAAUAUAGAAUCUGUUUGCUCCAUUGAAUAUGAACUAUCAGAUAAGACAAUUUGUGCUAUUCUUGCUUGUCUUAGUGAAUCUUCAGAGCCAAAGUCAGAUUAUUCAGAUAUACAGAUGAUGCAAGCCAAAGUCCAGAACAUUUCUGUUGAUAUAAUUCCAGUUCCUCAUGUACCUGUCAAGAUUCAUUUGGACAAAUAUAGUAAACCCAUUACUAUAAUUGCCUUUAUAGAUACUGGAGCAGCUGAAACCAUCAUGAAUCCAGAUGUUUUACCUUCAGAAUGGUGGAAACCUCAUGUAAGGUACUUUAAUUCUACUGCAGAUCAUGCCUUUGCUACCCAUCUGAUUAGUAAGCCUUUUACUAUUCAGUUCUUCCCAGGCUGUUGUGUUAAAACUACAGUACUUGGUUCAAAACUCCCAGGAAAAGAUAUUGUAAUAGGUUUUGACCUCUACAUAAAAGCCCAACAUUUAAGAACAUUUCCAGAUAGAGUAAGAUUCAAAAAUCUUUUCCAACCCUUUGUGAAAACACCAAAACUCUUUUCCAUUCAAUCAAAAAAAAUCCUUCAGAUUGACAAGAAUUAAAAACUCAAUCAUGUGCAGAUACCCAUUCAGAAUUCCUGAAAAAAUGCCUAAAUCAUUUAUAGAAAAACCCAGAAUUCUUCAUUCACCUUCCCUUUAAGAAAAAUGAAGAUAUUAAUCCAAAAAAGGCCAGUCAUCAGGGAAUGAAUCCAGAUCACUUAUUGCUGGCAGAAUAAGAAUGCAAAGAAUUAUGACAACAAGAUCUAAUUGAACCAUCAGAUUUCCAAUGGGUAUGUGAAGUUUUUUAUGUCAAUAAAAGAUCUAAGCAAAUCAAAGGAAAAUUAAGAUUGGUAAUAAAUUAUCAACCUCUUAAUCAUUUCCUCCAAGAUGACAAGUUUCCUCUACCAAACAAGAACUCAUUUUUUUCAAGUUUGGCUAAAGCAAGAGUUUUCUCCAAGUUUCAUCUCAAAGCGGGAUUUUGGAAAUCAGGAAUACAUCCUAAUGACAGACAAAAAAUAGGAUUUUGUAUUCCUAACAGACAUUUCCAGUGGAAAGUAAUGCCGUUUGGAUUAAAAACAGCUCAUUCACUUUUUCAGAAAGCAAUGAUAAAGAUUUUUCAUCCUUUGAUGGAAAAUGCUUUGAUCUAUAUUGAUGAUAUCUUACUUUAUAGCCAAGGUGAAGAAUCUCAUGCUCAGCUCCUUGAAGAUUUCAAAUCCCUUAUUUUCAAAUAUGGGAUAAUGCUUUCAGAAAAGAAAAUGCAGAUAAACAAACCAGAAAUUGAAUUUCUGAGAAUGAAGCUAAAAGAUGGAAUAUUUUCUCCAAGUCCUCAUAUUGCUCAAGAACUUCUCAAGUUUCCAUCUGAAAACCUGUCUUUUAAACAGGUACAAUAAUUUUUAGGGAUUGUUAAUUAUCUUAGAGAUUUUAUUCCUAAAGUUUCUAAGUAUAUUAACCCCCUAACAAAAAUGCUCAAGAAAGAACCUCCCUUAUGGUCUUCCUCUCAAACAAGAGUAGUUCAAAGGCUGAAAGAGUUGACCCAGAAUUUUCCUCCACUCCAAAUUCUUUCUGAUGAAAAAUAAUUUUGCAAACAGAUGCCAGUGACAAAUAUUGAGGAGUAAUCUUACGUGAAGAAAGAAAUGGUAAAAGACAUCUUUGUGGAUACAAAAAUGGAAGAUUUUCAGAUGCAGAAAUCUAUUACCAUUCCACUUUCAAAGAAAUCCUUACAGUAAAAAAAGGUAUUGAAAAAUUUAAAUUUCAUCUUGCGGGAUAUCAUUUUCUUAUUGAAAUGGACAUAUCAUCUUUUCCACAAAUGCUCAAGUUCAAGCAAAAAAUAGUCCCUCACCUUCAACUUCUCCGAUGGGCUGAAUGGUUUUCCUAAUUUAAGUUUAAUACCAAGCAUAUAAAAGGAAAGCAAAAUGUCCUUGCUGAUUUUCUUUCUAGGCCCAAACCAGAAGUCCUCACCCACAGAAGAAUUUUUCAGCCCAGACCCUUCAUGAUGUAUAGACCAUCCUCUUCAUCUUAUCCAUUUCUUACUUCUUACCCUGUUGCCCUAAACCUCAAUCCAGAAUUUCCACCUGAAGUCAUGACUUUUAUUGAACAAGGAAACUUUCAUCCCAAAACCAAAGACAUGAUGUUUGAAUAUCAAAUUCAAGUUUUUAAAAAUUUGAGAGGACUUAUCCUAAGACCAUGGGGUGUGUAUCCUGAUUAUCCCUUCAUUCAUCCUAUCAAAUUUGAAUUUGUGGAACAACCUAAUGAAGUAAAAUGAUUCUUGAGGUACCUCACUCAUAUCCAUCACAUAGCCAUUCAAUUCCUCAUCCCUGAUCUCCGUUAUUUUCUGAUGAAUGCCAUUAGAGGAAAUAUUGAACCACAACAUAAAAAGUUUUUUUACUUUUUUAUGUUGGUUCCAUCCUCUAACACAGUGGAUGACCAUGAUUGAUCAGUAUUAUCAAGAAAAUAAGGGGAAUUAUAUGAUCAUUAUCUUCCACAAAUCACAAUCUUUGGUUCAACGGGGAAAAUCAACUCAGUUAGGAUCUUUUCCUACUGCAUGGAUUCACAAAGUUCUUGAUGAAGAUAUUAGAAAAUUUGACCUACACUACAGGAUCAUAUAGAAGUUCCUUUGCUAGCUCAAUAGGGUUAUCCCAUUUGAGAUAUGGCCUCCUCUAGACAUUGAUGCUCCUUGGGACACAUGGCCAAUAAGAUACAAACCUUAUCAUAAAGGAAUCUUAAAAGCCAUUUAGGAUUAUUAUGAGAGCAUCCCAAAUUCUUCAGAGUGGUCUUAAGAAUACUCGUGGUAUUGUAGUCAAAUCAGUCUCUUAAAGAUGCACCAAGAAUAAGACGGUAAUGAGGAUAUGGAUGAAGAUUUGGAUAUGACAGCAAAUAGUGAAUAUUCCAUAGACAGUGCUCAAUAUCCCCACUCAAAUGCUAACAGCUGAAAGAAGCCACUCAUGAUCAGCUACUUUAUAGUAUUGUUUGCUUUAUGUAAUAAUGUCUGUAGUACUGUGUGCUUUAGAACUGUUUACUAUUUUGUUUUAUUAUCUCUCCUUCAGCUAUAAAAGGAGAUGAUAUCAGUUUGUAAGGGCAUUAAGUUUCCUAUCAAUAAAAUAUAAGUGUGUUUUUAGUAUCCAUGGCUUUCUAAAUUUCUCUGUUUCUCUAAGUCUUCUUCUUCUUAGAAAACUUUAGAUGAGUUAACAAUGAAUUACAAUAAAGUAUGCUCUGUGCUUACCAUAUAAUGGACCUGCACAACAGAAAUAUUGAAAUUCUGAUCAAUGAUAGCAAUAUUGCUGAGGAUAGCAUAUGUCUCUUGAAUUAUGGGUUUGAAGCUAAAAGGCAAUGCCUAUUUGAAUGGCCCAAGAGGAGAGGUCUGUGUUUGGCAUAGCAUACUUGCUUCAAAUUCUUCUUUCUUGCAACCCCUGUGCCUAUCCUCCCCAGUAUUGGUCAAUAAAAAUUAAGCAGGGGCUAUUGGUAAAUGCUCUCCCCUUGAUUUUUUUACUGUUUUGUUUGCAUUUUUUUUGCAUUAAUUGUUGUCUGUAUACAGUUUUUUGCUAUUUAAAUGAUUUUUUUAUAUUAAAAACAUGUACAACUUACAAUUUUUUAAUUGUAUGGUAACUUUUUAAAUUAUUCAUGAUUUUUUUAACGUUUAAAUGGUUUAAUUGCAAUAAUUAAAUGGUUUAAAACACUUUUUUUUGAACGUUUAAAAGAUUUUUCAUUAAUUAAAAAGUUUCCAUGCAAUAAACCAUUUAAACGUUAAAAAAUACAAUGUUUAAUGGUGUAAAAAAUCUUUAAAUUUUGUCAAAAAAAAUUAAAUCUUUAUUUUUUUGCACUCAAUCGGGUACUUGAAUUUUCAAAAUGCAUAAAAAAGACUCUCAAACUUUUUCAAAAAAAGCAAUUAAGCCCCUACUUUGUUUUUGCACUCAAUUGGGUACUUAACUUUCAAAAUGCAUAAAAAAAACCCUUAAACUUUUUCAAAAAAAAAACAAUGAAGCCCUUUUUUUUUUGCACUCAAUUGGGUAUUUGAACUGUGAAAUACAUCAAAAAGGCCAUUUGAUCAUUAACUUUAAUAGUUGACAGUUAAAUUUAACUACCUUUAAACUUUUUAGUUAAAACCACCUCAUGUUACAACCACAGCGUGACAUGUGAAAAAAAUUAUAAAAAAUAAAUAUCAAUAAAAUUUAUAAAAAAAUAUUAACUUUUAAUAAAAAAUAUAAAAUAUUAUAAAAUUAUAAAAAUCAUAAAAAAUUGUAAACUUUUGUAAAAAUUAUAAAAAAAUUUAUUAAAUGCAUCAAAAAUCUCAUUUAACCAUUAACUUUAAUCGUUGAUAGUUAAAAUAAGCGACCCCCAAUUUUUUUAGUUAAAGUCCUUAUGUGUUGCAAAAUAGCGUGACAUGUGGUGAAAAAUGAUCAAAAUAAAAAUCAAUAAAAGUUAUAGAAAAUUUAUAAAAUAUUUCUUUUAGUACGAUAAUUUUUAUAAUUUUUUACAAAUUUUAUAUUUCUUUACAUUUUUUAUAAUUUUCUUAUGACUUUAUAAAAUUUUAUAAUUUUUUCUAUAUUUCUAUAUAUUUAUAAUUUUUUACGAUUUUUAUAACAUUUUAUAAUUUUAAAUAUUUUUUAAAUAUUUUUUAUUAAAAUUUAUAAUAUUUAUAACUUUUAUUUAUUUUUAUUUUUAUCAUUUUUUUGUCACAUCGCACAUUGUGGUUGUGACACAUGGUGAUUUUAAUUGAAAAAAUUAAGGGCGAUUUCAGUACCCAAUUGAGUGAAAAAGAAGUAGGGGUUUCAUGGGCAUCAAAAUCACUAAAUAUAAAUUCCUACGACAAAAUAACAGUAAUAGCAGUAUAGAAUAGUAGGUCGAAUCCACAGAGAUUGACUAUCUAAUUUUGCCUUUUUCCGUGACCAGAAUCGCUGUCACAGUCAUAGUCGUGCCCACAAUCUAUGCGUAACAAUGCUAAAAAAUAAAAAUAGGGGGUUUAAAUUGAUAAAGAUAAUAAAAUAAGGAGAUAUGAAGUGUAAUAAAAUAAAAUAAAAUCAUAUUUGAAAUUGUAAAUAAAAUAAAUUUAAGCAAAUAAAAUAAAUUGGUAAAUAAAAUAUAUUUUAGCUUAGCCCUAACCUCCGUGUACUCCAAUUUUGAAUCGACCAUUGAAAUAGAUUUUUCCUUCCAAGCGAUAAAUACUUUGUCGAAGCGAUAACCAGGCUAAAACUAAAAAAGGUUUUAUUAAUCAUGGAAAUAAUUGGCAGAAUGAAGUGUUUAAUUGGUUGUAGCCACUAGGUAUUUAUACACACUUCUGGUGCUAAAAUUUAGCUAGAUUUUUUAUAAAUAUUAUCACUAAAUAAAUCAAAAUUUUAAAAAUCAAAUUUAAACUAGAGACUAAAUUCAAACUAAUUACAGAAUUUUAACAAUAUAAAAAAACAUCUUUCAAUUUUUAUCCAACCACUUUUUUUUUAAAUCUUCAACCCUUCAAUCUUUCAAUCAAGUCUUCCUCUUUACUUUUUGUUUCAAGCUAGCCCUUGUCGAAACCAUUUUUAAAUUUUUAAAAACGGGGAUCGACUUUAAAAAUAUGAAUGGAGUCGCCACCAAUCCUUUUUGAGGUGUGAUUGGGCGACCCUAGAAUUGAUCGUUUUAAUAAAACAUUUGGGCUUAUUAAAACAAUGAUUUUUGGUCUGCUAAAUUUGAGAAAACGGGCUCGGGAGUCGGUUACAUACGAGGAAGGGUUAGCACCCUCGCAACGCCCAAAAAUUGGUACCUUAUUUGAUUAGUUAAUGUCUUGAUGUCGAAACUUAAAAAGAUUUUAGAGUACGAUCUUCUUACUUAAAAAAAAACGUAAAUUGAAUAAAAUGUAAAGACCCACUCAUUUCGAAGGAGAAAUAUGCCAUACCCAGUAAGUUAGGGUCUAACACUUCAGACCUUCGGAACUAAGUUAGUCUUUGAUUUUUUUAAAAUUCAUGUAUGAAGGUUCAAGAGAAGGGUAUUUGGUCAUUCGGGACUCAUGAAAAAUUAGAACUCAAUAAGUUAGAGCUCAAUCUUUCAAAACUCCCAAGUGCCAGGUAUUGCCUUGAUUUUAGAAAUCCCUAUCCUCAAAACCGCAAUGCCACACCCAGUAAGUUAGGGUGCAACAUCUUAAAUUCCAAGAAUAGUUUUUUAUUCGAACUUCAUACAAGUAGAUUUAAGAAGGGUACUCGGUUAUUUAGGUUUAACGAGAAAAAUUGGAACCCAGUAAGUUAGGGCACAAUCUUCCCCAGGAUCCUAAAUAUCGAACAUUGCCUUUAUUUUGAAAAUAGUCGAGGAUAAAUCUUUAAAUAAAAUGAAUUUGGGCGGUUGAAACUUAAUAAAAAAAUGAUAACAUGCAAUAUGAAAAUAGCAAUAUAAUAACCCUAAUAACAUAUAUUAAUACCUAAAAUAUAUCAAGCAUAAAGAAAAUUAAGAACAGUAGUAAUAACAGAAGUGAUGAAUAUAAUAACAUGAUAAAUACAACAAUGAUUAAAAAAAAUGCACAAUGGAAUGGAAGAUAAUAAGCCAAUGAUGAUGUUAGAUAUAGUGAUGCAAGUAAAAAAAAAAGAUAAUAAUUAUAGUAAAUUAGUGGUAGUGUAAAAUAAUAAAUAAUAAUAGUUUAGUAUAAAAAUAGUGACCGAUAAGAACAAUGGUAUAUAUAAAAAUAAAUAAAUAAAAAUAUCAUAAUAGGUCUAUUGAUAAUUAUAUUUGAAAAAAAACUUUAGUGAAAAAAAAAUAUAAAAAGUUAUAAAUAAUAAUAAUAAAGUAGUAGUAGUAAAUAGUAAAAAUAAAUAAAGUAUAACAAGCAAAAUAUAGUAAGUAUAACAAUCUAUAUUUAAAAUUAUUAACCUUUAAUAAUAUAUAUAUAUAUAAAUAUUUAAGAUAAAGAGUACAAAAAAUGAUUUUUUUUAAAAUUAAUAUAAUAGAUAAUAUAAUAAAUAUAAUAAAAAUUUAUACAUAAAAUAAUUAGUUUUACUUUUAAAAUAUACAUAUAUAAUAAGCAUAUAACAAAUAUGUAAAUAAGUAAAUAAUAUAAUAAUGUGAAACAACUCAAAUUGAUUAAGUUAAAUAAAAAUAAUAUAAAACAAAAUUUUUAAAAAAUAAUAAUAAUAUAAUAAGUAUAAUAGGUAAUAGUAUAAAAACAGUAUAAUAAAUAGUGGGAUGGAAAAAACUAAAAAACCAGUAGGAUAUAAUAGAAUAAAAAUAAUAAAUAUUACAAACAAAAAACAAUUAAUUUUAUGUUAAAAGUAUUUAAAUAAUCAAAAUGGGGCUUAAUUGAAAUUAAAAUGGGAGUUUUUGGGCCAAAAUCGGAAUUAAAAAGGUUAGGGGGACCACGUUGGACGCGCAUGUGAACUAGGGGGACCAAAAAUGGAAAAUUCUCUUUUGCCCAAUGUACAGCAUUUAAUACAGGACUAAAACGAAGAGGCGCGCAAAUAUUUGGGGCCAAUUUUUAAAAAACAAAAAAGUAGCAUAAAAGGACCCAAUCUAGUGGCCACACGCAAACGAGGGACUAGGUGCGCCAUAAGCCCAAAAAAAUUAAAUGGUCCACUCUCUUCGUAAUUAAAACCAAAAAAGUUGGCUGUUUGCCAUUAACACUAAAAUUAAAGAAACCCCCCCCCCCCCAUUUCUUUAAUCCCAUUCUGCCGAAUUCAAAAAAGAAAACCAAGGGGUUCGGCCCCCUUUCUCCUUUUGCUAGGGCGCAGCGCCCAUCAUCGCAGCGCUUUCCCUCCCCUGCGUGCUCAUCGGCGACCGUCGGAAACCAGGUAAGGCCCUCCUAAAAUCUUUUUAUUUUUUUAAACUCUGUUUUUCAAAAAUACAAGAUAGAUCCACAAAAAGCUCUAAAGAUUAAAAAACUAAAAGAAAAUAUUGUAACCACCUUAUUCUAUUUGAAUGUAUGAAAGCUUUUACUCAAAACUUGUUGUUUUCGUAUAUUUCUCUCUGAUUUUUGUAGUAAAAAAAAACCGAUCGCUUUACAUUGUUUAGAAUUGCUUUUAUAGCCUAGAAAAACAAAUAAAAUCUUCUAUUGGUUGCUAUCUGUUUGCUUCCUGUUACAGGUGUUGUUGCGGAUAUCUCGGAAGCACGAGGCGUGACAAAAAGGGACUGCUAGUAGCGCAUGUCUCGGAGGUGCGGUGGAUGGUGGAGUGGGAUGUUGGUGAGAGGCGUGCGGCGCGAAGGCUCAAGCAACAGCUUUAGGUUUCUGUUUGUUUGGGCCUUGUUUGGGUUUAUUUUUUGGGCCUGUGUUUUAGAUGUAAAUGGGUCUUGGGUUUUGGAGCUUUGGGCCCGGGCAUAAAUUUGGUCCUAUAGCUACCCCUCUUUGCUCAUUGUCGUGUAACGGGAAUAGAGAAAAGAUUUUAGAAGGGCCAAAUUUGACUGGGCUGGCUGAGUCUUGUCUUUUUUGCCGUAACCCACCGUACCUUAUUGCUUCAAAACGCUUCGUUGCUGCUUCACGGAGAUGUGAUCUGCUGUAAUUUGAUCUGCUUUACUCCUACUCAGUAAAGAUAAGAUCUAGUAUGUUUAGCCUGCUCCACUCCUGCUUAGUGAAGAUAAGGCUGGUGGCUGAAAUCUGCUCCAUUGCCGAUACAUGAAGAUAAGAUUCACCAAAAUUUGAUCUGCUCCGCUCCUGCUCAGCGAAGAUAAGAUCUAGUAUAUAGCCUACUCCACUCCUGCUCAGUGAAGAUAAGGCUGGUGGCUGAAAUCUGCUCCAUUGCCGAUACAUGGAGAUAAGACUUGCCAAAAUUUGAUCUGCUUCACUUCUGCUCAGUGAAGAUAAGAUUUGGUAUUUAGCUUGCUCCACUCCUGCUCAGUGAAGAUAAGGCUGGUGGCUGAAAUCUGCUCCAUUGCCGAUACAUGGAGAUAAGACUUGCCAAAAUUUGAUCUGCUUCACUUCUGCUCAGUGAAGAUAAGACUGAUGAUAUCUGUAAUCCUGCUACAUUGUCCUCUGGGGAAUCCAUCUGUAGAAGAGUGAUAUGCUUAUGCUAGAUGAUUAGGAUGUCAUGAUUAAUAUGAAUCAAAUGCUCCUAACUACAUGUAUUAUGGAUGUUAAAUGCACAAAAUGCAAAAUGUCAUGAGAAUGAUCCAUUUUAAUUUUUGGGCUAUCAUCGCUCGUUGUUUACUAAGGUAACAUCCCUGACAUAUGCCUUCUUGUUCAGCUUGGUAGAAGAGGACUUGGAGAUGCGGUUAAUUCCUUAUUUUCUCACACAUUUUAAGCUCGGUGACUUCUAAAUAAUUGUCCUGUUUCAGGUUCUCGUACUGUUUAGAAACCUUUCAGAGUAAUAUGCAAAACCUUCUUCUGAGAGCAUUAUUAGUUUAUUAAUCAUUAUUCAAUAAAAAUACUCGAAAAAGAUUAUAAUGAUAGGUAGAACUGAAAUUUAUUCGAGUCAAAAUUUACGAAAGAUGUAUCAACAAAGAAAGCAGACAUUGUUUGAGAUACAAAAAUGGAUGAAAAGGAAUAGAAUAGAUGCCCCAGAUUUCGCAGUUUGAGCUUCCCUGUACGAACUCCUCGGGGACCCUUUUAAACUUGGCACGCGCUCAAGGGAUCUAUAGCAUUUUGUUAAUGCCCCAAGAUGUAGCUUAUCUCUUCUUUGUCGAUUCAAGUGUAGUGAAACUGCCGCUUGCCCCAGUUUGGAUCGAAAUUUGAAUUGCCCUUUGCGGGUUUUCAACUUUGGUCUCAAGGUGCCCUUUUACGGGUUUUCACCUUGGCCUCUCCUUUUUUUUUGGCGCCCUUUACGGGUUUUCAUCUCAACUACUUCAAGCAAAAUAUCUUUUGACAGAAUCCGAAUUUAUCGGGUUAGGCAAGCUCUUGCCAUCCAUCUCUGCUAGUAUCAAUGCCCCUCCAGAGAAAGCCUUUUUUUACCACAUAGGGUCCUUCCCAAUUUGGCAUCCAUUUCCCCCUGAAAUCUUUUUGCACAGGGAGAAUCUUUUUCAAUACUAAGUCCCCCUCAUGGAACACCCUGGGGCGAACUUUUUUGUUGUAGGCUCGCAUCAUUCUCCUCUGGUACAUUUGACCAUGACGAAUAGCCUUCAGCCUCUUCUCUUCAAUCAAGUUUAGUUGAUCGUAACGAGAUUGGAUCCAUUCUGCUUCAUCUAACUUCAGCUCUGAUAAAACUCGGAGGGAAGGGAUUUCGACCUCAAUAGGUAAAACUGCCUCCAUCCCAUAAACCAAUGAGAAAGGUGUUGCCCCUGUAGAAGUUCUGACAGAUGUCCGAUAAGCAUAAAGGGCAAAUGGGAGCUUUUCAUACCAAUCUUUGUAGGUCUCCGCCAUCUUCCCCACAAUCUUCUUGAUAUUCUUAUUAGCUGCCUCAACCGCCCCAUUCAUUUUCGGGCGGUAUGGUGACGAGUUGUGAUGUUUAAUGUUGAACCGACUGUAGACUUCUGCUAUUACGCUAUUGUUCAGAUUCAAUGCAUUGUCAGAUACGAUUCUUUCUGGCAUACCAUAACGACAUAUGAUCUCCUUCUUCAAGAACUUGCUGACCGCCGACUUGCUGACAUUGGAGUACGAAGUAGCCUCUACCCAUUUGGUAAAGUAGUCAAUGACCACAAAAAUGAAUCGAUGUCCGUUGGAAGCCUUUGGUGAAAUCGGCCCAAUGACGUCCAUACCUCACAUUGAGAAUGGCCAUGGGGAAGUCAUAACAUGGAGGGAUGAAGGAGGCACAUGGAUCUUGUCUCCAUAAAUUUGACACUUAUGGCACUUCUUAGCGUAAUUGAUGCAAUCUCCUUCCAUUGUGGACUAGUAAUAUCCAAAUCUCAUGAUUUGUCGAACCAUUGUGAAACCAUUGGCAUGUGUCCCACAGACACCAUCAUGGACUUCCUCUAGAAUUUUCUUUGCCUCAACAGCGUCAACACAUCUUAGCAACACCUGAUCAUUUCUCUUCUUAUAUAAGACCUCAUCAUCUAGGACAUAGUCACUGGCUAACCUCCUCAAUGUUCUUUUAUCAUUUUCGGUUGCUUGAUCUGGGUACGCACGGCUCUUCACAUAUUGUAAGAUAUCAUGAUACCAAAGAUGAUCAUCUCUCUUCCUCUUCAUCGACAUUACAGCAGUGAGUUGGAGCCUCACAAAUACUCAUUUGAAUUGGCUUCAUAUCCUCCUGUUCACUUACUUUGAUCAUGGAAACUAGUGUAGCCAAGGUGUCAGCCAUCUGAUUCUCGUCUUGCGGGAGGUAAUGAAAGGUAAUAUCAUCAAAAUCUUCAAUUAACUCCAGGAUUAGCUUUCGAUAACUGAUCAAUUUAGGAUCUCUCGUUUCCCACUCGCCUUUAAGCUGAUAAAUUACCAAUGCAGAAUCUUCAUACACUUCGAAUACUUUGAUUUCACGGUCUAUAGCUGUCCAAAUUCCCAUGAUACAUGCCUCGUAUUCUGCCAUGUUGUUUGUGCAGUCAAAAUCCAGCUUGCAAGUGAAUGGAUAAUGAUCUCCAUUUGGGGAUAUCAGUACUGCUCUAACUCCAUUUCCAACGGCAUUUGAUGCUCCGUCAAAAUUUAAUUUUCAAGAAUGAUAGCGAUUGCUACAUACAUUAGAUCUUUAUUGGGGAAACUGAAAUUCAAAGGUUCAUAGUCCUCCAAAGCUCUACUGGCUAGGAAGUUUGCUAUUGCACUCCCUUUCACAGCUUUUUGGUUUACAUAGACUAUGUCAAAUUCGGAGAGCAGAAUCUGCCAUCGGGCCAUCCUUCCAUUUAAAGCGGUUAACUCCAUCAUGUAUUUGAGAGGGUCUAACUUUGAGAUUAGCCAAGUUGUAUGGUACAACAUGUAUUGCCUCAACCUUCGUGUUGUCCAAACCAAAGCACAACAUAACUUCUCAAUUGGCGGAUACCGCAUUUCACACUCAGUGAAUUUUUUACUGAGGUAAUAUAUCGCUCUUUCUUUUCUCCCAGUCUCAUCGUGUUGGCCGAGCACACACCCCAUCGAAUUAUCAAAUAUUGUUAAAUAUAGUAUCAAUGGUCUAUCAGGGCUUGGUGGUGUUAGCACUGGGGGACUGGACAAAUAUGGGGUCACACUUCUCAGUCAGUUGCGAAAUAAACCGUGCAAUAUAGUUUAGUCUCCCUAGGAAACCUCAAACUUCUUUCUGAGUUCGUGGCGGAGGCAGCUCCUGUAUAGCCUUAACUUUAUCAGGGUCGACUUCUAUUCCCUUCUCACUAACUACGAAACCGAGUAACUUUCUGGACCUAGCUCCGAAGGUACAUUUUGACGGAUUGAGUUUUAAUUGGAAUUUUCUCAACCUCAGGAAUAAUUUCCUCAACACUCGCACAUGCUCCUCUUCAGUUCGGGAUUUUACAAUCAUGUCGUCAACGUAGACCUCAAUUUCCUUGUGCAUCAUGUCAUGGAAUAAGGUUACCAUGACUCUUUGGUAUGUGGCUCCUACAUUUUUCAACCCGAAGGGCAUCACCUUGUAGCAAAACGUUCCCCAUAAAGUUAUGAAUGUGGUUUUUUCCAUGUUCUCAAGAUGCAUCUUGAUCUGAUUGUACCCGGAGAACCCAUCAAUGAAGAAGAACAGUGAAUAGCCUAUCGUAUUAUCCACUAGAGUGUCUAUGUAAGGCAAUGGAAAGUUAUCCUUUGGGCUGGCCUUGUUUAAAUCUCUGUAAUUUACACACAUCCGCACUUUCCCAUCUUUCUUAGGGACAAGGACAAUGUUGGCCACCCAUUCUGAAUAAUUGACCACCUGUAGGAAUCCAGCAUUACACUGUUUCUUGACUUCUUCCUUUAUUUUCAUUGCUACAUCGUGUCUCAUCCUUCGGAGCUUCUGCUGAACUGGCUUGCACACCUUUUUUGUAGGGACACAGUGCACUACGAUGUCGGUACUUAGACCAGGCAUAUCCUGGUAUGACCAUGCAAAGACGCCCUUAAAUUCUUGCAACAGCUCAAUGAGGUUCUGUCUUGUUUUCUCGUUAACGCAAAUGCCGAUUUUAACUUCCUUCCCCUCUUCCAAGGCCAUAAUCUCAGUAGUCUCUUUGUGUGACAGGAUCUAUUUCUCUUCUCGCUCCACCAUCCUUAACAAAUAGGGAGAUAAACAACAAUCCUCGUCCUCUUCAAAAUCCUGAAAUCCCUCAAAGUACAUGUCUCGCUCAAAAGGAGAUUUCAGGCUCGCAUUAGCAUUACUCAUGACGUUGACAUCCGGGGGCCUAUUAUGAGUAUAAGAGAAUACCCAAAGAAAAUGAAAUAAAUAAUUCCUUUGUAUGGUAUGAUUGUGUAUAAAAAUAAAAAGAAGAAAGAAUAAUUGCUCGAACCGAUAUAUGAAAAUGUAUUUUUUUAUUGAAAAUAAUAAUGUUUGAACAUGAGCCUAUUUCGUAAAAGAUUCUUAUUGUCCCUAGGCUGGAAGACAACAAGUGGGUUUUGAAUAUUACUCUGUGUUAGCUCUAAAGAUUACAGAAAUUUCUUCCUCAGUCCAGUUAUUUAAAACACUCCCAAGCUCAUAUGGGAAAAUGCCCGAUAAAUUCCUUUCCAUUGCUUCCUCUUCAAACGUGGCGUUGAUGUUCCAAAUUCUCAUCACAUCCUCGACCAUUCCUUCUUUUAUCCUCUCCUGUACAGAAUGAAUAAACCCUCCAGAUACAAAUGUUUGGGAAAUAUGGGGGAAGCUCAUCGGUUCCCACCUGACUUCUGUCCCACUCAAUCUCGCUCUCCGCUGUUCUUGUUUCCUUUCAAACUCCUUCUUCACUUGGCUUGCAUCUGGCCUGUAUCUCAAACUGAAGCGAUCCCACUUGCUAACCAAGACUGGCACUCUAACUUAUCCACGGAGGUGCCUCCCGAGUCCUCUGCCAGGUAACGACCAUUUCCUAACUGUCAGCUGUAGGCUCAUUUUUGUAGCCCCUGAUAUCUUAAGUAUCGGAAUCCUACUUCCUUCAGCUAUAAACGUUGUGUUUACAAACUCUAACGAUCGAAAUGAACAUUUAACCGCUUUGUUGUCAUUCUCUACGUAGGGUGCAUCACUGGUAACUGACGCAAUAAUGUCCUCAUCUGCAUUUAUUAUUAUUAGCCGACCCUCAAUAACCAUCUUUAGCUUCUGGUGCAGCGAGGAUGGCACUACCCCAGCUGAGUGAAUCCAAGGUCUUCCUAAUAGACAGUUAUAGGAAGGCUUAAUAUCCAUCACGAGGAAAUCUACCUCGUACGCGUUUGGGCCAAUCUGAAGAGGUACCUCUAUCCUUCCCAUUACUUUUCUUUCUGUGCCAUCAAAUGCUCUUACUAUGUUCUGACAUGUCUUCAUAUGGGAACUGUCUAUAGUUAAACGGUUUAACAUAGCCCAAGGCAACACAUUCAAUGCAGACCUAUUAUCAACUAGUACUCCGGGUAGCGUAUACCCCUUGCAACGUGUAGUGAUAUGCAGAGCCUUAGUAGACCCCCUACCCCCUGGCGGUAUCUCAUCAUCGCUGAAGGAGAUGAAAUUGUCAGCACUUAUGUUGCCGACAAGACGAUCCAAUUUGUUAAUCGAAAUGUCAUCCGCAACAUAGGUUUCAUUCAACACUUUCAUCAAUGCGUUGCGGUAGACCUCUGAAUUUAACAGCAGAGCUAAUACCGAUAUGCGAUCCGGUUGUUGGUGUAGUUGUUCCACAACACUAUACUCUAUAUGUCUUAGGAACUUCAAGAACUCAUUGGCUUCAUUUUCCAUUACUGGCUCAUUAACCAGUGGUUCUGAUAUCUCUACUUCUUGCUUGAGCAUGACGGAUUUCCCUUUUGCUGGUUUGGCUUCUGUGUUUGGCGUGUUAAUCGAACCCUCAUUCUCUGUAACUGCUAUACUACAAUUAUAAUUCCAAGGCACCCUAUGGCUAUCUUUAUAAGGGGAAGUUGUUGGCCUUUGGAUUAUAACUCUUGGUGUAACUCUUGCUUCUACUUCACUAAUUCUGGGCUUCGAAAUAAUUAUCACUGGACGGCUGGCUCUGUAGGCUUCUUCACCUGACUCUCCUCCUAGAGAGCAUACAUCCUCCUCUUCGACAGACUCGAGAAACUCCAAUUCCUUAUUAUCCAUUAGACCCUGCACUAGGGCCUUGAACUCAAUACAAUUUUGGAUCUCGUGAUCUUUCUCAUGAUGGAACUCACAGUAGUUCCGUAUAUCUUGGAUUUUAUCCCCCAACCCCUGCGGAACUAAACCUCUCUUCUGCAUUUCCUUCCAAACUAGCUUCAAUGGGGUUCUCACCUCUGCGAUAUUCAGCUUGACUUUCCUCCCCAUAUUCUCAAUUAUAGCGUUUAUCCCUUUAUCAGUAUGACUGGGCAAUGGAUUUCUCGUACCAGAUGUAUCAUCAAAUUUUACAACACCUACUUUGAUAAGCCUUUCUACGUACCUUUUGAACGAGGUACAAUUUUCUAUCGAGUGCCCCGUAAUCCCUGCGUGGUAUUCGCACUGAGCAUUUGUAUCAUACCAUUUAGGGUAUGGGGGUUGUAACGGUUCUAAUUGGAAAGGGGCCACUACGUGUGCGUCGAACAACUUUUUGUAUAGCUCCCUCUACGUCACUGGUAUAGGAGUAAACUGGAACCUCUUUGUAUUCUGCCUUGUGUUAGGCUCUCGCCUUUGGUAUGGCCUGCUGGCUUGUGACUAUCGUUCUCGAUUGAUUAACGGUGACAGGUUUUGAAUAGCCUGAGCUUACGUUGCUUACCUCGUUUUCCUUUUUCUUCAGGGCUGACCUUCUCGUGCUUUCCCCCGUUUCUAUCUUCCCGCACCUUAUUGCAUUUUCUAUCAUUUCGCCAGACAUCACUAUAUUUGCGAAACUCUUAGUUGCGCUCCCCAACAUAUGAUUAAUGAAAGGUUCCUUCAAGGUAUUAAUAAACAUCAUAGUCGUUUCUUUUUCCAGCAGUGGUGGUUGGACUUGCGUAGCGACUUCCCUCCACCUCUGGGCGUAUUUCCUGAAGCUUUCACCUGACCUUUUCUCCAUGUUCUGUAAUGUAAUCUUGUCAGGUGCUAUAUCAGUCACAUGGCCAUACUGUUUCAUGAAGGCUUGCGCCAAAUCCUUCCAUGAUUUGACCUGAGCACGGCUCAACUAAUUGUACCAUUUUGCUGCGGCCCCGGUCAAACUAUCCUGAAAACAAUAAAUCAGCAAAUGGUCAUUGUUGACAUAUCCCGUCAUUCUCCGGUAGAACAUCGUAAUGUGAGCCUCAGGGCAACUGGUUCCAUUAUAUCUUUCAAAUUCUGGCAUCUUGAACUUCGGCGGAAGUACUAAGUCCGGGACCAAACUGAGUUCCUUUGCGUCAACUCUGCAAUAAUGAUUAGCACUUUCUAGCUCCUUGAACUUCUCCUCUAUCCAUUUGUACCGAUCCUCGAACUGCUUUGGGAGCUCCUCCCUUACUUUUUCCCCUUCAACCUCAUCGAAGUCAGGGAUCGUGGGAUUUGCCAUAUUGUCUCCAGGGUUAGAGCACGAGCCCGUUGAGAAGUUUACCGGUGCCGAAGUGCCAGCUUGAUACAGAGGUUUAACAUUAAACGAACACCCUUGGUGGAUAUGUUUGAAUGUUUACUGGGGCGAAGCUUGUAGGACAAGUAGAGUCAUCGUUGUCAUUCCCAGUAUCACCCUAGGGCUUUUUCCUUUGUCAGACCCUCCCUUCAGCAGCUGUGUCAGCUGGCUCAUUAUGUUGUUCUGUGACUCCAGCAUGUUUUUCUGGAACUCCAGCAUUUGAUCCCUCAUCUCCUGCUGGAUUCUAGCCAGCUGUUCUUGCAUCUGAGCUUGCAGUUGCUCCUGCAUCUCCUUUUGCAUUUGUUCUAAUUUCUCCAACCUCUGAUCCAUAUCCCUUGUUUUCCUCCGUGUAUAGUAGCGAUGUUCCAGGGUAACUAGAUAAAUUAUCACUAAUUAAUAGGGUUCUUUUGUGUAACUUAAUGUUUAUGAUGCUAUGCAAUGCAAAUGCAUGACAUGAAUACAAAAAGGUGUCAAUCUGAUUCAAUUUUAUUUAGAAUAACUUUACUAAAAGACAAAAUCCUUUACAUAAAAAAUAGACUACAUAUACGGCCUAGCCCUUAUGCCCAGAGCUCUAACUUUUUUAAGAGGUUCAGCCAGCUCUUGGCCUCGGUUCGAUACUGACUCAUAUUUUACACUUAAUACAUCAGCUUGGACGGCCAGGAUUUGUAAAUGUUCUGCCACUUCUCGAAUCUGAACUAUAGCUUCUCCCAUGAGGUGAUCUCUAUCUCGAACCUUAUUCUGAGACCGGUGAAGUUGCUCCUCCAGUUGCUCACUAUUUGCUUCCAGUGAUUCAAUUCGGUGUUCACAAUCCUGUAGCAUAGCCCCAAGUUCUUCUAUCUUCCCCUUCAGAUUCUCGAUCUCACUUAAGCUAGCCUUUAAUUCCAUUACAAAGUUGUGACUACGAUGCUAAUGCAAUGUCUUUUCUAACUCUGUUAUUCGAGCUCUUAACGUCUCAUUUUCACUUUGGCUCUCUGAUGCAGUUCUUUUCAGGGCUUCCUCUCGUGCUCGAGCAUCACAGAACCUCCUCUUCCAUUGAUCGGCCUUAGACUUUUCUUCUUGGAUUUCAUGUUGCCAUUGCUUCGAUGUUUUUCCCAACUCGGUAGUUCUCAUCGACAUAUGCAGCUCCUUGUAAUCAUUCUUCAAACUGUCCAAGUCUUCUUCAGCUUUCCUUUUCCCCUUUCUUAGUUUCUCGGCGUCUAAUUUCUGGACGCCAAUGUCCAAUUUUAGAUAUACCUUCUCCUCUUCGAGUUGCUCUAUAUUUUUCCCCAACUCUGAACUUCUCUUCUCAAAAUCCUGUUUUAUAAUUUCCAAUUCGGAGGGAACCACUCGCAGAUACUUCUCUAUCGGUUGAGCACCCUCUAAACUUGACCUAGGGAUAUUGUCGUUAACUCGUCUACUCAACCAUCCAUCAUACUUAGGGGUCGUCAUCGGAUCUGCAGUCAACCCUUUCACUCGACGAGUCUGAUUCCAAGCAUUAGAAAUCUCUUUAACCCUUUUCUUGUAGUCUCCCUUAUACGAAAAUUUGCAUUGAGCAAGCCCAUGGGUUACCGGUAUGAACUGUCUUGCUGCAUAUUGCCUAAGCACAAGUAAGGGAGCAUAUCCAAUGGCUCCCCAGAUCCCAAGCAAAGGGACCCAAUCGAAACUCCCACAUCGAAAAAGAAUUUUGUUAGGCAUCCACCAAGGUACUUUCCACUCAAUGUCCUCUCCCUGGAGAUUCUGUAGGAGCGCGAUCCAGUUUUCUUCCGAUAUGUCAUCUCUUCUGGGUGUAGCUCCUAUCUCCUUUAAUGGAGAAUGAUUCCCAAAGAAAGUUCGAUAAUGACCUUUGUCUAUCUUCCAAAAAUGACUGUGAAACCAUACUAACAAUAACUGUGCACACCCUAUAAAUCUGCCCUCUCUGGUCCUUCUACACACGUUCAAGGACCUGAAUGUCUCAGUUAAAAUUGCAGGAACUGGUGUGACUCCCUUGUCAAGUCGGUCGAAUAGAUCCGUGACUGCCUCAUCAACAUAUCCCAAUGCCCUAAGGAAGAGCAUCAACCCGUAGAUACUCAAGGCAAAGACGUCAACUUUCUUCUUCAUAGCAGGAUGUGUUCAGAUCAAAUCUCGUAAAUUCUUCCAUGGAAUGCACUUACACUCCCCUUUCUGCUUGAUCCUUGCCGUAACCCAUUGUUCGCUUAUUCCAGUAAUAUUCAUUAGCUUUUUCGAAAACGCCGAAACAUAAGUAGCUCUCGAAUAGGCCUAAUCGACUUGUACCUUCGAACAAUUUAAUAAAGUUGUAUACUCCUCCACCGUAGGUACUAAAUCCACCCUCCUAAACGUGAAGCAGCUAUAUGCAGGGUUCCAAUACUGAGCAAGGGCCCGAAACAAGUGUUCGUCUAUUUCGAUAUUAAGUAGGUAUGGUAGAUCUCCAUAGUUACAGUAGAAUAAUUUUUUAGCCUCAUCAUCCCACUGAUUCCAUAUCUCCUUCAAUUCCUGAUGAUUAUUUUGAGUCACGCUAAUGCGAGUAUAAUCCCAUAACUCAGAUUUUUAUCCCUUGGCUAGGUUGUCUCCCUUCUCUAAUUGUGUUAUCUCUAACCAUUUACGGACAGCCGCAUUAUUUUCUACCUUAUCAAGGAAUUUGUCCCCCAUGACAAGCUUUCUAAUUUAGAAAAUUAAACACAAAUUGACAUAUUUCAAAUGUGGAAUGACAUGCAAAUAUGGCAAAACAAAACACAGCAAGUUAGUAUCAUAUAUCAGAAACAUAACUCAAAGUAAAAAAAAUAGAAACAAGCACCUAUUGGGGGUAAUCACUAGGGUUUAGCGUAGUUCCUCCCAAGAUGGGCCCUUAGGGUUCCUCUAAAUGUGGUUUGGUUCUAGAGUUGAGGUACUUGAACCAGCAGAUUCCUCGAUCCUCACCCAUUAUAGGCUCAUAUAGACCGAGUUCAGUUCAGGGGGAUACAUUUCCCUAUGGCUGCAAGGAGGUGAAAACCUCACGAAGACAUAGGUACGGAUGUAUCCCGAAAGUGAUCCACUAUCCUGCACGGAGGUGAAAACCUCACGAAGGAAAUAGCUUCUCACUCCCACUUAAGAGGUGUGACCACAAUUGUCAUGCAAUGCCAUGACAGAAGAUAUAAAAGAACUUUGAAAAAAAUGCCGGAAAAACAUAACACCAAACAGAUGAAAUGCAAUAAGAGGAUCGUAGACUCCAAACCAAAUUUAACUUUCAAAAAAAGAUAAAAAGUAAUCAAAUCGCGACUUAACUCUCUUAUAGGCCCCCAAUGGAGUCGCCAAGCUAUCGAAACCAUUUUUAAAUUUUGAAAAACGGGGAUCGACUUUAAAAAUAUGAAUAGAGUCGCCACCAAUCCUUUUUGAGGUGUGAUUGGGCGACCCUAGAAUUGAUCGUUUUAAUAAAACAUUUGGGCUUAUUAAAAUAAUAAUUUUUGGUCUGCUAAAUUUGAGAAAACGGGCUCGGGAGUCGGUUACAUACGAGGAAGGGUUAGCACCCUCGCAACGCUCAAAAAUUGGUACCUUAUUUGAUUAGUUAAUAUCUUGAUGUCGAAACUUAAAAAGAUUUUAGAGUACGAUCUUCUUACUUAAAAAAAAUAUAAAUUGGAUAAAAUGUAAAGACCCACUCAUUUCGAAGGAGAAAUAGGCCAUACCCAGUAAGUUAGGGUCUAACACCUCAGACCUUCUGAACUAAGUUAGUCUUUGAUUUUUUUAAAAUUCAUGUAUGAAGGUUCAAGAGAAGGGUAUUUGGUCAUUCGGGACUCAACUGAAAAAUUCGAACUCAAUAAGUUAGAGCUCGAUCUUUCAAAACCCCCAAGUGCCAGGUAUUGCCUUGAUUUUAGAAAUCCCUAUCCUCAAAACCACAAUGCCACACCCAGUAAGUUAGGGUGCAACAUCCUAAAUUCCAAGAAUAGUUUUUUAUUCGAACUUCAUACAAUUAGAUUUAAAAAGGGUACUCAGUUAUUUAGGUUUAACGAGGAAAAUUGGAACCUAGUAAGUUAGGGCACAAUCUUCCCCAGGAUCUUAAAUAUCGAACAUUGCCUUUAUUUUGAAAAUAGUCGAUGAUAAAUCUUUAAAUAAAAUGAAUUUGGGCGGUUGAAACUUAACAAAAAAAAUGACAACAUGCAAUAUGAAAACAGCAAUAUAAUAACCCUAAUAACAUAUAUUAAUACCUAAAAUGUAGCAAGCAUAAAGAAAAUUAAGAACAGUAGUAAUAACAGAAGUGAUGAAUAUAAUAACAUGAUAAAUACAGCAAUGAUUAAAAAAAUGCACAAUGGAAAGGAAGAUAAUAAGCCAAUGAUGAUGUUUGAUAAACAUGUCAAAUUGCAUAUUUUUUGUGCCUAAUUUGGUUUAUUGAUGAACUGAAUCCUGCUAAUUAAGUGUUUUUAUUAUUUAAUUCUUUUCAGGGAUGCAAUUGAUCAAAAGCAAGCUGAAAAGGGGCCAAAUUAGAAGAAAAUUAUUAGAAUAGGCCAAAGCGAAAAGAUGGAGCAAGCCAAGGACUAGUCAUAAAUUUGACUUUGUAAAAAGCCAAAAAUAGGAAAUUCUAUUUUAAGUUUAUUUAUUUUUAAUUAUUAUUAUUUUAGAUUUUAUAUUAAUUUUCUUAAGCUAUUUUUAGUAAACCCUAUCUAUAUAAAUAGGGGGUUUUAGUUCUUAGGAAAUCAUCCAUUAAUCAAUUGUCUUUACAUUCCUAUUUCAUUUUGGAGUUCCAUUAUCCACUUUGUUUUCUUUUUCUUAAUUCAAUUGAGCAUUAGAUUAUUUUGUCUUCUUUUUACAAAAUUUGUCUAAUUCUCUUUGCAAUUUUUCCUAUCCAUUUCCACUACCUUUUUCAUAUAAUUUCUAUCAUUUCCAUAACCUUCAAGCAUGAUUAAAUUCAUGCCACACUAAACCCCUUUCAGCUUUAAGCCGGUGUUAACCCCGUCAAAAUACCUGUGAGUUACGAACCCGAGCUGUUUAACUCCCAACUUUCGAUAUUUAUUAUUUCUCCGGAUUAAGAGUAUGACUUUGUCAACUCACAAAGUCAAGUCAAUACUAAGUCAAAAAAGACGUCGUUUGAGUUAGUGUGGCUAGACGUACAGUUGGAAUUCCGAAAGGAUCGAUUGUCUAAUUGGUCUUCCGUGAACAUAUUGGCGUGCCAAGUGGGGAUUGCUGUUUGGUUCCGUCAAGGGAAGUAGUAACUGGAUUUAAAUGUCUCAAUGUUUGAGGGCAUUGGUUCGAGCUAGGCUCUUCUAGAACGCAAAACUGCUGGAGUUCUAAAUCACGAAUGUUUCGUAGGUUGUUCGAUCGGUAAGGGUUAGUUAUAGGACGUUCCAUAACUAAUUUACACAAGGAAGAGUUGGUGUCCGAGGCUUCCUUUGUAGCUAUAACUAGCUUAUCGAAAAAGAGGAGUUCACCUAAUUUCGAGGAACGGGUCGAAGACGGGAAAACCCGUGCUUAAGGCUGAGCUAAGUUUUAUUGAUUUUCCGUUAAAUUAUUUUGUUAUUUUAUUUUUAUUUCAUCUUUUUAUUUUUGUUUCAUCUUUUACUUUUUACUUUUUACGUUUUCUUGUGUUUAUUUCAGGUUUCAUAUUUUAUUUCCCCCCUAAAUGUCGCGGGCACGACAACUGCCCAGACACUAAUCUGGUCAAGAAACAAACAAUUUUAAGUAAUUCCAGUCUCUGUGGGAUCGACCCUACUCCCUAUACUGCUUUAAUUUGCAAACUAGGUGUAGGUUUAUAUUGGUGGAAUCGACAGCCAUCAGUUUUGGGGCCGUUGCCGGGGACUGGCAACACUUACAAUUGUUUAAAUUACCUUCAUGACCAGAUCUUCAUCAGGAGAUCUCGAAUACGACCCAUAGAUCGAGAAAUCAGUGCGAGCACGACGAAAAGAGAUAGAAGCUCUUAAACGUGCAAGUAAAACAGAAGUUGAGCUAGGACAAGGAAUCCUAGAAUCCGACGUUGAAAAGUUGAGCGAAACAAUUCGUGCAGAGGCAAUUCGACGUGGGAAACAAGUCGAAGAGGUUGAACCUGAGACCGAACCACUCUUUGAAACAAAAAACAACCUCGGUAAACUAGAAAGAAUGGUAAACCGAACCAUUCGUCAACUAGCCGCUGCUCCCAACGAGCAAACACCAUUAUGCAUUAACUAUCCAACCGGAGGAACUCCUUUCGAAUUGAAGUCGGGCUUGAUUCACCUUUUGCCCACUUUUCGAAGCUUGAAGAACAAAAAUCCACACACUCACUUAAGAGAAUUCCACAUGUUCUGCUCAAGCAUGAAACCCCAGGGAGUACCCGAAGAUGAGAUCAAACUUCGGGCCUUUCCUUUUUCUUUAGUGGAUACAGCAAAAGAAUGGUUAUUUUACUUACCUCCCGGUUCUAUCACAACGUGGGAUGACUUAUCUCGUGUAUUUCUUGAUAGGUUCUUCCCAGUGUCACGAGCAGCCGAGCUUAGGAGGGAAAUAGUGGGAAUUCGCCAAUUAGAGAGUGAAUCGCUCUAUGACUACUGGGUGCGGUACAAAAAACUGUGUGCGAGUUGUCCUCAACAUGGAUUGACCGAACAAUCACUUCUUCAAUAUUUCUACGAGGGUUUGCUCCCUAUGGAAAUAAAGAUGAUCGACGCUGCUAGCGGAGGAGCGCUUGUCAAUAUGACCCCUCAAAGGGCAAAAGAGCUAAUAUCCACCAUGGCGAAAAAUUCUCAACAAUAUCGGCCUAAUUCAGAACCGACAAGAUGGGUUAAUGGGGUAAACGUUUCAACUUUAGAAGAUAAAUUAGAUAAGCUUACGAAUGUUGUUCAAUCAUUUCUUACAGAAAAGAAGAGUUUGACCCCAUUAUGUGGAAUUUGUACUACGUUUGAACACCCGACGGAUUUGUGCCCAAUCCUUAACGAUAAUUCAACGGCACAUGUAGAUGCUAUCGGAGGUUUUCCGGGACCUCCGCAAAGACACUAUGAUCCUUUCUCCAACACCUACAAUCUCAGGUGGAAGGAUCAUCCAACCUUAAUUACGGAGCUAAUCCCCGAUAUAAUCCACCAUACCAACCGAGACCUCUGUAACCACCACAACAACAUAAGCCGAGCACAUCUCUAGAAGCUGUUGAGGAAAGACUUGCCGCCGAUGCUGCAAAAUAUCAACAGAGGACAGACGCAUCAAUACAAGAGUUAACUAAUCAAGUUAGUAAACUCUCGAUGGCAGUUAAUCGCUUAGAGUCUCAAGGUAAAUUACCUUCCUAGACAGAGCCGAACCCUUGGCAGAAUGCCAGUGCAAUCACUCUUCGUAGCGGAAAGGUUCUGAAAACAGUACCAACUAAAAGUCAUUGGCAAGAAAAGGAACAGGAAAAGCAGAUCUCCGAUCCAACAACCAGGCUAGAGUCAGAAAUUCAGAGACCAGUUGUAAUGCCACCUCCUUUUCCAGUGAGGCUUGCAAGGGAUAAGAAAGAGAAGGAGGAAAAAGAAAUCCUCGAGACAUUCAGGAAGGUGGAGGUAAAUAUUCAUUUACUCGACGCUAUCAAACAGAUCCCCCGUUAUGCAAAAUUUCUCAAGGAAUUGUGUACUAGCAAAAGGAGGUUAAUAGGUAACGAAAGAGUAAAUAUAGGAGAAAAUGUCUCCGCAGUACUGCAAAAGAAAGUUUCGCCCAAAUACAAGGACCAAGGUAUGUUUGCUAUUUCCUGUGAGAUAGGUAAUGUAGGCAUUAAGAAAGCCAUGUGUGAUUUAGGGGCUUCUAUUAAUGUUAUGCCUUAUUCUAUUUAUAAGUUGAUUAACGCGGGUCCUUUAAAAGAGACAGGAGUAAUAAUCCAGUUGGCGGACAGGUCAGUCAUCUAUCCCGAAGGGCUGCUUGAAGACGUCCUUGUUAAAGUUAACGAAUUAUUUUUCCCUGCAGAUUUCUACAUUAUUAGUAUGGAAGAUGAUAAUUCAACUAAUUCGUCUGACAUUUUGCUUGGAAGGCCGUUUCUAAGUACCGCAAGCGCAAAAAUAGAUGUUCGAAGUGGGACGCUGACCAUGGAGUUUGAUGGCGAAAUUGUGAAAUUCAAUGUCUACGAGGCUAUGGGUCAUCCUAACUCACUAUUGAAUAUUUCUAGCAUUGAUAUUUUAGAUUGUUUAACUCAAUCUUAUUCUGAAUAUCAUGACUUUGAUGAGUUGGAAACUGUCCUUUUCAGAAACAUUGACAUGGAAAUUUUACAUCAUCUCGAGGAAUUCGCAGUCAUUGAAGAUCCGUUGCAAGAAAUCGUCAAUCACUUGGAUAUGCAACCUUCGUUGACAAACCGAGGUAACCAAAUUGAACUAUUACCUUCCCAAACUAAAAUGUUACCCUUAGUUUUACAGCCACCGAUCUUGGAGCUUAAAGCAUUACCGGACCAUCUUAAGUACGUCUUUUUGGGAGAGAAAGACACAUUACCGGUAAUAGUGUCAAACAAGUUAACCAAAGACGAGGAGGAAAGUCUAGUUCGAGUUCUGAGAGAUUAUAAGGAAGCUAUUGGUUGGACGAUAGCCGACAUAAAAGGGCUAAGUCCAUCCACCUGUAUGCACAAAAUUUCCAUUGAAGACAACACGAAACCAAAGAGGGAUGCUCAACGACGCCUUAAUCCACCCAUGAUGGAGGUAGUAAAGAAGGAGAUCCAAAAACUGUUUGAUGCUAAAAUGAUAUAUCCGAUUUCUGACAGUAAUUGGGUUAGCCCAGUUCAUGUCGUGCCCAAGAAAACUGGUGUGACAGUGGUGAAAAACCAGUUAGGUGAGCUGGUCCCUACACGAGUAUAGAAUGGAUGGAGGGUUUGCAUCGAUUACAGGAAGUUGAAUGCAGCUACCCGAAAAGACCAUUUUCCACUCCCCUUCAUCGAUCAAAUGCUCGAGCGAUUAGCCAGUAAGUCCCAUUAUUGUUGUCUCGAUGGGUACUCAGGAUUUUUCCAGAUUCCAGUGGCUCCGGAGGAUCAAGACAAAACGACUUUCACAUGUCCCUUCGGAACAUUUGUGUAUAAACGGAUGCCGUUUGGACUCUGCAAUACUCCGGCCACUUUCCAAAGAUGCAUGGUGAGCAUAUUCUUUGAUUACGUCGAGAAAAUCAUCGAAGUCUUUAUGUAUGACUUCACGGUAUACGGUAACUCUUUUAACGAAUGUCUCAAUAAUCUUGCUAAGAUAUUACAAAGAUGCCUAGAAUUUAAUCUUGUUUUAAAUUAUGAGAAAUGCCAUUUCAUGGUUGACAAAGGAUUAAUUUUGGGUCAUAUAGUUUCCUCAAAAGGAAUCAAGGUCGAUAAGGCAAAAACGGAUAUUAUUAACUCGUUACCUUACCCCUCAUCAGUGAGGGAAGUUUGUCCGUUUCUUGGCCAUGCAGGAUUCUAUAGACGAUUCAUGAAAGAUUUUUCGAAAAUCGCGCGACCACUUUGUAGUCUGUUACAAAAGGAUAAAGAAUUUGAAUUUGACCAGACUUGUAAGGAUGCGUCUGAUGUGCUGAAGCAGAAAUUGGUUUCCGUUCCCAUUGUGCAGCCACCAAAUUGGAACUUCCCAUUCGAAAUCAUGUGUGAUGCAAGUGACCAAAGUGUGGGAGCUGUUCUUGGCCAAAGAAUAGGGAAAGAACCUCAUGUCAUCUACUAUGCUUCGAAGAUUUUGGAUGCUGCCCAAAGCAAUUACACAACGACCGAGAAAGAAUUAUUAGCUGUUGUGUUUGCUUUGGAUAAAUUCAGAUCUUACCUAUUGGGAACUAAGGUAAUUAUCUUUUCUGAUCAUGCAGCUUUGAAAUAUUUAAUAGGGAAAAAGGAGGCAAAACCCCGACUGAUCAGGUGGAUUCUACUCCUACAAGAGUUCGAUUUUGAAAUUCGGGAUAAAAAUGGAUGCAAAAACCUAGUAGCUGACCAUCUAAGUCGAUUACCGAUUCCAGUAGAUGACACACCAUUGAAGGACAACUUUCUAGAUGAAAACCUGUUUUCAGCAAAUGCAGUGCACCCUUGGUAUGCAGACAUAGUAAACUAUCUUGUCACAUGUACUGUCCCUUCAGAUUUGCCAAGGUCUAAAAAAGAUAAGAUAAGAAAGGAUGCACGAUAUUACAUUUGGGACGACCCUUACCUUUGGAAGCAUUGCUCGGAUCAGGUAAUACGACGUUGUGUAGCAGAAACAGAGGUACAGUCUAUCUUAACUUUUUGUCAUUCUUAUGCAUGCGGAGGACACUUUGGACCUAAACGCACCGCACACAAAAUUCUCGAAUGUGGAUUAUUUUGGCCAAACAUAUUUCGUGAUGCCUUUUAUCUCUGUAAAACUUGUGAAAAAUGCCAAAGAGUUGGCAACCUUAGUCGUCGAAAUGAGAUGCCGCUUACUCCUAUUCAUAUUUGUGAAAUUUUUUAUGUGUGGGGCAUCGACUUUAUGGGUCCUUUCGUUUCUUCUUUCGGUAAUUUUUAUAUACUUUUAGUUGUUGAUUAUGUCUCUAAGUGGAUAGAGGCAAAGGCCACUCGAAAUGAUAAUGCUAAGACCGUAGUUGACUUUCUUAAAAAUUCUAUUUUUUCCAGGUAUGGUACUCCACGAGCAUUAAUCAGUGACAGAGGAACACAUUUUUGCAAUAAGCUCAUAAGUGCACUUAUGGAGAAAUAUGGAGUGACUCAACGAAUUGCCACAGCUUACCAUCCACAAACAAAUGGGCAAGCUAAAGUGUCAAAUCGAGAGAUCAUGUCUAUUUUGGAAAAGACGGUUAAACCUAACAGGAAGGAUUGAAGUUUAAGACUGAAUGACGCACUUUGGGCCCAUAGAACAACUUACAAGGGACCAAUAGGCAUGUCACCUUACCGACUCAUUUUCGGUAAACCAUGCCACCUCCCGAUCGAGUUAGAGCAUAAGGCUUUUUGGGCAGUUAAGCAAUGCAAUAUGAAAAUGGAGUCUGCGGGAAAAUCUCGAAAAUUAGACAUCCAGGAACUCGAGGAAAUCAGAAACGAUGCAUAUGAAAAUGCUCGAGUUUAUAAAGAAAAGACGAAGGCAUUUCAUGACAAGUUCAUCACUAGGAAGCAGUUCUCAAUAGGACAAAAAGUGCUCCUAUACGACUCCACUUUAAAAAUCUUUGCUGGUAAGCUUCGAUCCAAAUGGAUAGGACUGUUUAUUAUUACUAAUUUAUUUGCGAAUGGUGCAAUGGAAAUUCAAAGUGAAGAGAUACGAAAGCACUUUAAAGUGAAUGGUCAAUGACUAAAAUCCUUUUUCGAGAAUUUUCAAAUACACACAGUUGAGGAGAUUGUUCUCGAUGAGCCAAAAGUUUAAAUAACAGGUCGUCGAGCUAAUGACGUUAAACAAAAGCGCUUUUUGGGAGGCAACCCAAAUUUAUUUUCAUUUAUUUUUAGUUUAAGUAAAUUAGGAUGUAAAUAAAUAAAUUCUUAUUAGUCAAAUUGAUGUUUUCAGGAAUACAGUGGAAGUGAUUAAUUUCAAAAAGACGAGUAAUGAAGGUGGCAUGGGCACGACUUGCUAAUGUGGUGAUAUUCCUAAAAAAAACCGAUCAUCCACUAAAAUUCCUACCCAAACCCAUUUACCACAUACCCAAACACCAAACCCAAUUUCCAUUUCCUUCAAACCCAAAUAAACCAUCCCAACUACCCACCCAACAGCCCAAUAUCCAUCAACCCAAACCCAAUUAAAUCAUCAACCCAAUACCCAUAUAAACCCAAUACCUAUGAUUGGCCCAAUAACCAACACCAUACCCAAUUACCUUGUAAUACCCCUAGCCGUAUUCAUUGCCGGAAUAGGGUACGAGGCAUUACCGGAGUUUACGAAUUAAAUUUUUUUUAUAUUCAAUAUAGCCCUUUUAUAAAUAUCUAACCUUCCCUGUAAUAUUAAAUCGAGACCAAUCCACAUCAACCAAAUCAAUUCAACAUAUUUUCAUGAUAGAUUCAUGCAUUUAUAUAAGAUAACGUCAUCACAUAUCUAUAACCAGGUUUGUUAACCAUACUAAUGGCUAACUUUACAUUCAUUUCACGUUAACAUUUACUUUGUUAGCUUAUACAUGCCAUUGAUUUCCAAAAUAAAGUUUCUUUAUAUACCGUAAUCCUGAGGUUGACAGUGUGAUGUGUCUCCGACCAAAUCCGACCUCCGAGCUCUUAACACUACAAAACAGGGAAAAAGGAAACGGGGUAAGCACUUUGUGCUUAGUAAGCUCAUGUAACAAGAAUUAUACUUACCUAAUAUUUUCAAUACAAUAUAAUAAACAUUCAUAUAUCCAUUCAAUGCAUUAUUACCCUAACAUGCACAAACUCAACAUUCAAGUUAGUACAAUAAUUUCCAUGUAUCAAUAAUAUAUAUAUACCAUGAUUGAUGUACUCAUCAAUACCAUGAUUUUCAUUCCCUUAUUAUUUUUCAUAUUUAUCCUAUUGAAUUUAUCGGAAUUUCGAUGGAUUUUCAGAGGUACACUUUUAGUGUACAAUUCCGGGUCCGUCAAUUCAUAUUCAUGUGCGCACAUUUCCAUUUCAGAGAGCACACUCCCGCGAACCUCAACCUUGCAGCGGGAUUACCAGUCCAGGCUAAAUCCCCUGCAAUAUAAACUCAUAGAGUAUUGUCGGGAUUACCAGUCCAGGCUAAAUCCCCUGAAAUGACAAUUACUCUAAUGAGCUUGGAUCUGAAUUACCAGUCCAGGCUAAAUUCAGACCCUAAUUCGGAUUACCCGUCCGGGCUAAAUCCAUUUUACACAUAUUCUUCGGGAGGGCUAUAUCAGGAUAGGAUCACCCGUCCGGGCUAGAUCCUUUUUACCGUCAAUUCCUUUUCAGAGAUCCAUCGAAUUUUCCUUUCAUUCAACCGGGAUUUCUUCCCAUUUUAUCAAAUAUAUCAAUGUUUCAUUAAUUUUCAUACAAUGAACAUUCAAAUCAUAUUCACAUCAAUAACAUACAAUCUCAAGCAUUUAAGAAUAUAAUUCAAGUUACACGAACUUACCUUGAUACUUGUUUGUAAACUGUAAAAAUCUAUUAAUCCCGAACUUUUUCCUUUCCUCGAUCUAGCUUCGUAUUUGAAUCUUCUGGAUUUAAAUAAAUAAAUUUAAUUAUCAAUUUAAUACAUUUCAUGUUCAUAUGCAACAUUCUCUAUAAUUCAACUAUUAUUUAUAGUUCAUUCAAAGCUGUCUACUUGAGUCAUAGUCACUAAAUUAUUUAUAACUUGAGCUACGGAACUCCAAAUUAAGAUCCGUUAAUUUUCCUUGAAACUAGACUCAUAUAUAUUUUUACCAUAAAAUUUUAAGAAUUUUUGGUUUAGCCAAUCAGUACAGUUUAUUCUUCAAAUUCACCCCUGUUCUGUUGUCUAACAGUUCUGACCCUUCUUCACUAAAAAUAAAUUAUCUCUUUAUACAGAAUUCAAAUGAUGUUUUUGUUUAUUUCUAUUAAAAAUAGACUCACUCAGAAUUCUAUACAUAUAAAUUUAAGUCCCUAAUUAUUUUUAUUCAAUUUUUUAUAAUUUUUCAAAGUCAGAAUAGGGGAACCCGAAUUCAUUCUGACCUUGUCUCACAAAAUUCAUUAUAUCUCAAAAUUUACAAAUCCAUUGCUUACAAUAUUUCUUCGAUGAGAAACUAGACUCAAUAAGCUUUAAUUCCAUAUUUUUUUAAUCUUCUAAUUCGAUUCCUAAAAUUUUUGGUGAUUUUUCAAAGUUAGUCUACUGCUGCUGUCCAAACUGUUUUAGUGCAAGCUGUUUAUUACCAUUUUUCCCCUAAGCUUUUAAUAAAUGAUAAUUUCGUCCCUACUCAAUUAGCCUCUCAAUUGAGCUGAUUUUUCUCAAUUAACAUUUUAUUCUAUCACCUUAAACUAGUUUACAACCUUUAGGAAUCAGAAUUUCAGCAAUAGACUUUAAUUCCAAACAUUUUCACAAUUAGGUCCCAAAAAUCAAUUUCCAUUGAAAUUGCCUAAUAAAAUCAUCUCAUAAACAAAUUAAAGCUUUAAUUUCAUUCUAUUUCAUCAUAAACUUACAGCACUCAACCAUGGUGACUUUCAAUUUCAUCCAUGAAAUCAAAAACUAAUGAAUUUAAUAGUAGGACCUAGUUGUAAAAGUCUUAGAAACACAAAAAUUACAAGAAAAAGGCAAGGAUUAACUCACUUGGUGCAAAAAUUAAGAAAUACCAGCUUAGAGAACCCUCCUAUGGCGUUUUUAGCUGCUGGAAUUGAAGAGAAAUGAAGAGAAAUCUAGAUAUUUCCUAUUUAGUCCUAGUUUUAUUUAGUUAAUUUUGUAAUAUUCCAAUUUUACCCUUAAUUUAUCAAUUUUUCUGAUUUCAUACCCUUGCCGUCCAGCCCAAAUAACUUUUGAGUCUAAUUGCCUUUUAAAUCCUUUCUCAUUAGACUAAUAAGCUAUUUAAUCACUCUAGCAACUUUUACACCUAUUACAAUUCAGUCAUUUUCAUUUAAUUGACUACCCAAACAUUAAAAUUUCCUAACGAAAUUUUAAUACCACAUUAAUAACAUUUCAUAAAUAUUUAUAAAAUUAUUUUUUACUCGGUUUUACGAGAUAGAGGUCCCGAUACCUUAUUUUACCCAAUUUCUUCAAUAAUUUCUUUUUCUAACUAAUCACUAAAUUGAUAAAAUUUUCCUAUCAAUAUUUUCAUACGAUUUUCCUAUUAUAUAAAUUUUCAAGCAAAAAUAUUGAAAUAAAUUUCUCUUUAAAUCGGAUAUGUGGUUACGAAACCACUGUUCCGAUAACAUUGAAUUUACGCCAUUACAACUCUCCCCCUUUUAAGGAUUUUCGUCCUCGAAAAUCUUACCAGUAAAGAGGUUUGGGUAUUGUUUCCUCAUUGCCUCCUCCGGUUCCCAUGUUGCUUCCUCAAUCCCGUGCUUUUGCCACAAUACUUUCACCAAAUUUAUCUUUUUAUUUCUAAGCUCUUUUGUCUCCCGUGCCAAUAUCUUGACCGGUUCUUCACUGUAAGUCAUAUCCGGUUGAAUCUGUACUUCUAUCGGAGAAAUAACAUGUGAAGGAUCUUAUCGAUAUCGUCGUAACAUAGAUACAUGAAAAACAUUAUGGAUUCUAUCAAGUUCCGGUGGUAAUGCCAAUCGAUAAGCGACCGGUCCAAUUCUUUCUAUGAUUUCAUAGGGCCCGAUAAAUCUUGGACUCAAUUUACCCUUUCGACCGAAUCGAAGAACUUUCUUCCAAGGAGACACUUUCAGAAAUACCUUGUCACCGACUUGAAAUUCAAUCUCUUUUCGCUUAAGGUCGGCAUAUGAUUUUUGACGAUCGGAAGCUGCUUUUAGACUUUCUCGAAUAACCUUUACUUUUUCUUCUGUUUCCCGGAUCAAAUCAACCCCAUGUAUCUUCCUUUCACUGAGCUCUGUCCAAUAUAACGGUGUUCUACAUUUUCUACCAUACAAAGCUUCAUACGGAGCCAUUUUAAUACUAGAUUGAUAACUGUUGUUUUAAGCAAAUUCAAUCAAAGGUAGAUACCUCUCCCAAUUACCUUCAAACUCUAGUAUACAACAUCGGAGCAUAUCUUCCAAUACUUGAAUUACACGCUCAGAUUGACCAUCUGUCUGAGGAUGAAAUGCAGUGCUGAAAUACAACUGAGUACCCAAGGCUUCUUGCAAUUUGUCCCAGAAACGAGACAUAAAUCGGGGAUCUCUAUCUGAUAUAAUGGAGACAGGCACUCCAUGUAACCUGACAAUCUCAGAUAUGUACAGUUCAGCUAGUUUAUCUAAAGAAUAAUCCAUACGUACUGGAAUAAAGUGAGCUGACUUUGUCAAUCGGUCUACAAUCACCCAAAUAGCAUCUUUUUUCCUCGGAGACAAAGGUAGCCUCGAUACAAAAUCCAUAGUGAUUCUUUCCCAUUUCCAUUCCGGUAUAGUAAUUGGCUGAAGUAACCCCGAAGGUACCUGAUGUUCAGCUUUAACUUGUUGACAUAUUAAACACCUUGAUACAAACGCAGAGAUAUCACGUUUCAUUCCCGACCACCAGUACAUUUUUUUCAGAUCAUUAUACAUUUUAUUACUCCCCGGAUGUACAGACAUAGUACUACUGUGGGCCUCGCGUAGAAUCUUCUGUAUGAGCUCUGAAUUCUGAGGUACACAUACCCUACCUCUGAAUAAUAAACAAUCAUCAGAACCAAUCUGAAACUCAGAAGCAUUACCUGACUCACACUGUGCCCGUUUAACCUGUAACUUCUCAUCAUUCUUCUGAGCUUCACAUAUUUGCUGUAAAAAUGUCGGUUUAGCUCUCAAUUUAGCUAGGAUUGAACCAUCAUCAGUCAAUGAUAACCGGGUAUUCAUAGCUCGUAAAGCAAAUAGAGAUUUCCGGCUCAAAGCAUCAGCUACAACAUUAGCCUUACCCGGAUGGUAAUCAAUAAUCAAAUCAUAGUCCUUUAUCAGUUCAAGCCACCUGCGCUGUCUCAAAUUCAAAUCUUUCUGUGUCAUCAAAUAUUUCAAGCUUUUAUGAUCAGUAUAAAUAUGACAUUUCUCACCGUACAAGUAAUGCCGCCAUAUCUUCAGCGUAAAUACAAUAGCAGCUAAUUCAAGAUCAUGUACUGGGUAAUUUCUUUCAUGUGGUUUAAGUUGUCUUGAAGCAUAGGCUAUUACUUUACCUUCUUGCAUCAAAACACAACCUAAACCAUUUAAUGAGGCAUCACUGUAAAUAACAAAUUCCUUACCCAGUUCAGGCUGCACUAAUACAGGUGUUUUCGUUAAUAGGUAUUUCAAUCGGUUGAAACUUUGUUGGCAUUCAUCAGUCCACUCGAAUUUUACAUCUUUCUGCAAUAAUCGAGUCAUUGGAGAAGCUAUCAUAGAGAAUCCCUGUACAAAUCUCCGAUAAUAACCAGCUAAGCCUAAGAAACUUCUAACUUCAGAUACAUUCUUCGGUGGACUCCAAUUGACAAUAGCUGAGAUUUUACUUGGAUCUACCCUGAUGCCUUCGGCAGAUACAAUGUGUCCAAGAAAACUCACUUCUCGAAGCCAAAAUUCACAUUUACUGAAUUUAGCAUACAACUGCUUCUCUCGUAGAAUUUGCAACACAAUUCACAAAUGUUCUGCAUGUUCUUCUUCAUCCCGAGAAUAAACCAAAAUAUCAUCAAUGAAUACUACUACAAAUCUAUCUAAGUACGGUCUAAAUAUCUGGUUCAUCAAAUCCAUGAAUACUGCAGGUGCAUUAGUUAGCUCAAACGGCAUAACUAGAAACUCAUAAUGCCCGUACCUGGUUCUAAAGGCUAUUUUUGGCAUAUCUGACUCCUUUACCCGUAACUGAUAAUAACCUGAUCGAAGAUCAAUCUUUAAAAACAUAGUAGCACCUUUCAGCUGAUCAAAUAAAUCAUCAAUCCGGGGUAACGGGUACUUAUUCUUUAUGGUUACUUUAUUAAGCUGCCGGUAGUCGAUACACAAUCUGAAAGACCCAUCUUUCUUUUUCACAAACAGAACCGGAGCACCCCAAGGUGAAUGACUCGGUCGAACAAAACCCCUGUUAACAAGCUCUUGCAAUUGUGUCUUUAACUCUUUUAAUUCUAUAGGAGCCAUCCGGUACGGAGCUAUGGAGAUCGGAGUAGUUCCCAGAAUCAAAUCUAUAGAAAAUUCCACUUCUCUUUCUGGUGGCAAUCCUGGUAAUUCUUCUGGAAACACAUCAGAAAAUUCACAUACCAUUGGAACUGCCUGUAUCUUUGACUCAAAUACCUUGGUGUCGAGUACAUAAGCCAAGUAAGCAUCAUACCCCUUUUUGACAUACCUCUGUUCUGCCAUUACUGAAAUCAUAUCAGAUAACCCCUCUGUCUGAUCAGAUUUAACCCGGAGCAACUCACCAUUCUGACAUUUUAACACAAUAUAUUUUUGUUUACAAUUUACUACCGUAUCAUGCUGGGUUAACCAAUCCAUACCCAAUAUCACGUCAAAUUUAUCAAAUGGCAGUAACAUCAAAUCAGCCGGGAAACAAUAACCUCUUACCAUCAGUGGACAAUUUUUACAAAUUUUAUCCACUAACACAGACUGGCCCAGGGGGUUCGAGACUUUAACCACAAAUUCAGUAGGUUCAACAGAUAAAUUUUUAACAAUUGCAAGUUUAACACAUAUAUAUGAAUGCGUAGAACCAGGAUCAAUCAAUGCAGUAAUAUCAGUAUCAAGUAAAGAAAAUGUACCAGUAAUAACAUCGGGUGCUGAAGCAUCUUCUCUGGCACGAAUGGCAUAUGUCCUAGCAGGUGCUCGUACUUCAGGCCUACCUAUAGUAUCUUUUGUAGCUCCUCGACUACCACUGACAUUACCGGAUGGUCGAGGUGGUCUGCCCCUCGAAACUAGAUUACUCGACUUCGAUAUAUGUUCAACUUCUUUUUCAACCCUUUCUGGACAAUCUCUGAGGAAAUGGUCAAAAGAACCACAUCGGUAACAAGCCCCACUCUUAAAUCGGCAUUCACCAAAAUGAGCUUUAUUACAGUACUGGCAUCUCGGUUUAGGAGUGCCAACACUGCCAACACUGGUCACUGAUGGAGUAGAAGGCCUUGGAUUAGUGCGUUGAGAACCUCGUUCUUUGCCCGAAUACCCAAUGGCUGAAGUAGAACGAUCCUGAUAUUUCUUCAAUUUCUUUGAAGCAGAAAACUGAGAUUUUCCCAUCGGUCUUUUACUAAAAAUUUGAGCUUCCCUCUCAGCCUGUUUCUUUUCUUUGCUCAAUUCUUCUGCUUUAUAAGCUCUCUCUGCCAAUGUAGCAAACUCUCGAAUUUCAAGAAUUCCGAUCAGUAACUUAAUGUCUUCAUUCAACCCUUCUUCGAAUCGUUUACACAUUUCAACUUCUGACUGUACCCAUUCUCGAGCAUAUUUACUCAAUCGAACAAAUUCUCUUUCAUAUUUAGAUACUGAUCUAUUGCCCUGUUUCAGCUCAAGAAAUUCUUUUCUUUUCUGGUCAAGGAACCUCUGGCUGAUAUAUUUUUUUCUAAACUCGGUCUGAAAGAAUUCCCAUGUAAUUUCUUCUUUCGGAACAACUGAAGCUUUAGUAUUCCACCAAUGGUAAGCUGUAUCUUUUAGCAGUGAGACGGCACAUUUUAGACAUUCUUCUGGUAUACAAGAUAAUUCUUCCAGAACCCGAGUAGUAUUUUCUAACCAGAAUUCAGCCCAUUCGGAAUCAUCAUCAACUGCUACUCGAAAUUCUUCGGCCCCAUAUUUUCGAAUUUUAUCUACUGGAGCUUCCCCUUUUCUGACAGAUUCAGUACCUGUACCUUGUGGGAUCUCGGGAACCGGUGAAGGAGCAGGAGGGGGAGCUUGAACUUGCUGCACUACAGGGUUAGUUCUUAAGUAUUGAUUAAACCAUUCAUUCAUCAUUUGAAAGAAGGCUAUUUUUGCCUCCUCCCCUCGACCCUCUGUCUCGGGCCUUCUACUGCUAGUUUCUUCUCUUUGUACUGAAGCCGGAGCAUGACUCCCAGCUUCCUCAGAUUAAGCUCGGUCGGAUGACAUUACUAUAAGAAAAACACAUUUUAAAUGGUCAGGAGAUAUCACACUAUCAAUAAUAAUUUAAAUGGCAUGUAUAGCUAAUCCCGUAUUUGCUACAUCGAUCCUAGAACCGGCUAAAUCGUAGCUCUGAUACCAAUAAAUGUAAUACCCCUACCCGUAUUCAUUGCCGGAAUAGGGUACGAGGCAUUACCGGAGUUUACGAAUUAAUUUUUUUUUAUAUUCAAUAUAGCCCUUUUAUAAAUAUCUAACCUUCCCUGUAAUAUUAAAUCGAGACCAAUCCACAUCAACCAAAUCAAUUCAACAUAUUUUCAUGAUAGAUUCAUGCAUUUAUAUAAGAUAACGUCAUCACAUAUCUAUAACCAGGUUUGUUAACCAUACUAAUGGCUAACUUUACAUUCAUUUCACGUUAACAUUUACUUUGUUAGCUUAUACAUGCCAUUGAUUUCCAAAAUAAAGUUUCUUUAUAUACCGAAAUCCUGAGGUUGACAGUGUGAUGUGUCUCCGACCAAAUCCGACCUCCGAGCUCUUAACACUACAAAAUAGGGAAAAAGGAAACGGGGUAAGCACUUUGUGCUUAGUAAGCUCAUGUAACAAGAAUUAUACUUACCUAAUAUUUUCAAUACAAUAUAAUAAACAUUCAUAUAUCCAUUCAAUGCAUUAUUACCCUAACAUGCACAAACUCAACAUUCAAGUUAGUACAAUAAUUUCCAUGUAUCAAUAAUAUAUAUACCAUGAUUGAUGUACUCAUCAAUACCAUGAUUUUCAUUCCCUUAUUAUUUUUCAUAUUUAUCCCAUUGAAUUUAUCGGAAUUUCGAUGGAUUUUCAGAGGUACACUUUUAGUGUACAAUUCCGGGUCCGUCAAUUCAUAUUCAUGUGCGCACAUUUCCAUUUCAGAGAGCACACUCCCGCGAACCUCAACCUUGCAGCGGGAUUACCAGUCCAGGCUAAAUCCCCUGCAAUAUAAACUCAUAGAGUAUUGUCGGGAUUACCAGUCCAGGCUAAAUCCCCUGCAACGACAAUUACUCUAAUGAGCUUGGAUCUGAAUUACCAGUCCAAGCUAAAUUCAGACCCUAAUUCGGAUUACCCGUCCGGGCUAAAUCCAUUUUACACAUAUUCUUCAGGAGGGCUAUAUCAGGAUAGGAUCACCCGUCCGGGCUAGAUCCUUUUUACCGUCAAUUCCUUUUCAGAGAUCCAUCGAAUUUUCCUUUCAUUCAACCGGAAUUUCUUCCCAUUUUAUCAAAUAUAUCAAUGUUUCAUUAAUUUUCAUACAAUGAACAUUCAAAUCAUAUUCACAUCAAUAACAUACAAUCUCAAGCAUUUAAGAAUAUAAUUCAAGUUACACGAACUUACCUUAAUACUUGUUUGUAAACAGUAAAAAUCUAUUAAUCCCGAACUUUUUCCUUUCCUCAAUCUAGCUUCGUAUUUGAAUCUUCUGGAUUUAAAUAAAUAAAUUUAAUUAUUAAUUUAAUACAUUUCAUGUUCAUAUGCAACAUUCUCUAUAAUUCAACUAUUAUUUAUAGUUCAUUCAAAGCUAUCUACUUGAGUCAUAGUCACUAAAUUAUUUAUAACUUGAGCUACGGAACUCCAAAUUAAGAUCUGUUAAUUUUCCCUGAAACUAUACUCAUAUAUAUUUUUACCAUAAAAUUUUAAGAAUUUUUGGUUUAGCCAAUCAGUACAGUUUAUUCUUCAAAGUCACCCCUGUUCUGUUGUCUAAUAGUUCUGGUCCUUCUUCACUAAAAAUAAAUUAUCUCUUUAUACAGAAUUCAAAUGAUGUUCUUGUUUGUUUCUAUUAAAAAUAGACUCACUCAUAAUUCUAUACAUAUAAAUUUAAGUCCCUAAUUAUUUUUAUUCAAUUUUUUAUAAUUUUUCAAAGUCAGAACAGGGGAACCCGAAUUCAUUCUGACCUUGUCUCACAAAAUUCAUUAUAUCUCAAAAUUUACAAAUUCAUUGCUUACAAUAUUUCUUCUAUGAGAAACUAGACUCAAUAAGCUUUAAUUCCAUAUUUUGUUAAUCUUCUAAUUCGAUUCCUACAAUUUUUGGUGAUUUUUAAAAGUUAAUCUACUGCUGCUGUCCAAACUGUUUUAGUGCAAGCUGUUUAUUACCAUUUUUCCCCUAAGCUUUUAAUAAAUGAUAAUUUCGUCCCUACUCAAUUAGCCUCUCAAUUGAGCUGAUUUUUCUCAAUUAACAUUUUAUUCUAUCACCUUAAACUAGUUUACAACCUUUAGAAAUCAGAAUUUCAGCAAUAGACUUUAAUUCCAAACAUUUUCACAAUUAGGUCCCAAAAAUCAAUUUCCAUUGAAAUUGCCUAAUAAAAUCAUCUCAUAAACAAAUUAAAGCUUUAAUUUCAUUCUAUUUCAUCAUAAACUUACAGCACUCAACCAUGGUGACUUUCAAUUUCAUCCAUGAAAUCAAAAACUAAUGAAUUUAAUAGUAGGACCUAGUUGUAAAAGUCUUAGAAACACAAAAAUUACAAGAAAAAGGCAAGGAUUAACUCACUUGGUGCAAAAAUUAUGAAAUACCAGCUUAGAGAACCCUCCUAUGGCGUUUUUAGCUGCUGGAAUUGAAGAGAAAUGAAGAGAAAUCUAGAUAUUUCCUAUUUAGUCCUAGUUUUAUUUAGUUAAUUUUGCAAUAUUCCAAUUUUACCCUUAAUUUAUCAAUUUUUCUGCUGAUUUCAUACCCUUGCCGUCCAGCCCAAAUAACUUUUGAGUCUAAUUGCCUUUUAAAUCCUUUCUCAUUAGACUAAUAAGCUAUUUAAUCACUCUAGCAACUUUUACACCUAUUACAAUUCAGUCCUUUUCAUUUAAUUGACUACCCAAACAUUAAAAUUUCCUAACGAAAUUUUAAUACCACAUUAAUAACAUUUCAUAAAUAUUUAUAAAAUUAUUUUUUACUCGGUUUUACGAGAUAGAGGUCCCGAUACCUUAUUUUACCUAAUUUCUUCAAUAAUUUCUUUUUCUAACUAAUCACUAAAUUGAUAAAAUUUUCCUAUCAAUAUUUUCAUACGAUUUUCCUAUUAUAUAAAUUUUCAAGCAAAAAUAUUGAAAUAAAUUUCUCUUUAAAUCGGAUUUGUGGUUACGAAACCACUGUUCCGAUAACAUUGAAUUUACGCCAUUACAACUCUCCCCCCUUUCUAAAAUAACCCAAUUAAAAAAAUAACAAAAAUAAAAAUUUAAACACCCAAAAUCCCUAAUUUCCCAAAAUUUUCUCAUCUUCUUCAUCUUCACUCAAACAAAACCCAACCCCAAUCACCCUAGCCACCGUCGACCACCGCCAUCACUCCUUUCGCCAACCAAUCAUCACCAUCGUAGCACCUCUCCACACCCCACCUCGUGCCGCGCCACCGUCGACCUCGUUCCGCACCACCGUCGACCGCGCGCCCACGCCACCUCCACUUUCUUUUCUUUUCUUUUCCUCUCCAACUUACCCACGUCAUCCAACGCCUUUUCCACCGUCAAACCAUAGCCGAACAAGUCCUCAACGACCACGUCGCACUAUCGUCGCCGACCAGAACCCCCACUGCCGUGCACCGCCGCACAUUGCCCCCUAACCCCUAUUUUUAUUCUUCUUGUUAUUAUUUUUCUUUUUCUUCUCUUUGAAACACCCAACCCAUCACCAAUCAUCAAAACCGACACCCCCAUCAUCACCAUCUAAAAAAUCAGCCAAAAACGCACCACCCAUCCUCACCGCCACCGUCGCCGCCGUCCCCACUGUCGUGCGCCGCCGCAACUCGUCACCACCGUAACCUUCUGAAAUGUCAAUUUUGGACGCUACGACCGAGACCAUGGUUCGCGCUCGCAACCAAACGGCUGAUAACAUACCGACUUCACUCAACCGAAAUCAGCACCAAUUCUCCGCGCCUCCUGUCAUUGAGUUAGCCGACGACGACACUCCUCCACCUCCUCCGAGACGAACGGUUGCCCAACCAAGAGCCCACCGACGACGAAGUCUAACCCCGGCCGACACAAGCACUUCGGGCAGUCCAGAGGAAGUCGAAACUUCUAACUCCAUGUCGAGCCUACACCCACUGUUGUUGAACAAGUCUCUCAACGCCCAACCCGAAGUCAUCGACGGUCGACACGUGAGCCAUCGACGCCCCUGCACAGCAGUACUGAAGCUGCUGAACGAAAUUCCCCACCCGACUCGCCUAACGAGCACGUUCGACCACCCUGAGCAAAUCAACGCAACAGACGUAGUUGAGCAAAUGUUAUUCUUACUGAUAGUCGUUUGCAAGGAUUUCUAGAGUUUUCGACAUCGGAACAGCAAACACGAUACAACACCAUCCGACAACGCUCGCUUCCGGUCUGUAAGCAAAUCGAUUUCCCUACUCUUGAACUUCUAGAUAUUCAUGAUGCAGUGCUCCAUUAUUUUGAUGCUAUUGGUUGGACUCUAUUUGCUAAUAUUACUUGUGAUGCAUAUUAUGAAUUAGUAUAUGAGUUUUAUACCACAUUUAGCUUCAAUAUAAAUGCAUUGCAAACUGUUGAAACACAAAAUAUAGUGUGCUUUCAUUUGCUUGGAAAAGACUUUCGGAUGUCUGUUUCAAAAUUUAACAUUGCCAUGGGUUUCAUCGACGCUAAUGACAUUCAAUCUGAUGCCUAUCAUUCUGCUCUUUUAGAUGUUCCCAAUGACUUCGAUGCUCAGCAUGUUUAUCGGGUUUUAACUAAUUCUGACCAAUUUUAUAAUCCAAAGACUACAAAAGAUUUAUGGGUGCAUGAGCCUGUUUUAAAAUACAUACACCGAUUUUUAGCAUUUUGUUUUUCAGGUAGAAAUGACGCAUCAGCUGCUUUGACUAAGACUGAACUGUUCUUUUUGUGGUGCAUGCAUUCGGGUAUUAAAGUUAAUUUAGGAUAUUGGUUUGCACGAAAUUUUCAUGCCGUUUUGAGUUACAACUGUCCACUUAUACUUGGAUCAUUCAUUUCAAAUUUAGCCUCUCGACUUUUUGAGUCUAAAAUUGAUUUCGCAACCUUCACAUGUGCAUAUCGUAUGGACCACCUAGAUAAACAUUGUUUGGAUUCUAUGGGAUUGCUUGCCGGCACCCCUACUCCGUGUUAUUUCGUUCCUCCAGGUACACGGGCUGCUCGGGAAAAUAGAGUUUUUCACAAACAUCCGCACACUAAUACGAGAGAGCAAGAGGAUCACCCUUUGACUGUGGAAGCCCGUUUAAGUCGAAUCGAAGCUAGACUUGAAACAAUGGAAACACAAGUCGCCACCAUCCUCAAUAUCCUGCAAAGUCGCGACGCUCAACACCAAUGAUUUCAUUAAAAUACACGGGGAGUGUUCUAAACUUUUUCAUUUUUAAUUUAUUUUGAGCUGCUGACUUUAUUUUGCAUGCUUGAGGACAAGCAUAGUUUAAGUGGGGGGUUGGAUUGAUAUGUUAAUUUUUGCUUCAUGUCUUUCUCUUUUGCAUGUGAAUCUUACGAUGAAUUCUUUCGAUAAUUUAUUCAACAUUUGAGCCUUAAAACCUCAUACUUAAUCGAUUUAAGCAAUUGGGCAAAUUUUGAAUUAAAUGUUUAAGUAUAUAGAUUGGUCGACAUUUAGGUUUUAAAAUUGGUAUAUGUAGCUAGAGUUUUUUCGCAUGAAUUGAUUGAUUGAAUAAAAUAUGUUUGCUUGUGCAUAAAUAAAUUAAUAAAGGUUCAGGCUAUGAAUAAAGGUUCGAAAACGUGACUGAAUUGAGUAACCGGGGCAGGUUGCUUGGGUUGUCAUCUUGUCUCGCGUAAAAAGGUUCGAGUGACAAGUCGAUAACUUACAAACAUUCGGCUAGCUGAACACCCCAUAAAAUUAAAAAAAAAAAAGAAAAAAAAGAAAAAAUAAUACAUAAUAAAUAAAGACUGUUUGAACUGAGUAACCGGGAUAGGGUGCUUGGGUUGUCAUCCUAGUUCGCGUAAAAAGGUUUGAUAUUGUCUAUUAAUUUUCUGAUGCAUAGUUAAUUAAUAAUGCCAUGCAAAUUAUGGGAUUCAAUCUCAAUUUAGCGAAAUUGUUUAGUUGACAUAUUUCAAUUUUAUGACACUUGUUGAUUAAAAUGUAUAUUUUGAACAUUUAUUUCUUUUUGCCUAUGUUGUUUGCAUUGAUUAAGGAUAUGGAAUAGGGGCUCGAUUUUUAAUAAAUUGUGGAAUUGUUUCUAAUGUUUGAAAGAACAACAUGCUUGAGGGCAAGCAUGAGCUAAGUAGGGGGGAUUUGAUAAACAUGUCAAAUUGCAUAUUUUUUGUGCCUAAUUUGGUUUAUUGAUGAACUGAAUCCUGCUAAUUAAGUGUUUUUAUGAUUUAAUUCUUGUCAGGGAUGCAAUUGAUCAAAAGCAAGCUGAAAAGGGGCCAAAUUAGAAGAAAAUUAUUAGAAUGGGUCAAAGCGAAAAGAUGGAGGAAGCCAAGGACUAGUCAUAAAUUUGACUUUGUAAAAAGCCAAAAAUAGGAAAUUCUAUUUUAAGUUUAUUUAUUUUUAAUUAUUAUUAUUUUAGAUUUUAUAUUAAUUUUCUUAAGCUAUUUUUAGUAAACCCUAUCUAUAUAAAUAGGGGGUUUUAGUUCUUAGGAAAUCAUCCAUUAAUCAAUUGUCUUUACAUUCCUAUUUUAUUUUGGAAUUUCAUUAUCCACUUUGUUUUCUUUUUCUUAAUUCAAUUGAGCAUUAGAUUAUUUUGUCUUCUUUUUACAAAAUUUGUCUAAUUCUCUUUGCAAUUUUUCCUAUCCAUUUCCACUACCUUUUUUAUAUAAUUUCUAUCAUUUCCAUAACCUUCAAGCAUGAUUAAAUUCAUGCCACACUAAACCCCUUUCAGCUUUAAGUCUGUAUUAACCCCGUCAAAAUACCCGUGAGUUACGAACCCGAGCUGUUUAACUCCCAACUUUCGAUAUUUAUUAUUUCUCCGGAUUAAGAGUAUGACUUUGUCAACUCACAAAGUCAAGUCAAUACUAAGUCAAAAAAGACGUCGUUUGAGUUAGUGUGGCUAGACGUACAGUUGGAAUUCCGAAAGGAUCGAUUGUCUAAUUGGUCUUCCGUGAACACAUUGGCGUGCCAAGUGGGGAUUGUUGUUUGGUUCCGUCAAGGGAAGUAGUAACUGGAUUUAAAUGUCUCAAUGUUUGAGGGCAUUGGUUCGAGCUAGGCUCUUCUAGAACACAAAACUGCCGGAGUUCUAAAUCACGAACGUUUCGUAGGUUGUUCGAUCGGUAAGGGUUAGUUAUAGGACGUUCCAUAACUAAUUUACACAAGGAAGAGUUGGUGUCCGAGGCGUCCUUGGUAGCUAUAACUAGCUUAUCGAAAAAGAGUUCACCUAAUUUUGAGGAACGGGUCGAAGACGGGAAAACCCGUGCUUAAGGCUGAGCUAAGGUUUAUUGAUUUUUCUUUAAAUUAUUUUGUUAUUUAUUUUUAUUUCAUCUUUUUAUUUUUAUUUCAUCUUUUACUUUUUACUUUUUACGUUUUCUUGUGUUUAUUUCAGGUUUCAUAUUUUAUUUCCCCCCUAAACGUCGCGGGCACGACAACUGUCCAGACACUAAUCUGGUCAAGAAACAAACAAUUUUAAGUAAUUCCAGUCUCUGUGGGAUCGACCCUACUCCCUAUACUGCUUUAAUUUGCAAACUAGGUGUAGGUUUAUAUUGGUGGAAUCGACAACCAUCAAUGUUAGAUAUAGUGAUGCAAGUAAAAAAAAGAUAAUAAUUAUAGUAAAUUAGUAGUAGUGUAAAAUAAUAAAUAAUAAUAGUUUAGUAUAAAAAUAGUGACCAAUAAGAACAAUGGUAUAUAUAAAAAUAAAUAAAUAAAAAUAUCAUAAUAGGUCUAUUGAUAAUUAUAUUUGAAAAAAAAACUUUAGUGAAAAACAAAUAUAAAAAGUUAUAAAUAAUAAUAAUAAAGUAGUAGUAGUAAAUAGUAAAAAUAAAUAAAGUAUAACAAGCAAAAUAUAGUAAGAAUAACAAUCUAUAUUUAAAAUUAUUAACCUUUAAUAAUAUAUAUACAUAUAUAUAAAUAUAUAAAUGUUUAAGAUAAAGAGUACAAAAAAUGAUUUUUUAAAAAAAAUUAAUAUAACAGAUAAUAUAAUAAAUAUAAUAAAAAUUUAUACAUAAAAUAAUUAGUUUUACUUUUAAAAUAUACAUAUAUAAUAAGCAUAUAACAAAUAUGUAAAUAAGUAAAUAAUAUAAUAAUGUGAAACAACUCAAAUUGAUUAAGUUAAAUAAAAAUGAUAUAAAACAAAAUUUUAAAAUAAUAAUAAUAAUAAUAUAAUAAGUAUAAUAGGUAAUAGUAUAAAAACAGUAUAAUAAAUAGUGGGAUAGAAAAAACUAAAAAACCAGUAGGAUAUAAUAGAAUAAAAAUAAUAAAUAUUACAAACAAAAAACAAUUAAUUUUAUGUUAAAAGUAUUUAAAUAAUCAAAAUGGGGCUUAAUUGAAAUUAAAAUGGGAGUUUUUAGCCAAAAUCGGAAUUAAAAAAGGUUAGGGGGACCACGUUGGACGCGCAUGUGAACUAGGGGGACCAAAAAUGGAAAAUUUUCUUUUGCCCAAUGUACAGCAUUUAAUACAGGACUAAAAUGAAGAGGCGCGCAAAUAUUUGGGGCCAAUUUUUUUUUAAAAAAAAAAGUAGCAUAAAAGGACCCAAUCUAGUGGCCACACGCAAACGAGGGACUAGGUGCGCCAUAAGCCCAAAAAAAAUUAAACGGUCCACUCUCUUUGUAAUUAAAACAAAAAAAGUUGGCUGUCUGCCACUAACACUAAAAUUAAAGAAACCCCCCAUUUCUUUAAUCCCAUUCUGCCGAAUUCAAAAAAGAAAACCAAGGGGUUCGGCCCCCUUUCUCCUUCUGCUAGGGCGCAGCGCCCAUCGUCGCAGCGCUUCUCCUCCCCUGCGCGCUCAUCGGCGACCGUCGGAAACCAGGUAAGGCCUUCCUAAAAUCUUUUUAUUUUUUAAACUCUGUUUUUCAAAAAUACAAGAUAGAUCCACAAAAAGCUCUAAAGAUUAAAAAACUAAAAGAAAAGAUUGUAACCACCUGAUUCUAUUCGAAUGUAUGAAAGCUUUUACUCAAAACUUGCUGUUUUCGUAUAUUUCUCUCUGAUUUUUGUAGUAAAAAAAAAACCGAUCGCUUUACAUUGUUUAGAAUGGCUUUUAUAGCAUAGAAAAGCAAAUAAAAUCUUCUAUUGGUUGCUAUCUGUUUGGUUCCUGUUACAGGUGUUGUUGCGGAUAUCUCGGAGGCACGAGGCGUGACAAAGAGGGACUGCUGGUAGCGCACGUCUCGGAGGUGCGGUGGAUGGUGGAGUGGGACGCUGGUGAGAGGCGUGCGACGCGAGGGCUAAAGCAACAGCAUUAGGUUUCUGUUUGUUUGGGCCUUGUUUGGGUUUAUUUUUGGGCCUGUGUUUUAGAUGUAAAUGGGUCUUGGGUUUGGGAGCUUUGGGCCCGGGCAUAAAUUUGGUCCUUCAACCCUUUUUUGUAAGAGUUUGAAUUCAGCACACCAACUUCAUUCUUGAUAAGAAAAUCUCAAAUUUAUAGUAUUUUAUCUGAUAAUUAGCUAAAAAUAAAUAUAUUAAAAAUACGAAUUUAUCUUGGGCUUAAUUGUUUUUUUUGAAAAAGUUUAAGGGUUUUUUUAUACAUUUUAAAAGUUCAAGUACCCACUUGAGUGUAAAAAAAAAAAGCAGGACUUACUUACUUUUUUCAAAAAAAAUUUAAAAGUAUUUUUUAUACAUUUUAAAAGUUUAAGUAUAUAAGUAAGUGAAAAACUUAAUUAUUUUUUUAAAAAAUUUAAAAGUUUUAAAAUUUCCUACAGAGCCAAAAAAACAAUUAGUCUCAUAAUAGUUUCCAUGGAAUGUAAUUAAUGCAAACUUUUUAAACGUUUCAAUUGCCUUUUCAACGGCUUAAUUAAUGGAAUUAAUGGCUUUCACGCAAUUUAAUUUCAUGCAUUUAUCUUGUUUUUUCUCGUCUUCCUUUCUUUUUAUUUUUCCUUAGUUUCUUCUCUUCUUUUCAUCGGUAUCGAUAACUAGAUUACUUCAAAAACCACAUCGAUCUUGGUAAAGAGAAUGCCGACAAUAAAAAAAGAAAAAUAAUAUUUUUAAAAAAAAAUUUAAAUUGAUGCCGACAACGUAAACGACGACACUUAUUAAAAUAUAUUUUUUUUAAAUCUAAAAAUACACAUUUCUUUUAAAUGUAUUUGAAAAAAAUAUAUAUAUUAAUAUAGACAUUAAAAAAACAAUUUUUAUCUACCAGAAAAUCAUGGGGCAAUGAUUACGGGAUGAAGAAGGAUAGUGCAGAUGGUAAGAUGGUCAACACCAGCAUGUAUUGCAAAAAAUAAAUCAUUUUCAUACGAAAUUUUACAUUUGAAUAUUUUUAUAAAUAAUCAAUUUAUUUGGAUGAAUUAGGAAUAGAAAAGCCUAAGCGAACCAAGACAAGGUACAAGUUGACCAAACAUUUCUAGCUACUCCCAUAAUGCAGGAUAUUCGAAAUUUCCUCUCUUUUACCACCUCUAUUGAUUUACACUUUCAUGCUUGUAAUUAUAUUAUACAGGCUUUAAUGUAUCUGAAAAGAAAAAGACCCAUUCUUUUCUUAUUUUAUUUCAUGGUGGCGGUCAAUCGUCAUGGGUUGAACCAUACAGGCAAUUUCCCUUUUCAAAUCAAACCGCCUCUGAAAACUUAGCAGGGUUUUCCAUGCCUUUUAAAUACCCCGCCCAAGACCUCACAAUUCAAUCAAUUUCUUUUCUUUUCUUUUCUCUUCAAUAUCAUUCUUUCAACAUAGAAAAAUAAACCCAUAUUCUUUAGCCAAUUACAUAGCCAAUCUACUUGCUUCAAUGGAAACAUCAUCUGCAAACUCAAACUACAAUAUGUUACUAUUGUUCCAUGGUUUUUCGUGCUAUUACACCGUUAAAAGCUAUGUCUCAAGAUAUUGGUCAUUUUCUCCACAAUCCCAGACUUCAGGUUGGGACCUGAAGAACCAGAAAUCUGGGUUUUCAAGCAAGGAAGUUUUAUCUGGUGGUGAGAGAUUAUGCAGAAAAGAAGUGGAGAUUUUGAUGGGGAACCUGGGGAUUUUUUGCAGCCAAGAAAGUGAAGAACAGUUGAAUGAAUCAUACGGUUGUGAGGAGAUUUCAAGAUUGUUUGAAAAAGAGCCAAGCUUGGAAGAAGUGAAGUAAGCUUUUAAUGUUUUUGAUGUAAAUAAAGAUGGG
rnacentral:lncRNA from 1 species